ACUUCUUCAAGACUUGUUCAUCCCAGCGGUGCAGCAAGCAUGGACCAGAGAUCAGGUACCCGUUCCGUCUUUCGACACAACCUCCAUCAUGCGGUGCACCUGGUAUGCAAUUAUCAUGCUCUGGACAAGACACCAUCCUGGAUCACCCUGUUCUUGGUUCCUGCAAAGUGACCAUGAUAUAUUACAGGCAUGUUAUCAUGAACGCCAUUCCACUUGUAGAUUCCUUACCUCACUGCCCACUUCAGAAGCUCGUGUCAGUAAAUCAAUCAACUGCUGUGUACAAACCUCAUACGUCGGAAGUUGCAAGUGUAGUAGGUUGUUCAAGAGAUUCCAUAGACACAAACCAAUAUGGUAUAGUUGGCCCAACCUCUUGCCCCAGCCUCGCUAACAACGCAAGCCAGUUCUGGUAUUUGGCAUAUCCCUAUACAUACAUGUCUAUUCUUCCAUUGGGCUGCACAAUUGUUUCCAAAGACAUCCCAAUGCCCUACAGUUACGAUAAAAAUGGUCCAAACUUUGACAUCUCAAUCUUCACCGAAACAGCAAAAAGAGUCAUCAGCACUGGUGAGACUGUAUUCACUUGGUACACAAGUAACGUUACUAGUAUUUGCCAACAAUGUGAACGUGAAGGUCGGCGUUGUGGCUUUAGCUCUCAAAGGAAUCAAGCAUUCUGCCAGCAUCAUAGUAUGUCUCUUUCUCAAGUAUAAAUUCAGUUUCAUUAUGAUGACUUGUUUUAGUUUGAAUUUUCACUUCUCUAUCUAUUACAUCUCUUAUUUCUCGAGUAUUCAGUUUUCAAACUAUCCAGGAUAUUUUUCACAAAUAGUCAAACUAUCUAGCAAACUGUGAAUCAGCCAAAGGCUAGCUUGGAUGAACAUUUUGGUUCUAGGUUCACAACUGCAAUUUUUCUCAAAGAAAAUUUCAUCAAGAGAUGAUAAUGUCUGAUCAUUAUGAAAAUCAAUAUUUUUUUUUGUAAAAUUCUCAUAGAAAAGGUUAUAAGCAAUGGCAGCACAUUUUAGCAGAUAGCAAUGAUCUAAAGAGCAAGCUUUAUUUGUAUUACUCUAGACAUUGGUAUUAACUUAGAACACUAAAUUGGAUUCAUAUGGUUCAAAUUUACUAGUUUGGAAUACUGUAAUAGCUACUUGAACAUUAAAGUUAUAUGCAAAUGGCACAAUUUUACUAGUUUGGAUUACUGUGGGAGGUACUACGGUGAGAGUAGUCACCAUCUCAAUUAGACCUUUUGGUGCUAGAGAUGCACUUGAUAGUGCAGUGGCAAGGGGUGUGUGGUUUUAACCCCGAGGUCCCGUGUUCAAUCCCUAACACGCUCACAAUUUCUUCUUAAAAAAUGGUUGGAGGGACAUCUCUCCCUCCAAAUCUCCUAUUUUUUUAGACCUUUUGGUGGUAAGACCAUAGUCCUGAUUGUUAGAAAGUUGCACCCAUCGAGUAAUCAAGAAUGUACCAGUAUAAUUUACAGCAUUAACAAGUUCCCACAGUGUUAACAGGGUAGAAACCAGAACAUAUCCAUCUUACACAACGUUGGUACGAAAGUUGUGCACAUGCAUAUUUCCAGCGAUGCUCUGUAAGAUUAUUGAAUCAGGUAAUUUCUUCCUCCUAGGCACUAUAGAUAAAAACGUCUUACUUCUAUGGUUAAGACAAGAAGCCUCCUUAUCCUAUUUCUAUAUGACAAUGCCAAAUAAACAAGCCAUCUAACAAUCAGGAACUAAUUGUUUCUAGGAAAAAUUAUAGGUGUUUCUCUCAAUUUAUUUCAUCCAUAAAUCAUGUCAUAACUAAUAAUCUUUCUUCAUAUGUCCAGGUCCGCGUGUCACAAUCAUUGCAGGUAAGCAACUAAUUUUUUUCUUCAUUCUUCCUGAACUGCUCAUUCUGUAGAAUCAUUGCCUUUUCUCCAAGUGCAACUAGCUAAAUUUCUCUCUUUUUUUACUCAGCAACAUCAUCUGUGGGCACAUUUAUAGUUCUUUCAUUAAUUGUGGCCACUGCACUCUACAUCUCCUUGAAGUCAAGGUACAAUGAAGAGAUACAUUUGAAAGUCGAAAUGUUUCUGAAGACAUAUGGCACAUCAAAACCCACAAGGUACACAUUCUCCGAAGUUAAGAAGAUAGCGAGGCGAUUCAAGGACAAAUUGGGCCAUGGUGCAUUUGGAACUGUAUAUAAAGGUGAGCUACCGAAUGGAGUUCCUGUGGCUGUUAAGAUGCUAGAAAACUCUGUAGGAGAGGGACAAGAGUUCAUCAAUGAAGUCGCAACCAUUGGGCGAAUUCAUCAUGCAAACAUUGUCCGCCUCCUAGGCUUUUGCUCUGAAGGAACACGACGGGCUUUAAUAUAUGAACUCAUGCCCAAUGAAUCAUUGGAGAAAUAUAUAUUCCCACAUGGUUCUAAUAUUUCAAGAGAACUCCUAGUACCAGACAAAAUGCUAGAUAUUGCAUUAGGCAUAGCCCGAGGAAUGGAGUACCUGCACCAAGGGUGCAAUCAGCGCAUUCUCCAUUUUGACAUCAAGCCUCACAACAUACUGUUGGACUACAGCUUCAAUCCAAAGAUUUCAGACUUUGGGCUUGCCAAGCUAUGUGCAAGAGAUCAAAGCAUUGUCACAUUGACUGCAGCAAGAGGCACAAUGGGCUAUAUUGCACCAGAACUAUAUUCUCGGAAUUUUGGAGCAAUUUCAUAUAAGUCGGAUGUCUACAGCUUUGGCAUGCUGGUGUUAGAAAUGGUGAGUGGGAGGAGGAACACAGACCCAACCGUCGAGAGCCAAAAUGAGUUCUACUUUCCUGAGUGGAUAUAUGAGAGAGUUAUCAAUGGGCAGGACCUGGUGCUUACCAUGGAGACAACACAAGGAGAGAAAGAAAUGGUGAGACAGCUAGCAAUUGUAGCCCUAUGGUGCAUUCAGUGGAACCCAAAAGACCGGCCCUCAAUGACAAAGGUGGUAAACAUGUUGACGGGGAGGUUGCAGAAUCUGCAGGUGCCCCCUAAGCCCUUUAUAUCGUCUCAAAAUCAACUUGUGAUUUAGAUCAUGAGACCGCAUCGCCAUGGUUUGGACUUUGGAGACCAGCAAAGCAAUGGAGCUUGGCCAGCAUUUCCUAUAAAAUGGCAUCACCAUGGUUUUGUGCCUGAGUGACAGAUAAUCCACAUAUCAUAAAAUAGUUCUUAGUGAGCUGAAGCAUGCACAUAUAGUGUUUAAUUAUUAAACUAAACUGCGCAACCAGGUAUAUGAUAUAUCACCAUGUACUCAUGUAAUUCUGAUAUCCAGCAAACAUAUGCCAAUGGAUUUUAUUUGCAAUAUAAUAAUAGUUGAUGACAACUAAAUUACCUUAUUCCAUCGUUGCUGCUAGUCCACAAAUCAUCCUUGCUGAACGCCACAAUAAAGUUGUGGUAUUUGCUCUCCAUUCCCUUCAACACAAGAGAUCGAUCCCGCAGCGUGUCAUAUUUACUCCCAGUGCUGCAUUUUCUUUUCAAGAGUAAAAAAAAAAGUGCUGCAUCAUCCAGAAGAGGAAAAAAAAUUAAAAAUAACAAGGGAAGAAAGCUAAGCAAAGGGAUUAUUACCAAUGCAGCGAGGCUCAGGAUGGAAAUUGACUAAUAAUGUGGGAAACGGAGGUGGUGUGAGGGACUUGAGAAGACGAUACCAUUGAAGACAUCGGGCUUAUAGAUUCGACCGGAUCUUGACACGGUAGCAAUAACAGAUGGCGUCAUGGCGGCGGUAUGGGCGACGCCGAGGCUUGGUCUCGCAUAUACCGGGAGCAAACGGCACCUUACCCAUCUGUCGACGGAGGCGAGAAGCGGCGGCGGAGGCAGACCGCCGCAUUAACUGGAGCUCUCGCCGGGAAGAGUGGUGGGGGACGGAGGAAGGAGAAGGGAGUAAUUUUUUUUUUCUUUUUUGAGAGAGAGAGAGAUGGAGAAGGGGAUGAUGAUUGCUGGUCCACAGGUUAGGAUGGCCCAUCUAAGGCCUUGCUUCGAUGGCCCAACUAAUCCCCGCGGCCGGACGGUUCACAUGUGGCCCAAUUCACGAGCAAAUAUAAUGCUCAACUCACCAGCAGCUAGUACAAGAACACUUGCUUAUUUAUAGUAGUAUUUCAUACACCGAAAAAAGAGUUUAAGCGUAGUAAAUAUCAAUUGUUGGAUCCAUGAAUAUGGAAUAAUAACAGCCAUUAUUUAUGAACGCUAAUUGCUAGCUAGAUCCAUCAUUGUCAUCACAGCCUAGCUACUGGCUAAUUCAGCUAUUCCAUCGUCCUCUUCUGAGAUUGCAGUAAGCUCGGAGGAGUGAAAGUAAGAAUCCAUGACUUGUGGAGGUGGCAUGCCAUUGCCAAUGCCAUCCCCAUCGCAGAAAAAUGGUCUCAGAGGCACUUGCAACGCAUCCACAUCCCCUUCGAGCAUCUCUAUUGCCUCGCUCAUCGUCGGGCGAUCGUGUGAUUUCAUCUGAAUGCACCACAGCCCAACAAGGCAUAGCUUCCUCUCCAGCUCAUGCAUGUCAGCAACAUUGGAUAUCUCAUCAACUUGUUGAUCUGCUAUCAGUUGGUCAUACACCCAUGCUGGGUAGUAUGCCCUGCUUGCAUUUGAGUUUGCAUUUGGAUCUGCAUUCCUUCUACCUCCAGCCAUCUCAAGCAACAACAUUCCAAAGCUAUAAACAUCGGAUUUGUCGGAUAUAACGCCAAAGCUCCGGGAUACCAUCUCAGGAGCCAUAUAACCUACUGUUCCCCGUAAAGCCCUAUCUGACACAAAGCUCUUCUCCCUUGGGUACAGUUUUGCGAGGCCGAAAUCAGCAACCUUUGAAACAAAGUUAUCAUCAAGAAGGAUGUUGUCUGGCUUGAUAUCAAAGUGUAGAAUCUGCAUCUCGCACCCCUGAUGCAGGUAGUUGAUCCCUCUAGCAAUGCCUAGAGCAAUCUCAUUGAGCUUGUCCCAAGAGAAGCUUCUCUCGGAUGAGAAGAUAUACUUGUUUAGAGAUCCUCUAGGCAUGUAUUCGUAAACCAAUGCCCUUCUCAUUUCUUCGGAGCAGAACCCCACAAGACGCACCACGUUGAUGUGAUGGAUCCUGCCUAUGGUGGCAACUUCACUGAUGAAGUCUUCUCCAUUGCAAUUGGAGUUGCCAUCCAACAUCUUGAUGGCGACAUGAACAUCACCCGGGAGAAACACACCCUUGUACACAGACCCAUAUCCUCCUUGGCCUUGCGAGUAAGAAAAAUCAUCACGGCCAACGGUGCGAACACAAACCUGCAUAGCACUGCAUACGAAAAGGCUAAUGAAUUUUGCAAUGCAAUAUGUGGUGUGACCAGCUUGAUAGUGUAUACUGUAGAAUUGAGUGGAAUGCAAAAGUUAAUUAAUUACCAGCAAUCCACUUGACAAGACACAAGGUGUAUAGUAUGAAGAGCUUAUGGUAAAGAGAAUGAUCAACGCCGCGGAUCAUGUCGCUAAUGGAAAGACGCAUGUCGAUGUAAUACUCUCUGGAUAAGCCUAUCAUGCAUCCCCAGAAACGGAGGUCAAUAGAAAGGAUGUCAAUGAUCCGGUCUUUGAUGCCUACUCUGGGUAAUGGAUUGUCAUGGCUAUCAGCUAAGCUGCAAGAUCAUUUAUUGGAAAGAGUUAAUUAAACGGGAUUGGAGGAGAAGAGCUAAACAAAAUCGGCCCUUUUCAGAUGAUAAAGUAAAGGUUUCGAGAUUAUAAGGAAUUAGAGCCUCACUCCGGUGCUUUCUACUUAUAGUAGAAAAUAAUCCGAGCCGUUGAUCGUAUAUAAUCAUAGGGUUGAGAUCUAAUUCUACUACCACCACUCUUAGUGGUAGUAGAAACGUGGAGGGGUAUAUUUGUCCAUAGAUAAUAAUUCAUGUAAGGGUAUUAUCGUAAAUUAUUAUUCAGUAACUCUAAACCUUCGCCAUUCUCAAGCGCCUGACCCCAUCCAUCGUCGACUUCGUCGCUUGUCCAUCUCCCUCUCCGCCUCCAUCAUCUCCAGCGCGAUCGACAUCUCCUCCCCCUCCAGCGACCAAGGGUGGCCCUUCUCCUCUUCGCCAAGCCGCUGAAGGUCCUUGCCCACGGCGGACGACUAGUCCUGCCAUGUAGCUUUGACCAAGACAGAGGAGAUCGCGGGGCAAUUGGACGGCGGACGAAGUUCGACGGGUUCCGGCGAACGGCGGCGAGGUAGGAGGAAUGGGCAACUGGGAAUGAACGAGUGUAGUAUGGGGAUGUGGUGGACGGCUCGGAUUGGCCAAGAAAUGAGCUAUGGCAGCCGGCGACGUGCGGUGGCGGAGCUCGAGUGAGGCGGUGGCAUUUGGUCGCCGCCGGUGACCGUACGAGCGGCUAAGGGACUUGGGAAUGAGGUGUUUGGAUGCUACAUGAAUAGGGACUGUGCAUCACUUCACAAGCUGCCGCGGAGCUAAUGCAAAUGCUUUUGCAUAAACACGACAGUAUACCAGGGAGUUUGCAGCAAAGAGUGAAUCAAGAUGUUCUAAGCCCCCAUUAGUAGACAUUGUCCUAUGACUGAAAAAAAAAUCAAUUUAGUGGCAAUUGAGGGCUUAGCUACCCCCAUAUGAGCACAAGAAAGGAAUCAUGUAGCGAUGAUUCAGAGCGCCAGAAUAUGACAGAAUGCAGUUAGAUGUUUCGAUGGUAUGAAAUAUAAAACAAAUCCUGAAUUACAGCUCUGACUGAAAUGCAAUUUACAUAUGGGCAAAACUCUGAUAGUGAAAAAUCUCAUUUAAGCAGUUUAUCAGAUUUUUUCAGUCUCACUCUUUCAGGAGCAAAACAACUUGUUUACUGAUCCAGGAGCAGGAUGACAUAUUUCAGUUCAAAUUGCCUGGACUCAUCUCACCCCAUCACAGUUGCACACAAAAAAAAUGCACAACACACUGACAUGGUCAACACAUUGACAUUACUAGUAGUCCAUCACUAUUCACCUUUUCUUUUUUACUUAAACCAUUACUGAACAAUGAAUAUAUUGGGACAGUCACAAGAUCCAAUAAACAUCAGUAUCUCAAAGCUCGUCAAUUAGUCAAUGAAGUAUUCGACACACCAUACAACUGAAUAUUACAAGCAGAAUGAACUGGGCAGGCCUUCUUGUUGUCACGGAGCCACUUCGCGAUGUUGCAAUCCUCGUGGAAGUCAUGCCCGCAGGAGAGCGUGCGGACAGUCGCCGGCCACCAUCCUGAGCUAGCAGAUCGGGCAUGCCGCAUGCAUCGUUCAGCGUCCGAUCCAGUGUCCUGACGCCGCCGCGAGCACGGAUGUGCUGAAACCUCUGAGCAUUGCGGUCUAUCAGGUUCGCCGGCGACGCCUUCCACGGCAGCACGCAGCGAGCGACACUGUUGCAUAUUCUGCAUCUCAUGCCGUGCUCGCGGUCGAGGAGGUGCUCGCCGAUGCAAGCCACAAGACUCGGGCACGCACGGAGGGGGACCGGGGAUACGGCGCCGGAAUGUAUCGCAUCUGCCUCCCAAGUGGCCGCAGCCCACACAAUCGGAGCAACACGGAAUGGAGAUCACUACCCGCCGGCGGAAUGGAUUGAAUCCUCCAAAGUGGGCGCUGCCAAGAAUCUCAGGUCUUGCGCAGGGGCUCCGGCGGAAUCGGACGCGCGCGGAAGGCCACUCGCAGCGGACAGAAGGCCACGACGGCGAACCAGGAUGCCGGCGUGGAAUAUAGGAGAGGAGGAGAAACGGAUAGACAGGUGAGAGGUGGGAGGAGGGGACGCCUGAGGGUUUCGCUGCACCGCGCCACGGCAUGCCGGGAGGAGUAGCGAUAAGCAACGUGCGUCGGGCGAGAUGCAGUGCUUUUCGUCGGACCUGAUGCGAUCAAGCUAAGACCGACCGAGACAGAGAAAAUAGAUCCUGCCAAAAUUGCCCCUAAUAUAUAUUAGGAGAUUACUAAUCUACCCUUUAAAAUGAACGGUCGAGAUUAAUUCUACUUGUAGUAUAAUACUCCAAGUAGAAAGCAUCGGAGCAUUGCUCAAGGAAUUAAGGCGCUCACCUAACAGACUUGUUGAGGCAUUUUUUGAUGAGACCAAACCAAUUAAGCCAAGGUGUUGGAAAUUUGACGGCAAAUCCACCCCUCAUGGAUUUUACAACCUCUGCAUAACUAGUGUAUUCGGGCAGAUUAACGGAGUUCCAGCCACCGCCGAUAGGAGUCAUGGCCAAGUAUCCACAAGAAGGUUCGAUGUCUUCGACAGAUGGUACUAAAGAACCAAAAAAUGGGAGCAUAUAAUAAACGAAGGACAAAGCCGUGGUCAGGCAAUCCACGGGAUGGUACACGUACAGGUAUUUGCUACUACUGUUCGUAAUUAGUUCCUGCGAACAAUUGACAAAGCCAACCCAAGUAAUCAUAUCAUCAAGGCCCAAGUCCCAGCUGUCGUGUGAUCCUGGGAUACCCAGACCAACGUAAGGCAGCUGGUCCGAGCGAGGAAGAGGGCAGCUGCUGUUUGCAUCAUCCUGCAGGUUGGCGUCGACGACCCAAAAGAUGGAAGCAGUGUAGUUGAUGCUACUCACAUAGUAUUUCCCUGUGUUGAUCCGAAUGGUGGCCUUGCCAUCAUCGCUGCUGCAGUCUAGCUCGUACGACCGGAAGCCGCACCUGCGACUGCGAGGGUCGCCUCGCCGGCGAAAAGGAUACGAUACGUUUUGGAGAUGGCCGCAGGAGAAAGGUUGGCACUGAUGCCGUCGUCCUUGGACACGGACGACGUGAUGAUCAGCAUCCGCUACCACAAGUGCGAGCACAUACAGGACGGUCGACAAAGCAGCUGCUUCCAUUGCAUUUGCAUACCCUGUAUAUACUAAUAUAGUGUAGGCUACCAAGCUAGCUACUUGUUGCUCGCUCGGCCGGCUCCUACUUAUAAGUACUACGACGUACGCUACCCGGCCAGGGUUUUCAAUUUCGAAAUUCAAUUUUAUGCCGGAGGUUACCGAAAUUACCAAAAUUUCGGAAAUUUCUGACCGAAAUUAUUUGAAAAUUUGACUGAAUUUGAAUAAAAUUUGACCAAAUUCACAUAAAAAUGUAAAAAACUGAAAAUUUCGGGCGAGAUUUAAGCAUGCCGGUGAGGGCAAAAUUUCUGACCGAAAUUUCGAACCGAAAUUUCAAAUCCUGACGCUACCAAGGAGGGGAAAAGAGAAAAUUGAGUAUCCGUAAAACGAGCUUAGCAUGGUUUUUAAUUGGAUAUUAAUUGAGUAUACGUAAAAAUAGAAAUUAGCGCAUAAUUAAUUGUUUUAAAUUUAGAAAAUAGAUUAACAUGGUUUUUAAAAAGCAACUUUUAGGUAUAUAUAUAUUUUAAAAAAAUACUCCCUCCAUCUAUUUUGAUAGUUAUAUUUCAUCUUGGCAGGAUACAUAAUUCUACUUAUCAUCCAUUUAAACAUGCUACUAGUCAUUCCUCGUAAACAAUCGAUUCUUUAAUAUUUACAUUUCUCGAUGCCCAUGUAGCUAAUUUUGUAUGGAAGAAUAGAGAGUCGUGCAUUAAAUCCGAGAAAGUCAUUAAGAGAAUAUGUUGUUGGAUUGAAAUAUGCCUAUCAAAAAUAAAUUUUUCAGAUUUGAAAACAUGACUAUCAAAAGUAGAUGGAGGGAGUACAACUGUUAGUAGUAUGUAAACAUGCACAUGAAAAAAUGAGUAGUUUUUUCAUUCUUUCAGCUCGGCCGAACCUUUGAAGUUCGAAUUUAUAUUAGGUAGAUCUUAUGCUAUAGGUCGUAUCCAUUACAUUCUACCUCCAUCCCAAAAUAUUGCUAUCUAGCAUGAGAUUUGACCUAUGUCCAGAUUCGUUGUCUAGGAUGGGUCAAAUCUCAUCCUAUGUAGCAAUAUUUUGGGACGGAGUAAGUAUUUGUUAUUUAUAUUAAGUUGACCUUACGCAACCAUCGAACUCAUUUGAUGAAAGAAAAGGCAGUAAAUUAAGCACCGAACUGGACGGCCUCGUCCAGUCCAGAUCAAGUGGCCAGAGACAAAACUCUCGGCUCGCAGUGCUGAAAGCAGUAACUAAACAGGCUACUCGGUAGUAGAAUAUACUACCUUUCCAUUUUUCUUAUGAUGUUGAUUUUUCGUAUAAUGUUUGAUUAUUUGUUUUAUUAAAAAAUAGUAUAGAUAUGUAAAAGUUUGAUGAUAAAAUCCAGUCAUAAAAAAAUAAAUAAUACUUAGUAUAUAUUUUUUACUGAAUUGAAUGGCCAAACGUUACGUCAAAAACUAAUGGCGUCCGCUGUAAAAAAUAAACAUACAUGCGUGUUGCAAACUUCUGACUGUAGUACUGUACGACAACAAAGCUCAACUUUUGACUGUACUUGUAUGACAACAAAGCUCGCGCGUGAAUUAGCAUUUCUGCGUGCACCAGGCCUAAUUUCCACACGGGAAUUAACCUUUACUAACCGGUUUCUAUGUUAAUCGCUCAUGAGAUUGGGCAUGAGUCAUGAGUGGACUGGAGCAAGUCUACGAUGCUCCAGGUCAGUCCUGGCCGGCAAGAUUUUCCAAAGUACCCACUCCGUUUCAUUUUUUUUAGAUAAUGGACCCACUCCGUUUCAUAGUUUUUGACUUCUUUUACUGGUUAAACUCUAAUCAAAUUUAUAGGAAAAUACGAUAAUAUUUUUAAUACAAAAUAAAUAUAUUAUUAAACUAUAUUAAAUAUUAGUUGUAAUGAAACUAAUUUGGUGUUUUAGAAUUUAGAUAUUGCUAAAUUUUUCUUUAAAUUUAAUCAAACUUAGAAAUGUUUGACUAGAAAAAAAAAAGUCAAAUUGACUUAUAAUAUGAAAAAAAUGACUUGUAACAUGAAACACGGGGAGAACAUACAGCGCAUUGUUGCUUACAAUGAAGCGCACAGUUGCAAUAUCCUGAUCCCACAUAUAUAUAUCCACACCUCCACUUCAUGUACAUAUAUGGAAUACCUACAGAGUACAGACUACAGUUAUCUCUUUUUUUUUUCAAGGGAACAUACUACAGUUAUCACACACACAAUUGCUUUUGCACCUAGAGUCAGAGAUCAAUAUGAGUAGCAAAUUCCUCGCCAUAUAUCUCCUGCUUGCUUUCCUCAGCCAUGGCACCUGCAGCUACAUGGCCACCACAGCUUCAGGCUGGGAUGACCACGACUUCUUCAGGCAUUGUCCACCGUCCCGGUGCAGCAAGGAUGGACCAGAGAUCCGUUUCCCUCACCGGCUUGAAUCCAGCAAUACAUCAUCAGCAUGCCGCGCUUCAUGCGCGAGGCUAGCAUGCUCUGGCCAAGACACCAUCCUACAUCACCCAAUUCUGGGGCCUUGCAAGGUCACCUCCAUAGAUUACAAGGAGGCCGUCAUCAACAUCAUCCAUCUCCUUCCGUUUCCAUGCCCUCUCCAGAAGCUCAUGGUCGACAGUUUACCGCCUGAUGACUACCAUGGCUGUAACUUAUACAGGAGGAUUCCUGCAAAAAUAGUAAGCUGCUCAAAAGAGUUUACACCAAGUGGUACCUCUCCAGUUCCGUACGAACUUGACCAUCUCCAGAAUGCUGCCGAAAAUAUCUUCGGCCCAAUAUCCUGCCUUAGCGGCACAGGACAGUACUUCUCAUAUUUGGUGCAUGCUCAGCUAUACAUGUAUUUGCUUCCAUUGGAUUGCAGGAUCGUCUCCAGAGGCUCCAUUCCAAUUCCUGGCUCAGACUCCUGCAGUGGCCCAACGUUCAAGGAAAAAGCAGAAAAAUUCAUCAACUUUGCUGAGACGACUGUCAGUUGGGGGUCCUUUCAAGAUGGAGUUCUCGACAACUGCAUGGCGUGUGAACGUCAAAAGCAACUCUGUGCAUUCAGCUCACGAAGGAAUCAAACAUUCUGCACAAGCCACGGCAAUCAUCAUGGUACUAACUAUCCUAACUGCACAAACAUGAUCGUACCACCCAGCUUUGUUCCUGAACUAGUUUUCUACUCUUACUAUGAUUCAAGCAUUCAGCCAUACAGUACUAGUGCACCGCUCUCAAUACAUAUGCUCAAAACUAUUUUUGCAGGCUAGUAGCCUACUACUAGAAAUCAUUUAGGGAACUAACUAGCUUCAUCAAACAUUUUUGCACAAUUGCCAUAAAAGUGUCACAAUAUUUAGUAAAAUAAUGAUAGAAUUAUCUUGAUCAACUAGCAGCAGUUGGACGAUACAUGACAUUAAAGAUCAUAAAACCUGGGACUUCUCAAAGAUAUUUGCUAGAAUUGAUAUUGUCUAUGAACUUAUUGAGACUGCCUCUAUAAGACUUCCUUAUGGUUUCCUCUAGAAGUAGAAAGUAGCUCGAAUAUGUAAACAAGACUGCAAGGGAACACUUGACUGGGACAAGAUAUAAUCUAAGUUUUUUUUUAUUUUUUUGCCAGGUCGGCGAAAGGAAGCCGACCAAAAUUCAUUAAGAUAAAGGAAUAAUUACAGAGGUAUACACGAUAUAAUCUAAGUUUUGGUUUGUUACCUGAUAUAACAGGAGCUGCAGUUAGAUCUUUGGUUGCUUUGAUAAUAGAUUAGUAGACAUGGGAGGUGAUAUGUGGAAGCCUUUAUAAUUUAGCCCAUAACCCACCUCAACUCAUCCUAAUCAUCCUUAUCUGGCAUGACAAAAAUACGAGAGUUAGCACACAGAACUGUCUUAUGAUGAUACUGCAAAAUAAGAUGUAAGGAAAAUUUCACUAUUGCAAAUAUAUUCAUAUGAUCAUGGUGCAUAAAAAUUUAGAGCCAAAACUCUAUCCUACCCCACCAGGGCCAUGUUCGCUGAUACAUUUUGUUGGAUUGCUCUGUUUUUAUUUUCAAGAUGUAAUUAUCCAUUAUCUGUUAAAACCACCAACCAGAACUUAUUAUCUUCGUUCAUACUUGCAGGUUAGCGUGUGAAAGUCAUUUCAGGUACUGCAGUACUCAAACCUACCUUUCUAUUAAAAAGAGAAAAGAAACAAUGUUAUCAGUACAUAUAAAUUCUUAUUGCUAGCAGUUCUGAGUCUUCUGACUCAGCAUUCUUCUGCUAAAAAAGACACCACCUGCUCUUACAGUACCCAUCAGGCAAUCACAAUCAGUUGAUUACUAGCCACAACUUUCGAUCCUAAUGCAAUGUGCUAAUUUCCCCUUCUCUGUUAAUUCAGCUACAUCAUCGGUAGCCGCAUUUGUUGUUUUUUCGUUCAUCAUGGCCACAGCACUCUAUCUUUCACUGAAGUCAAGGUAUGAUGAAGAGGUACAUUUGAAGGUUGAAAUGUUCCUCAGGACAUAUGGCACAUCGAAGCCCACAAGGUACAGUUUCUCUGAUGUUAAGAAGAUAACGAGACGCUUCAAGGAACAAUUAGGUCAGGGUGGAUUUGGAAGUGUAUACAAAGGACGACUACCAAACGGAGUGCCUGUGGCAGUUAAAAUGAUAGAACACUCUACAGGAAAUGGAGAAGAGUUCAUCAAUGAAGUAGCAACAAUUGGACAAAUUCAUCAUAUAAACAUUGCCCGCCUUCUGGGAUUCUGCUCUGAAGGAACACGGCACAUUCUUAUCUAUGAAUUCAUGCCUAAUGAAUCAUUGGAGAAAUGCAUAUUCUUGCAUGACCCUAAUACUUCUCAAGAACUCCUAGCACCAAAAAAGAUGUUAGAUGUUGCCUUAGGCAUUGCCCGAGGAAUGGAGUAUCUUCAUCAAGGAUGCAACCAACGCAUCCUCCAUUUUGAUAUCAAGCCUAAUAAUAUAUUGCUUGACUAUAACUUCAAUCCGAAGAUUUCAGACUUUGGUCUUGCAAAGCUGUGUGCAAGGGACCAAAGCAUUGUUACCUUGACCAAAGCAAGAGGCACGAUGGGCUACAUUGCACCAGAGCUAUAUUCUAGGAACUUUGGGGAGAUAUCUUACAAGUCAGAUGUAUAUAGUUUUGGCAUGCUUGUGUUAGAAAUGGUGAGUGGAAGGAGAAACUCAGACCCGAGUAUUGAGAACCAAAAUGAGGUCUACUUUCCAGAGUGGAUCUAUGAGAAAGUAAUUACUGAGCAGGACUUUGUACUUAGUAGGGAAAUGACAGAAGAAGUAGACUGAAGGUUAGACAGAUGGCCCUCGUGGCACUGUGGUGCAUUCAGUGGAACCCAAGAAACCGUCCCACAAUGACGAAGGUUGUAAACAUGCUAACUGGAAGGUUGCAGAAUAUAGAGGUGCCCCCUAAGCCAUUUGUUUCAUAUGAAAGCCAUGUUGUGCCAUAAAUCAUAGUAAUGUUAUGGGAGUUAUACUUAGUUGACGUGCUGCAUAGUAAUGCUGAUUAACUGUAUGAAGUAUGAAUCGUCGCUCUUUAUUACCAUGUAUUAAAAGUAAUAAGAAACACAUCAGUUGAUGUGAUUACCUUGUUCAGUUGUUGCGAUGUAUAUCUCCAUCCAACCACGGUGUGCAGAGUACUCCUCGCUGUACUAUUUCAGUAAGAUGCCGUCCUCGUCCGUUUCAUGGGUCCAUAUCUAGUGGCUUGCAAGAAAAUCCUGCAAGGAAAUUGAAUUAUGGCAAUUUUUCCCAUGCAGCACAAAUAUAAAAUAUCGAAGCAAAGAGUAUUAUUUUUGUCUGUUUGUCCGUGCGAACGGCCGACUAGGGUAACAUUCAUACCCUGAAUUCGUCACUGAAUAAAGAAGUAGAUUCAUAUCCUAAAUUCCUCACUGAACUAAGAAGUAUAAUAAGUUAAGUUGGCUUGGUCACAUUCCUAUCCAUCCCAUUCAAAAAGUCAGGGCCCGCCUAUCUAUCUGAUGGAAAUCUCACAGCAAACAGGAUGCUGCUGGGCAAGCAAUCGAGGAGCUACGAAUUUGCAAUGUGAAGAGAUGAAUGGGCAUGGACUCGACUAGUGAAUAAGUACACUUUAAUAAAAACUUAGGAAAAAUAAUCAAAAGCAGAGGAAACGGGCUACCUUUAUCAAUGCAAGGAGGGGGCAGCGAACCGAACAACCACCGGAUCAGGAGACCUCCCCGAGUUCUGUCAAUCCUGCGGCUCGGCGUGGCAUCCCGCUUGGGGCCUGGAUUUGCGGCUCGGGUCUCACAAGGACGCAGGGAGAAGGCGACGCAUAGCCCGGGCAACGCGCAUUGACGGCGGAGCGCAAAGCAGAGACAUCGCCGGGGAAGCAGAGGCGGCUGGGAGUCGGUGGGAUCGCCGGCGACGGCGAAGGGUUCGUGGCAAGAGAGGGAGGAAAGGGGAUUCCGUACGGUUUGCAACCAGAAACUAAGCUCGGCCUAGGGCUAGUAAUGGGGCCGGCCCUAAAGCUCCUGCCGCUAAUGGGCCUUUAUUUGCAUUUGGGCCAAAAAUGACCUGCGGGAGGCCUGUCUUCUUUCUGCUCGUGGAAAAUUCCAUGUAAAUCGACCAUUUGUUUUUUUUUUAGAGAAAUGUACCUUUACCCGGCCUCUAUAUCCAACCUGAUAUAUGUAGCCUUUUUACAUUAGAAAUUUAGCUCUCAAAUAACCCAAUCUGAAAUUCGCUUCUAUAGAGAUUUGAACUCAGGAUCUUGGGGUGUUACUCAGGUCACGGCAACAACUAGGCUGCAUUGUGCUUAUACAAAGCCAAAUUUUAAAUUUUAAAAACUUAACUUUGAAGUAGAUUUCGUGGUUUUUUCACGAAAGUUUAUUUUAUAGAAUUUACUUUUAAAUCGCUAAGAACACGUAUAUAAUUUUUUUUACCUACAAAUUAUUUUUCUAAUUGCUGUAAUAAAUCAUACAAAUAAGCAUAUGGAAAAGCAAAAUAUGAAUCGGAAUCGGGAAUCGCUAGUCAGUCACGUAGGAAAGAACAUAGCAACAGUGCCGACCAACACAGAACACUAGCUUAGCUCGAUUUUUGCAUGCAUUCAUACAGAUGAAGCACAGGAUAAUAAAUCGUACAAGCCCACAUAUACGCAUUCUACAGGAAUAUAGGAAUAGGAGCAUAGAAACUGCAUCUGUGUGACUGUCUACAAUCAUCACAGGCUUGAGCACAACCUGCUCACGAAAAGACAUAGACACACUAUACUUGCUACGUACUCCACUAGCUAAUUCAACUCAGUGAUACUCUCCUCGUCUUUCUCCUCGGAGAUGGCAGCCAGCUCCAGCUCGGAGGACAGAUACAGCGACUCCAUUGCCGGGAUGUAGUCAUCGUCACAGAAGAAUGGCCUAGGAGGAAUUUGCAAACAAUCAACACCACCUUCAAGCAUCUCUAUCACCUCGCUCAUCAUCGGUCGGUCACAAGACCUCAUCUGGAUGCACCACAAUCCAACGAUGCAGAGCUUCUUCUCCAACUCAUGCAUGUCGGCGGCAGCGGUGAUCUCACCUGUUUCUUGUCGGGUCAGCUGACGGUACACUCGUGAUGGAUAGUAUGCCUGGCUUGAAUUCUCUGCAUUCGGAUCAGCAUUCCUUCUUCCUCCGGCCAUCUCCAAUAGUAGCAUCCCGAAGCUGUAAACGUCGGACUUGCUUGAUAUAACACCAAAGCUCCGAGAGAUCAUCUCAGGGGCAAUGUAACCUACUGUUCCUCGUGCAGCGCUCACCGGCACAAAGCUCUUGUCCCUUGGGUAUAGCCUUGCGAGACCAAAAUCUGCAACUUUUGGAACAAAGUUCUUGUCUAGAAGGAUGUUGUGUGGCUUGAUGUCAAAGUGUAGAAUCUGCAGAUCACACCCCUGAUGCAGGUAGUUGAUUCCUCUGGCUAUGCCCAACGCGAUUUCAUUUAGCUUAUCCCUGGAGAAACUCUUGUCGGAUGAGAAGAUGUACUUGUCAAGAGAACCCCGAGGCAUGUACUCGUAGACAAGCGCUCUUCUCAUUUCUUCAGAGCAGAACCCUACCAGGCGCACCACAUUGACAUGGUGGAUCCGGCCAAUGGUAGAGACCUCACUGAUGAACUCUUCUCCGUUGCAGUUGGAGUUGCCAUUUAGCAUCUUGACGGCAACAUGGAUAUUGCCCGGGAGCAAUACGCCUUUAUACACAGUCCCAUAGCUUCCUUGGCCUAGCCUGUCUCUGAAAUGGCUUGUGAUUGCAAUGAUGUCUGUGUAGCCAUACCUCAUUGGGCUGAGCAUCUCUUGCAUUCGGAGGAACUUCUCAACUGCAUCGAUUGUGAUCCUUGCUUUCCAGUAUUUGUGGGAAAGGAAGGUUAAUACAACAAGCGGCGCCAACAGGAACCUGCAUAGUACUACAUAAAAACAAGUUUGUAGGGUUGUUUAGGAUUGGUUUAACCUUUGAAUAUAAUAGGAUCCUGAAGUACCUGCAAUCCAAGUCAGAAUGGACAUGGCUGGUCCUGUUCCGUAAAUUGCAAACUCGUAUGCAACACGAGGCAAUUUAACUGGAGCCAUUAUGCACUGCCAGAAAGGCCCAUACGCUAAAAGGAUUGCUAGAAGUCGAUUUUUGAUGUAUAUAUCAGACGAUGGCACCAUUGUUUGACGAAAUAUGCUGCAGGACAAUGCCAUGGUGAAAACGGAAAUAAAAUUAAGGUCCUCACAAGGUUUUGUUGGUACAAAUGGGAUGAAAAUACCUUACCUAACGGACUCUGCCAGGCAUGCUCUAAAAUCAAAGUGAUAUGUCCCUGAUGAAGAAGAAAUUCCAAUGGCAAACCCUUUCCUCAUGUAUUUCAGGACAUCAGCAUAGCUUAAGCUUGCAUUGAUAGACGCUCCCCUGUCAUCCAGAGGUGUCAUGCCCAGGUACCCACAAGAAGGCUCUAGGCUCUCAACAUAAACAGUUUCUGACUCCGAGCCAGUCAGCACGUAGACGAAGGAAUGGCUGGUGCUCAGGCAAGCGACGGGUUUGUACCUGACAUUCCUCGUUAUCUCCUUGGAACAAUUCACAAAUGCAGCCCACCUAUUUGUAAAAGGGGCCAGUUCAAUUACUUGGACUCCGUCACUGGUAGGGGCCAUGGAUAUGCGCUCGUGUGGAGGUUGAUGCUGCCGCCGCGGAAGAGGGCAGCUGCUGUUAUGUGAAUUCAGCAAGUCUGUGUCAACGACGACGAAAAGGCUCCAAUGGAUAAUGCGAGUCACGUAGUAUGUUGCAUUGUUGAUGCGAAUUGUGGCCUUGGUGUCGCUGCAAACCAGCUCGUGAGAUUUAUAGCCGCAAUCAGGUGGAUCGCCGUGCCGGCGGAACGGAGGGGAAACGUUCUUGAGAUGGCCCCAGGAGAAGGGAGGACACUGCGCUGUCUGCGCUGCCUCCUCGGGCCCGUACAUCUGCCCUUCAACUUGAAGGAGAGCUGCAAGCACAGACAAGGCAGUUAGCGCCUGCAGGGCAGUGGAAGUAGAACGACGAAAUGCACCAGCCACCGCCAUGGCAGACAGCCAGACACAGACAGUUACUGUUCGACUAGCUAGCUCUAGCUGCCGCCCAAGUUACCAAGUUGAUUAGCAAAGCUAGUUGACGCGGGUGAUUACCUGCUAAGUACUGCACUGACCUACAUUCAGAUGUUGACUGGAGUAAUCCAAUUCUUAAUCGCAGUACAGUUUUGAUUUGAUCUUUAACUUCUUCCAGUAAGUCAAAUGCACUGACCUGUGCAUUAUUGGUCUAGACAACCUACAAUGUCAGGCUAACUUUUCUUUUCUGAAACCGAGGCAGGAAAUGCAAUUAAUAUUUGUAAACAAGAAAAAUGGGCUCCAGAAUAACAGCGCGGAGCUCAAAGCGGGUACACACGUUGUCAUGUUCUUGUCUAUCAAACAGCAAGCAAACGAUUAGCGACCAUAAGAACUUCAGACAAACCGAAUAUACUAACAAACUCCUGCCUAACAAGGACACCUGUACUGGUUUUCUCUCAAUCUUAAUAGAUUUGGCCGGCGUUUCCUUUGCCAGCCCAGCGAAAAAUAUAUAGAUCAUAAAAAUGUUUGUUUUUAGCACCGACUGCAGAAUACAAGUGCAGACUGCCCAUGAUUUCUACUGACUGCGGAUUAGAACGGGAAGAAUUUCAACAGGCAGAACCGAAAGCACAUUUGCAUAUAAACUACUUACCCCGGCCGGCAGUAUUUCCGUAGUGUUUCAAUUGACUAUUGCUGAAGACGACUUGACUGCAGCAAGCCAGCAAGUUCCCAUUGGACUUAGACAAGUCCACAACCUCAGUCUUCUUUAUAUGAUGAUAUAGCUUGCCAACUUUACAAGAGUUUAUUUCUGUAGAAGAUACAUGUUUCAUGAGGUUAGUUAUACAAAUUAGUGAGAAUAGUAGUAUGACUGAAGAAAAUAGGACAUCCCUGAGUUGAGACAAGAAUAGUCAAAAUAAGGAUCACAGUACAGCUGUCAUUGGCAAAAAAACAACUACAGAACUUUCCAAGCGCUACAAGUCUAGAUCACAGCAGGAGUUCCAUUGGAAGCUAGAAUCCAUGCUCAAAAGGCAGACAUUAUGACAAGAACGAUACCAAUCCUCCAGAGGUUGAAGCAAAUAGGUGAUCAUGUCUUAUACUCACAGCCUUCCCUUCACACCUUCAUCUCCAUAACAUUACAAUGAUUUCCCUAAACUUCUUUUCACAGUGUUGCUGCUCUCUCUUCUCAACUAUGAACCCUAUUCCACGAAAGCAUGGGAUGAAGAAGGCUUCUUAAAGAGUUGUUCAUCACAGCGGUGCAGCAAACAUGGACCAGAUAUACGGUUCCCCUUCAGGCUUUCAACCCACGAUCCAUCAUGUGGCAUGCCUGGCAUGCAGUUGUCAUGCUCUGGGCAUGAUACAAUCCUGGAUCACCCUGUCUUAGGCUCCUGCAAAGUGACCGCAAUAUAUUACAGGUACCGUGUCAUAAAUGCCAUCCUCCUUGUGGAAUCAUCAUCAAAUUGCCCACUUCAGAAGCUCGCUUCAACAAAUGUAUCAACUGCCGUGUACGAACCUCAAAAGAAAGAUGGUGCAACCAUAGUAGGGUGUUCAAAAGAUUCCAUAGCAACAAAUCAAGAUGGUAUUGUUGGCCCAAGAUCUUGCCUCAACCUAAGUAGUCAUGGAAGCCAGUUAUGGUAUUUGGUGCCUCCUCGAACAUACAUGUCUGCUCUUCCACCGGACUGCACAGUGGUUGCGAAAGGCAUCCCAAUACCCUACAAUUAUGAUAGAAAUGGUCCAAAUGAAAAUCAAUACCUCGACAUCUCAAACUUAAAAGAAAAGGCAAAUAAAGUCAUCAACUUUGGUGAAACAGCAUUUACUUGGCACCUUAACAAGAUUACCAAUGCUUGUCAGGGGUGUGAGUGGAAUGGUCAUCACUGCGGAUUUAGUUCACAAAGGGGCCAGGCAUUCUGCCAGCAUCAAGGUAUCCUUCAUCUCAUAUUUUUUUUUCACAAGGGAAUUCUACAAGUUAUUUCUUCUAUUUAUUGUAUUAAUAAUUAUGUUAUGGAAUUCAUAAUUAUCAAGCUUUUUUUAAACAAUUCCUACAGGAUUUUUACCUAAAGGAAGACCUUGAUGAAAACUGUAAUCGUCUUGGAAAAGUUCUAAUAACUAGUACGAAAAAAUGAACCAAACCAGUGGAAGGACAUGCCAAAUUGGACCUUCCUCAAUAAAUAAAUAAAUAAACCAAACUUUCUCUCCAUCUCCAGGUUUUUAGUUAUCUUGACUUGCGUAUUUUAGAGCACUGGAAUUAAUGCAGAUCACUCUAACCAAGGUCAUUUCAUGCUAAAUACUAUCAUACUAAUUUGGGAUGCCACUCUUCUUACUCAUCAAAAUUGGACUUACCGACUUAGACCCUUGGGUGCUAAUACAGUAGUGCUGACUGACACAAAACUGAUCUAACCAUUAUGAAUUAGAGGUUCCUAACAAAGUUAUAGAAAGUUGUUUUCCCUUAUCUUUGUUAUUACUAAACUUUGAUGUAAACUAUUUUUUUUUCUUCCUUCCUUCAGGUUCACAAGUCAUCCUCAUUGCAGGUAAUGCAGAUAUUCCCUGUUCUUCAAAUUCUCGCCUGUCAGCAACCAAGAUUUUGUGUACUCUUGUUCCAAUAAGAGUUGCUUUGUUCCUUUUUCUUUUUGUUUCAAAAAGCAGAUAUUAGCUCACACCUUGCUUAUCCUAAUGGAACAAACUAAUUUCAUUUACUUUUACACAGCUACAUCCUCAGCAGCCACACUAGUUGUUCUUUUGCUGAUGGUGGGCACAACAAUCUAUCUUUCACUAAAGACAAGAUAUAAUGAAGAGAUACAUUUGAAGGUCGAAAUGUUUCUCAAGACAUAUGGCACAUCGAAACCCACAAGGUAUAGUUUCUCUGAAGUUAAGAAGAUUACAAGACGGUUCAGGGAAAAGAUAGGCCACGGUGGGUAUGGAAAUGUAUACAAGGGUGAGCUACCAAAUGGAGUGCCCGUGGCAGUUAAGAUGCUAGAAAAUUCCAGAGGCGACGGGCAGGAAUUCAUCAAUGAAGUUGCAACCAUUGGAAGAAUCCACCAUGCCAAUGUGCUUCGUCUUUUGGGUUUUUGCUCAGAAGGAACAAGACGCACUUUAAUUUAUGAAUUCAUGCCAAACGACUCAUUGGAGAAAUACAUAUUCUCACAAGGUCCUAACGUGUCACGGGAAUUCCUAGUGCCUGACAAGAUGCUAGAUAUCUCUUUAGGCAUUGCCCGAGGAAUGGAGUACCUACAUCAAGGGUGCAAUCAACGCAUUCUACAUUUCGAUAUCAAGCCUCAGAACAUUUUGCUAGAUUACAGCUUCAAUCCAAAGAUUUCAGAUUUUGGACUUGCGAAACUGUGUGCAAGGGAUCAAAGCAUUGUCACACUGACUGCAGCAAGAGGCACAAUGGGCUACAUUGCACCAGAACUGUAUUCUCGGAACUUUGGGGUGAUAUCUUACAAGUCAGAUGUAUACAGUUUCGGUAUGUUGGUUUUAGAAAUGGUGAGUGGAAGAAGGAAUCUGGACCCAGGUAUUGAUAACCAACAUGAAGUUUAUUUUCUAGAAUGGAUUUAUGAGAAAGUAUUCACUGGGCAGAACUUAUUGAUUGGUACGGAAAUGACACAGGAUGAAAAAUACAAAGUGAGGAAACUGGCAAUUGUGGCACUAUGGUGCAUUCAGUGGAACCCCAAAAACAGGCCAUCAACGACCCAGGUGGUUAACAUGCUAACAGGAAGGUUGCAGGAUCUGCAGAUGCCUCCUAAACCAUUUGUCUCAUCUGCAAGCGAAUCUAUACCAUAAAAAAAUGAAGAUAUCACCACGGUUGGCACAUGUUUUUUUUUUUGGGAAUACGCGAGGAGCGCAUUUUUGUAUUAAGAGGAAUAAAAGUUAUUUACAGACAAACACAAAGCAGCAGGGGACUGAGACAGGAUACAAGCAGGAAAUCAAAGGUGUACGUCUCGCGGUCUGUUUUGGCUACCAAAUUCCCUCCUAAAGAUUGGGAUGGCUUGGUUUGCUUGACGCCAUAGCGUGGCCUCUGCUGCCAUUCCCUUCACGAUGUCCACCCAGGUCCUUUGUUGCUGAUUGAAUAUCCGGCCGUUUCUUUCUUUCCAAAUUGUCCAUGCCACUAGCGUGACUACCGUGUCAAAGCCCCGCCGAAGAUGCUCUCAAAUUCUUAUUCGACUGCUGCAGAGCCAUUGGUAGAAUGAUGGUUCAUCCACCGGCAGACACUCAGGGUGCCCAAUUGCCCUUAACACCCACCACCAAAGUUGUCUGGAUUCUGGGCAGCCAACAAGAAUGUGAUCAAUACUCUCGUCGUGUUGAUCACAAAGUACGCAUCUGUCAAGCCAACAAGAAUGUGAUCAAUACUCUCGUCGUGUUGAUCACAAAGUACGCAUCUGUCAGGAUGUGGUAGGCCACGACGACGUAGUCGAUCCGCUGUCCAGCAUCUGUCCAAUACGACCAGCCAAAGAAAGAAUCAGCAUCUGGGCGGCGCUAGAGAUUUCCAUAUCGGUGCUGAUUGAAAUGGAACACGACCUAGAAAUAAUGCUCUGUAUGCCGACUUGGAGGAGUAUUGUCCUGAGCUGUCCCAUUUCCAACAGAUCACAUCUUGCUCAGAGGGAUUGCAACCAGCAUUUUGCAGAAGUGACCAGAGCUUGAGGUAUUCUCGGAUUGCCUGAACUCCAAGUGCCCCGCUGAUGUCUCUGAUCCAUGCUUUAUUGAGCAGUGCUUCCGCGACCGUCCUGCGUUUGCGGAUUCGAACAGGAACAUGUUCGAAGAUGGAAGGCGCAAUGGCUCGUAUACCUCCCUCCUGCAUCCAGCAAUCCUCCCAGAAGAGGAUACUUCUUCCAUCCCCCAGUUGGCACAUGUUUGAAAGAUAGCCUACGUAUUGCUCAGUGAUCCUGAGUACUAGCUAGCAUGCACCUUACUUGUAAAAUGAAUAGCACAUACAGAAUUGUGCUCAAAGACAAUGACUUGAUAAUUACCUUAUUCUGUGUUCUGUGAUAGCCUUGAUUUAUCUUUAUCAUUCAUAUUAUGUAGCCUCAAACACUGGACCCCUCAUAGGCUGUACAAUGCGUUUGAAAAUUCCUUUGCAUUUCAUUCAGUGCAUCAAUACCAGGUGGGAUCGCAUAAUAGAAGCCUGUAAGGCAGGCGAUUAGCUAUGGCAUGUUGUUCCUUAUUUACUACUACAAUCCUAAAUUGAAACUGAAUCUACAGAUGCGCAUGGGUCUGAGUUUGCUACUACAACCCUAAACUGAAUCUAUAGAUGGGCAUGGGAAUAAGUAGAGUUCACCCAAAAAAAAUUCAAAAGCAGAGCAAAGGAAUUACCUUCAUCGAUGCCAAGGAGAGGACACAGAACUGUCUUAUGAUGAUACUGCAAAAUAAGAUGUAAGGAAAAUUUCACUAUUGCAAAUAUAUUCAUAUAAUCAUGGUGCAUAAAAAUUUAGAGCCAAAACUCUAUCCUACCCCACCAGGGCCAUGUUCGCUGAUACAUUGUGUUGGAUUGCACUGUUUUUAUUUUCAAGAUGUAAUUAUCCAUUAUCUGUUAAAACCACCAACCAGAACUUAUUAUCUUCGUUCAUACUUGCAGGUUCGCAUGUGGAAGUCAUUUCAGGUACUGCAGUACUCAAACCUACCUUUCUAUUCAAAAGAGAAAAGAAACAAUGUUAUCAGUACAUAUAAAUUCUUAUUGCUAGCUAUUCUGAGUCUUCUGACUCAGCAUUCUUCUGCUAAAAAAUACACCACCUGCUCUUACAGUACCCAUCAGACAAUCACAAUCAGUUGAUUACUAGCCACAACUUUCAAUCCUAAUGCAAUGUGCUAAUUUCCCCUUCUCUGUUAAUUCAGCUACAUCAUUGGUAGCCGCAUUUGUUGUUCUUUCGUUCAUCAUGGCCACAGCACUCUAUCUUUCACUGAAGUCAAGGUAUGAUGAAGAGGUACAUUUGAAGGUUGAAAUGUUCCUCAGGACAUAUGGCACAUCGAAGCCCACAAGGUACAGUUUCUCUGAUGUCAAGAAGAUAACGAGAUGCUUCAAGGAACAAUUAGGUCAGGGUGGAUUUGGAAGUGUAAACAUUGUCCGCCUUCUGGGAUUCUGCUCUGAAGGAACACGACACAUUCUUAUCUAUGAAUUCAUGCCUAAUGAAUCAUUGGAGAAAUACAUAUUCUUUCAUGACCCUAAUACUUCUCAAGAACUCCUGGCACCAAAAAAGAUGUUAGAUAUUGCCUUAGGCAUUGCCCGAGGAAUGGAGUACCUGCAUCAAGGAUGCAACCAGCGAAUCCUCCAUUUUGAUAUCAAGCCUCAUAAUAUCUUGCUGGACUAUAACUUCAAUCUGAAGAUUUCAGACUUUGGUCUUGCAAAGCUGUGUGCUAGGGACCAAAGCAUUGUUACCUUGACCAAAGCAAGAGGCACAAUGGGCUACAUUGCACCAGAGCUAUAUUCUAGGAACUUUGGGGAGAUAUCUUACAAGUCAGACGUAUACAGUUUUGGCAUGCUUGUGUUAGAAAUGGUUAGUGGAAGGAGGAACUCAGACCCAAGUAUUGAGGACCAGAAUGAGGUCUACUUUCUGGAGUGGAUCUAUGAGAAAGUAAUUACUGGGCAGGACUUUGUACUUAGUGGGGAAAUGACAGAAGAAGAUAGACUGAAGGUUAGACAGAUGGCCCUCGUGGCACUUUGGUGCAUUCAGUGGAACCCAAGAAACCGUCCCUCGAUGACGAAGGUUGUAAACAUGCUAACAGGAAGGUUGCAGAAUAUACAGGUGCCCCCUAAGCCAUUUGUUUCAUAUGAAAGCCAUGCUGUGCCAUAAAUCAUACUAGUAAUGUUAUGGGAGUUAUGCUUAGUUGACGUGUUGAAAUAGUAAUGCCUAGAAAUUGCAUAAUAUGCACCUUGACUGCACAUUGAUUAUCUGUAUGAGGUAUGAAUCAUCGCUCUUUAUUACCAUGUAAUAAAAGAAAUAAGAAACACAUCAGUUGAUGUGAUUACCUUGUUCAGUUGUUGCUAUGAUAUAUCUCCAUCCAACCACCGUGUGCAGAGUACUCCUCGUUGCACUAUUUCAGUAAGAUGCCCUCCUCGUCCGUUUCAUGGGUCCAUAACUAGUGGUUUGCAACAAAAUCCUGCAAGGAAAUUGAAUUAUGGCAAUUUUUCCCAUGCAGAACUAAUAUAAAAUAUCGAAGCAAAGAGUAUUAUUUUUGUCUGUUUGUCCGUGCGAACGGCUGACUAGGGUAACAUUCAUACCCUGAAUUCGUCACUGAAUAAAGAAGUAGAUUCAUAUCCUAAAUUACUCACUGAACUAAGAAGUAUAAUAAGUUAAGUUGGCUUGGUCACAUUCCUAUCCAUCCCAUUCAAAAAGUCAGGGCCCGCCUAUCUAUCUGAUGGAAAUCUCACAUCAAACAGGAUGCUGCUGGGCAAGCAAUCGAGGAGCUACGAAUUUGCAAUGUGAAGAGAUGAAUGGGCAUGGACUCGACUAGUGAAUAAGUACACUUUAAUAAAAACUUAGGAAAAAUAAUCAAAAGCAGAGGAAACGGGCUACCUUUAUCAAUGCAAGGAGGGGGCAGCGAACCGAACAACCACCGGAUCAGGAGAUCUCCCUGAGUUCUGUCAAUCCUGCGGCUCUGGGGCCUGGAUUUGCGGCUCGGGUCGCACAAGGACACAGGGAGAAGGCGACGCAUAGCCCGGGCAACGCGCAUUGACGGCGGAGCGCAAAGCAGAGACAUCGCCGGGGAAGCAGAGGUGGCCGGGAGUCGGUGGGAUCGCCGGCGACGGCGAAGGGUUCGUGGCAAGAGGGGGAGGAAAGGGGAUGGAAAAAGUACACCGAAGGUUCCUCAACUUGUCAUCGGGAUACGAAAACAUCCUCAAACCGCAAAACCAGAUAUGCGGGAUCUCUCAACUAUACAAAACCGGUCACCCGAGGUCCCUCGGUGGUUUUCAUCCCGGUUUUGUCCGACGUGACGGCUGAGUCAGCGUGGGACCCACGUGGGCCCCACAUGUCAGCGGGCCACGUCAUCACCCUCUCCUCUCCCUUUCUCCUCUCUCUCUCUCUCUCACUCUUCUCGUUUGGGUAGGCAGCGGGGGACAACGGCGUCGGCUGGCGACUGGCGACGCCCGCCGUUGCAGAGGCCGCACGCACGGAGGUGGGCCGCCGUCGAGUGAGGAGAAAGCAAGGGGGCCGGGGAGUCCGGCGGCGACCUCCUCACCGGCCGCGACGUCGCCAUCAAGUCCUUCCCCAACCGGCGACAUGGCGGCCGGCGAGGGGAGCAAGGCGUCCGCGGCGGCGAGGCUGUUCUUGUCCGCGGCCAGCUUGACCCGGCGCAACGACGAGCCAGGCGCGGGCGACGAGCCACAUGUGGACCGUCCACACGCCGACGCUCUUCACCUUGGCGCUGGCGCCGCCUCGUCCGUUGCGGCCACGGCGGACUCCGAGAGCUCCCCGGCCGCGAACCUGCCGGCGAGGUCGUGGAGGUAGGCCGCCUUGCGGGCAGAGACGCCGAUGGCGCGGAGGUCGGCGGCGGAGAGGGCGAGCACCGCGGCGGGGUUGACCACCGCGGCAUUGGGAUCGGCGGCGGCGGGGAGGCGCGUGAGGAAGCGAGCGUAGAUGGCGGCGGCAGCGGAGGGAGCGAGCGUAGAUCGGCUGUUGCUGGCCAUGGCGACGUCACGGAGGCGGACGCUGCUCAAGGUCAUCGUCCUAGGCGACAGCGGGUCAGCACACUACACUAGCUCAUCCUUGGCUACUGCAGGCCUAGCUGUUUCAUCUUAGCUUGAUUCGAAUCGCUCUAGCUAUGCUUCUGUCAGCUUGAUUUCAUGGUGCUUGUUUGAUUUUUGCCUGACUCCUGACAUGGAUUGGUUUAUUUGGUUGUGAUUUUGGUUUUGGUGCAGGUUGGGGAAGAUGUCCCUGAUGAACCAGUAUCCUUUACCUCCAUAGCUGCCUAGCUGCAUAUCAUCGAGCUUUGUAUCCUGCACAUCUACCAUGGCCAGGAUGAGCUUGAGACCGAGAGGCCGGCGGCCGCGGGAGGCCUGCGGCGACGACCGCCUCAGCGCACUCCCCGGCGACCUGCUCCUCCUCGUCCUCCGCCGCCUCUACACCCGCACGGCACUUGCCACCGGCAUGCUCUCCAGGAGCUGGGCGCAUCUGCCCCACGAGCUCCCGGCCCUCGAUUUCAGGGUCAGCGACAUACUCCGCCGCGCUAUCACCGGUGACCGGUGCAUCCUCCGCCACCGCGGCGUCGUCGGCGCGUCACCAGUCGCCAGCCGCCGCCAUCGUGUCGCCCGUCACCGGCCGCCGGCGACGCCCUCGUCCUCUCCCACCUUGCCCCGCCGAAGGCAGCAGCCCGCCGACGUCCUCCCCAGCUGCCAUCCCAAACGAGAAGAGCGAGAGAGAGAGGAGAGGAGAGGGAGAUGACGUGGCCCGCUGACAUGUGGGGCCCAUGUGGGUUCCACGCUGACUCAGCCGCCACGUCGGACAAAACCGGGUUGAAAACCACCGAGGGAUCUCGGGUGACCGGUUUUGUAUAAUUGAGGGAUCCCGCAUAUCUGGUUUUGCGGUUUGAGGAUGUUUUUUAUCCCGAUGACAAGUUGAGGGACCUUCAGUGUACUUUUUCCUCUUACAAAAGGAUUCGGCCCAAGAGCUUAACCGGUCAUUACCACGAGCCUUCAUCUAGCCUUCUAGGAAUAAGUUCACCGGUGGUCCUCAACUUAACAGGGAGAUUUUUUAGGUCCUUUAACCACAAAAUCAAUACCCCUAAACUCACACAAACCGUGCACUCAAGAUCCUAUGGCAGUAUAUAUGGGUUGUUUAGCAACGUGGCAUCCUACUCAGCAAAAUAAAAUAAAAAAAGUACGUGGGGCCCACAUUGUCAGCUGCACAUUCUCUUUUCUUCUCCUUCUAUUCUCUUUCCUCUCUUCGCUCUUCUCUUCUUCAGUAAGGGAGGUCGUCGGCGGGCGGAGCGGCAAUGGGCGAGCGCGAUGCGUGCAGCGAGCGGAGAGCCGACAGCGGCAAGCGAGCGUGGCAGCGGUCCACGGGUGGCGGGCGGAGCAAUUUGGGAGGGAGGGGGAGGUGGCCGGCGACCCCGUCCGAGCUCGUCUGACUUACGUGCGAGCUCGCCCCCGACGUAACUCGGUGUGCUGGGGACGACGACAAGGAAAGGGGGAGAGAGAGGUAUCGACGGCCGACGACAGUGGAGGCGGGCGAGCUCGGUGACGGGCUGCUCACGCUCGUCGACCAGGCCCCCCGCUCUGUACUCGCCCACCGCUACUCCGCCUGUCGCGCUCAUGGAGGAGGUUGACCAGCACGACGACGACGCCGGUGGUGAAGAUCUAGAGCAUGACGAGCGCCGUUGCUCUUGCCCGCCGCCCAUGGCUAGCUUCGCUCGCCCGUAACUCUAUUGCUGCUCUCGCUCGCCGCUCUUGCUUGCCGCUCCGCCUGCCACUCUCACUCGCCGCCCCACCCGCCGCUCCCGCCGUCCCGGCGGCCUUUCUCCCCCUCUCCCGCUUCUUCCCCGCGCGCCGCCGCACCCGCUCCGCCGUCGGCUACCACGCCCGCAUCUGCCCGUCUGCUCCUGAAUGUGCAACUGACAUGUGGGCCCCAUGUAUUUUUUUUUAUUUUUUUCUGACUAGGAUGCCACGUCAGCGAAACUACCCAUAUAUAUUGCCAUAGAACGUUGAGUGCAUGGUUUGUGUGAGUUUAGGGUGCACAUUUCUGGUUUUGUGGUUAAAAGACCUCAAAAAAUAUCGUUGUUAAGUUCAGGGACCUCAGGUGAACUUAUAUCAUCAAAACGCAGCGAUUGUAGAUACCAUAGAUACAUAAAAUAGAUCAAAAGGUGACAUCACAUCUCAAGGCAUCAGCAUACUGAUAUACUGUUUGUUUGGUUCAUUUGAUUAGUGGAGGCUUGCAGCUCUGUAGCUGUGCCGCUGCGCGUGCUAUGCUUUCCUCCUGCGGUCAGACAAACAUAAACAGGGUGUGUACAUGGAAUUUGUUAGUCAGACAUAAAUAUAUUGGAUAUUUGAAUUACAGCUCCCAGCGGUAACAACAGGCACUACUAGGCUGUCCAAAUCGUGGCAUUUCUUUUCAGCAAAAACAGGUCCAUAUAACCUCCCGGAGACUUGACCAUCACUAUCGGGAUGAACUCUGGCGUGCUCAUGCAGCAGUAGCACACACACCAGUACACCACAUAAAAUGCAACGACCAACAACACAUUUGGCCAAUGGCCACACAUAACGAUGGCGUCCCAAUCACAAAGUUAUGAUAAACGAAAGCUUCCCUCUAGUUCACGGCAAAGAAACGACCCGGUCAGUCAAGGCAAGAAGCUGCCUCCUUCCGCUAGCCACACUGACCUCUGGAGUCAACACCUCCAGCGUUGCAGUGAUCCGAAUGCCACACCAAAGCAGAGAACCAAUUAGGAAUGUAUUGAGUAGCAUUUUUUUUCAGAACUUUUUUGAACGACUUGCACAGACAGUGUGAAAUUCAAAUUGAUAUAGUAGGAAAAAAUUACAAAAUUACAACCUUGGGAGGUCGUAAUCAGGAAAAAAACAAAGAUUUCCACCUCCCACGCACCGACAGCACCAAACACAAAUUGGGAAGAAGGCUAGCACCAAACCGGACGCUGCUAGGCCAACAAAGGAACUACAGUCGAGGUCGCCCAAACCUAUCCCUAACAUCUGACAUUAAACCCCUACUCUAGCCACCUCUUUGGGAUUGAGAGAGAAAAAGGGUGAGACAGAAGGAUGGAACCGCUCUCCCCCAUAGGCCCUCUGACAUGGUCAACUUGCAUAAGCUAGGGCGCUGACACGAGAGGACAUGCAUCUAGAGAGCUAGCUUGCACCAAAAGUCUAGGAGGAUUCAACCAGGGUUGCCUAGACGAUGUCUCCAGGGAGAGGAGCGAAUAAAACACCGCCGCCGCCGUCCAUCGAGCUCUCAAAAAGAGCCAAGACUAGGUUUUCACCCACCGACCACCACCUGCAAAUCCACGGCUGACACACCGAUGCUCCACCACCGUCAAACCUUUGCCGAAAUGUGGGACCACUGCACCGACGCCCCCCGCCGGCUAGCCUCCGCGUGCCCCACACCACACCGCACCCAUCGGCAGCUCCUCCUCAUGCCGUGCCGACCUACGUCACCGCCGGCCACGCCUUCUUGCGCCGUGCUAGCCUCCGACCACUCCUCCAGGCGUACUAGCCAGCCGCUGCCACGUCGGCCCAUCCGCUGGCCAUGCCGGCCAGAUGUAGCCAUCGCCCACGCCUCUCCUCCGCUGGCCGUGCCGACCAUAUGCAGCUGUCGUCCAUGCCUCCUGAUGUGACCAUGGCUACUACGGAUACAACCAUUGCUUACAUCAUGGAUGAACAACAGGAGAUCAAGUUCAAGACCUCCAAGUGCUGGAAUCCGAUUCGGCCACCUGCUAGACUGCUGACUUCAAACGGCCGCCAAAUCUACAUACGACCUCCGUUUUCGGCCCGCGAGUACUUGAUGGAAAGCUCUUGGAGUCCUCUUUCCAAUGGGUUCAGCCUCAUCUCUAAAUCCCAUCUCAUUUGGCCGCAAUCAAAGAAACAAGGUGUUGCGUCACAUAUUAUAAUGUGCUUAUGGGCUUGUAACUUCAUUUGUGACCUUGGCCCAAGUGGGGCCCAUGUGGGGUGCGCCCCAAUCUGGUGGAGCACGACCCUAGGACCCUCUUGGUCAUCUCUCACCCCUAUAAGUAGCUAGGUACCCCUUCAGAGUUUCGAGGGUUUUGUUAGAUUAAAGUUUAGACAUUCCUACUUGCUUGCAGCGCGCGUGUCAGCUAAACCAUCCGUCUUCUUGUUCUUCGGAACUCCAACUCAUCAUUUGUAUUCAAUUCCUAUUUGCAACAUCAGAUUGCUUUUAUCUUGUUCUUGCUUGUUUCUUCGAUUUGCUUGUAGGAAUAGAGUUGAUUUGCACCGGCAAGAUCAACAACCCACGGAGAGGUAUAUCAAUCGCUAAGGUGCAACACAACGUCUCGUACGGUUGUAGUCGGAUCGUCAACGCUCCUCCCAAAUCGUGGUUAUCUGAACUCACCGAAAGAUCGGGCCAACAACAUCCUUGAGUAUCGAGUGGAACUCAGGGUUCAUCACCUCCCCGACUAGCCGUCUGCACCCCGUCCGCAGCCGCCUGUGCCUCCCGUCGUAGUCGCCCUCGCCCGCUUCCCGCUGUCGACAUCGUUGUUGAUGACCAAAUUUGGUAAAUUAUGAACCAGGUUCGACAUUGGGAUCGAAGCGGAUUCAAUAAAGAGAUUGAUUCUGUCAGAGAUAUGGGCCCGGGCGUAUGCAAAGUGUGGGGGAGUUCCCUUCCCAUCCUCACACGUGGCUCUACAGCCUGGCCCUGCCCCCACGCCCCAUGAGUCGCAGGCGCGACCGGGGGGCCUCGGGGUGCCAGGUCAUGCCCCUCGGGGUGCGGCGUCAGGCCCCUCGGGCCCUCGCGCUGCGGCGGCCCGAGGCCCUCGCCCAACUGCCGCGUGGCGGGGGGAGCGUGAGGAGAGAGAGGCAUGGCUGAGUAUAGGUGUCCAAACGGGCGGCACGGCCCGGCCCGGCACGGGCACGGGUCCGGCACGGCCCGUUUCGGCACGGCCCGUUAGGCACGGCUGAUGAAACGGGCCGUGCCGUGCCGGCCCACGUGCCGAGCCGCCGGCCCAAGCACGGCCCGUGGAUGGCCGGGCCGUGCCGUGCCGGCACGGCACGCCUGCGGCCCACGGGCCGUUCGGGGCGAAAUUUGAGAUUUUUUGGAAUUUUUUCGAAAUUUUUAUGAAUUUUUUAGCCUCCCAACGGUUAUUUUCAAAUUUGAACGGUCAAAUAGCCGUUAGUGUGCCACGUGGCGCCUUCCCAUUCGACCGCCGCCCGCCCACGUGGCGCUUUCGGCCUGACGGGCCGCCGGCGAAACGGGCCGUGCCGUGCCGCGGGCCGUGCCGGGCCGUGCCGCUACAGUAGCCGUGCCGUGCCGUGCCGGCCCGCGGGCUCGGCCAGCGGCCCAAGCACGGCACGGCUACUCGGGCCGUGCCGGCACGGCCCGUUACUGUAGCAGGCCGUGCCGGGCCGUGCCUGCUACAGGUUCGGCCGUGCCCCGGGCCGCCCGUUUGGCCCGGCCCGUUUGGCCACCUCUGUGGCUGAGCAGCCAUCAAUGCGCGGCGCCCCAACCGUCCCUCACCAUGUUUAAUGCGGUAAGGAUGAACGUGCGGUGCCGCACCACUGGCCCACGUCAAAUCGGGUGUGACCAGUCUGUGAUCGGCCUAUCGCCGGUCACGUCCGAUUGACGCGCGGUCGUGCCCUCACGUCGCCUUUGUCUCCGGCGGAGUGGAGGUAGGUAUGUCCCGUCACAUCGGGGCGUCAUCGGAGUCCUCUCCACGUGAGAAGGACAGUCACCAGUCAUCGCCCAUUUAAGAGCGAAUGAUAGGGCUGUCCCCCGUGUCAGGCGGGGGGCGGCGCUGGGUCCCACCUAGAGACGCACAACUACCUUGCUUCCGGUUGAAGGCACGGAUGGAGGUCUGAUCCAGGCUAGGUGGGUCCCCCUCCCAUGGAGGGGUAGGUAUAGACGGUGCAUGUGGUAUCCCCUUGAACUAUAAAAGGAGGACCUUGCUCACCGGGAAAAGGGACGACACUCGGAAAACCCCGAACUCCAGGAAGAGAAGGGAAGUAAGCUCUUCUAAGUUGGGGAACCCUUGUAAUCCUCAUCCAUAAUUCCACACACAGGAGUAGGGUAUUACUGUCACGACCGGAAAUAACCUAACGGGCGUUCCUUACAUACGUGUAUUAUUCCUUGUCCCAGGAGGCAAGGUACACCAAAAGUUGAUACAAUUCAGAGUUUAACAAGCGGAAGCGUAAAUAGUUAAUUAUUACAUGGGCGACGAGAGCCCAGCACACAGAAAGGCAAUGGAAAACAGCGGAAGACUAGGGCGACGACCACAAGCGCCUGACGGCAGGCACGAGCUAGACACCAAAGCCUUCAUCAUCCAGGAGCUCCUCUUCUGGGUUUGGGAAAAAUUGAGCAAGACUGAGUACAACCACCGUACUCAACAAGACACACCCACAAGUGCAGCAUACGCCAGGACAAGGUUUUAGUAACACCAUUUUGUGUUACUAUAUGUCCAAAAAUGUGUUACAAUGUUAUUCAGUAACACAUUUAUGAACUGUUACUAUAGCCUAUGUUACUGUAGCGCAAUCUACUGUAACACAUCUAUGCGUUGUUAUAUAUAAGAAAAGGUGUUACAACUAGGCUAUAGUAACAUGUAUUUAGGUGUUGCCAUAGACCAUUGUAACACCAUUUUCUACCAUUACCAACACCGUUGGUAACAUCAUUUUCUACUUGAAGUAACAUAUUUGUAACAUUUUAUUGUAUAUAUUACAACACAAUUACUUUUUGGAUUGGUAGUGCAUUUCACCUAAAAUUACUACAUUUAGAAAAAAAUACUGCAUGAAGUUUUAUCACUUCAAAAAUGGAAGUGGCAUGACCAUAUAUACGUAAUAGGAGAAAAUAAUCACAAGUGAAGAAGUGAAAUGAUCAUAAUAUAUUGCAUUGCAAUAAGGAAAUUUACAGAAUUAUUGUUUACAUCUUGUAACAAAGAAAUUUAUAGGCAUAUCUUUUAAAAAGAAAAAAAUACACAUUUUAGCAGCAAGCUGCUAGAUAAUUGUGCAAUACAUCUAUUCAUAUAUCAUCUUCGCAAAUUCCUUCGCUUCUUUCUUAGAUCUUGAAGUGGGCAUUCAACUGUCAGAAUUCAGCCACUGAUCAUCUGAAUCUGCAUAAGAAAUUUAUUAUUAGCCUUCACAAUUGCAUUAAAUAAUAUUGACAAUAUUCUUCAACAUAUAAAAUGCUACUAUGACCAUACAUAAAACAACAUAGCCAUAUUGUCAUUUUCCUUAAAAUGAUGAUCUGUAACCACUUUACUAAACUAGUUCAAAGGCAAAAAAAAAAGUUGCUCACAGAUUCAUCUAGCAUUAAACUGAGGCCAAUUGCCACCUGAAAAAUAGAUUAGGAGUACUAAUGUUCAUCAAGAUUAUCAAUGAUCCUGUCAACAGUAUAAUUAUCUGAUAGUUUCAUCCUUUAUAUCUGAUGAAACUGGGGAAUUUAAAUUGGUUUUUGGACAGAUCAUUUUAUUACUAAGCUUCAUGUUCUUUCUCCUCUGUUCUGUCAACCAAAAACAAUGUGGAACUAACCUUUGAUACCAUUGCAACCCCAGUGUGGUAGUGUCCCAUUCAUCUUAAAUAUAUUCUUGCAAACCUGCUUCAGAGGGGAAAAAAGACGACGUAGCAUCAAAGUAUCAAAUAAUGUAUUGAAGCAAGAAUCAUUAGUAUUUAAGUCCAUCUAAAGCAAACUAUCUAACGCCAUGUUUGUGGAGUAUUGACUGUACACAUCAUGCUUCCAUGCUUCCUCCAAACGUGCCUACACACCACAAUAGUUUCCUACACACCACAAUAGUUUCCUCCAUACUACAGUAGAACGCCUGUAGUAUUUUCUUUAAAUGUAUCAGCAAGUGUAAUACAAGAUUUUGGAAAAACACAGUGCUCAGGAAAAUAAUUUUCUGUUGAAAAUGCAGGAAAAUAGUUCGAACGGCACAUUUCUUAACAUUGAAAGCUACAGUUGACUGAGAUAUACAAAUCGGAUAUCAGUAUCCACUGCUACCACCAUAUAGAAGAAUAAAUGAUUACUACUCCUACAAUGGCAAUAAUACAUUGGGUAGCAUAUCAAACUUUGGAGCCACACACCAUAGAACAAAAAGAUAUAAUACUCUAUAUAUGCGCUGGAUAUGUCAACAGUUAAACAUCAAAUAUUUUUGCAACAUCAUAUAUUUUUGCAGCAGGAACUUCCCAAUAUGCAUGUGAGCAUGCACUUCUGAAAGUUCUUACUACUCCUACCAAUGACAGUACAACUUCUAUCAAUCAUCUGUGAAGGAAAAUAAAAAGUAAUUAUGACCUUCUUUUCCUAUAUAGCAUUUCUCCAAUAAGUUGGAAAAUACCCAUAGAAUAAUUAUGACUAACCAGAGAAAGCUGCAGCCAUAAUUACCUUGCACCAAGUGAUGUGCUCUGUGAGUUCUUCUCCUGUGGUUCCAUCUUUACAAUCUCGUAAGCAGGCACACAUAGUGAUAUAGAGUUGCUUUGCCUCAUUUUCUACACUUAAAGCUGCAGUGUUAGUUUCUUGUAUCAGAACUUCAUUAGACAAUAAUAUGUUUGAUUUACUUAACAAGGCAUGGAAGAAAAUAGAUGACAUGCAGAAUAGUACCUUAAGAUUUCGUUCCCAAAGUUUAGACAUAGCACAUCUUAUUUUGAACUUCCAUGCACAAACCACAACAUGCUGAUCCAAAAUAUUGUUCAAAGCUAGUGUUUUAAUCAAACAAGUUGACAUUUGUUUGCAAUAAGAAGUCAACUUGUAUUAUAUUGGUUUUGCUCUUUUGGCCCUCUGUUGUGAGUUGUGACCUUUAAGUAAUGAUCAGGCAUAACUGGAUUUUAUCGAACAAAUCGGUCCAUAUAUACUGCCUGCUUGAAAGAGUCAACAACUUAAUCCCCUUGAAAAUACUGGCUAGCUGCAUAAAAAGUUGUUCUGUUGAUGGUGAUCACCCAAUGUGUUCAUGAAACUGAAAGCAAUCAAGCACUACUAAUUCACAGAUUUAGGUUUUUUUUUUUAUGAAUGAUCAUGUUGGCAUAAGAAUUUUGCAAUUUCGCGUGAUCAGAAAAAGUAUGGAGAGAUGUGAAGAUAACAUCAAUAAUCUGUCUAAGGACAAAAUUAUGCUUUUACGGAGUUGGCAUGCAACAGUACACAGUGAAGCUUUUCAUCAAACACAUGAUGUGCAUAUGUGUGAUAGAGAACAAGCCAUCCACUCCUAUUAAAGAAGAAUUUAGUGAGACAGUACACAAACCACAAAAAGGAUUCCUUUGGGUUCUUGUGAUGUGCUCACCAUGCGUACACAAGAAGGAUGCAGUGAUCAGAUGUGUUUGGACUCUCCAGCAAUCAGAUGUGUCUCGAUCUUGCAUCCUGCAAAUGCCAGGAAGAAAGGGAUGGGUGAGACAGGCUAGAUAGAUGGCCAGUUUUGGGGAGAGCAAGCAUGUGCGGCUGAGCAAUUUACUCCUUCUCGCCCCCUCCUCCGAAGCCGCCGGCGUCUGUAGUCCCUCGACAUCGCUCACGCGGCUCACCUGACGAGAUCGAUGCCGCUCCACGGACGGAAACUCCCCUUUCUCCCCUGCCCACCUGCCACCGUAGGGGCUGCGACGAGCCGACUCCCCUUUCUUGUCGCCGGGAUCUGAGUAGUUGAUAACACGAGAUUGCAGCAGCCAGCAGAUGGGAAGCACAGACCUCGGUUGCUCGGGUGAUGAGUCGUGGGAUGUUGGGUUCCUCCUGGAAAUAAGGAGGUGAUGGGGUAGGGGGCGUUGGGUCUUAUUAUAUCGUGAACUGAAGAUGUGGAGAUAAAUUAGCCGGUUCGUUACAAGUGAAAUUUUGGCGGCAGUCUCUAGACGGAAAGUCGAGAUUGGCGGGAAGUAUUUUUAUGUAAAUUGCGCAUGAAAAUAGCACGGUAUUUCUUUGUCUAAAAACUAUGAGAGGCCAUAAUUUAAAAAAGUUGGUCCACUUGUAAGUAUUAAAUUAAGGUAAUUUUAAUUUUGUUUAUAUAUGUAACAUGAGAUUUACUUCUACAUUACUGUUUUUGAGAUGGAAGUUUGAUCACAAUUCUUUAACCAAAUAUAAAUUUAUAGAAAUGUAAUAAGUUUAUGAGAUUAAGAAAUUACUUUCAAAACAAAUGUACAUGUAUCAUUGCUAUAUGCACAAACUUAUCAUUUUCGUUGAUAUUAUUUAAAGUUAUAAUAAUUUAAUAGAAACUUUUCUAAAACAUUAUAUAUUUUCUAGAUCGAACGUAGUAAAUGGUAAACACAUCCAUUAAUUUAAUUCUAUGUUAUUUGGCUCUACCAUGCUAUCUCAAUUAGUUUAUCGUCUAUUGGUUUAUCCGAGUCUGACUACCUUCAUAAAUAGCCUGAAGUGCAAGUCCAAACAUCUUAUCACUAUUUUACUUCCUAUACUUUUCACAACCAACCAGAGCCGUCUCUAUUAGACACCGGUCCUUUUAAGUUAGUGUUAUGUCUUCAGCGUCCUACGUGUAAGCUAGAGAAGCCACGUGGCUACAAACGUGCGAAACACAAAGGUAGCAUUCGAUGGAAGAUGAUUUUCACAAGUUCAGUGAAGCUUGCUUGUGGUUCGCAUAUUUUGACUUAAAUUUCAUUGUCAAAGUACCCUCUCAAUUCUUUAGAAAAUUAAUAAAAUUUCUGCCAAUAUGAAGUUAAUUGUGCAUCCCAUACUUAUGGACAAGUAUCCUCUACAUGCCGUUGUGCCUAGAGAGCGUCGCCAGCCGUUGUCAUUGCAGUAAGGAAUAACAAGAUAUUAUCACUCUUUGCCUCCUUCCAUUCUCAUUCAUCAUAUUACAUAAAAAAGAUACAUAUACUUUUCCGUAAAAUUUUAUUUUCCGCACAUUAUAAAUAACAUUGUAUAUGAAAUGUAAUAGGCUAUUAUUUGUUAUAGAGGGGAAGAUUUUGUUUCAUUAACAUGGAUUAAACUAAUUUAUUGAUAAGGUGAGUACAAAAUUAUUAAAACUUUAUAGAAUUCCAAAUAAAACUACUACUAAUUUAUUUCUUUAUAGGUCCACCCUGUCAGAUUUCCAUCAAUCUAGUUCUAUUGUGCCUGAAAAAGAGAAACACAUAAAACUGAUUUUGCCGCGGGUUUGCUCCAAAUUUUUGUGUUUGUACGCUUUUUUCCUCCCUCAAUUUGCCGGGUUUUCUUCUCCACUAUCGGAAGCAGUUAUGAUCCUAAUAGAGAAAACAAAACCCAUCUCCUUACUCCUGAACAUACCGAUCCAAUCUCUCCAGUCAUCGCAGCUUCUCCACAGCAGAUCCCGGCGCCCGCCACGGCCGACGACGUCGUCGGUGCGGCGGUGCCUCAGCCCUGUCUGCUCGUCCCCAGGGCAAGAUCACCCGCCUCAACGCGCUUCUCCACGCCGUCAUCGAGAUCGAGGUCAACUCCGACGCGCUCCAGCAGCCGGCGCGCGCCGACACCGAGCACGCCUCUGGCCACAGCUACUGCGGGCCGCUCCACGGCGUCCCCAUCCUCAAGGACAACAUCGUGAAGCGCGACCGGCUGAACACGACGGCCGGGUCGUUCGCGCUGCUCGGCUCCGUCGUCUGCCGUGACGCCGGCGUGACGGCCGGCCUCCGCGCCGCCGCUGCCGCCGCCAUCAUCCUCAGCAAGGCAAACCCCGUCCCGAACGGUUGGAGCGCUAGACGCUGGUAACCCCUAUCACCACGCUAAGCUGUCGUUUUAUCUCCAGCAUCUCGUCUUGUAUGCAAUGUGUUUGUGAAAUUGUCCAUAAAGAGCCUCAUGUUGUCAAUUGACGUGAUCUGGUCCAGCCGCGCAGCGCCAGCAUGAUGCAUCAUCGUGUCAAACGGGUGGCGGCUUACGCAGGCGCGCAUCCCCUGUGCUUUCAGUUUCAGCACCAGCAGCAACCACCUCACCGUGAUGGAUUCACUGGCUGAAUUUGUUCCUGCCAAUCAACGGCAGCUAAUCAUAGUAAGCACUUGUUGAAUUUGUUUCUGCCAAUCGAUGGCAGAUUAGUUAGCACUCUAUUUCUUUAUGCACACCACAUGUUCGAUACUUUGGGCCAGUGCAAAUCAUUGGUCUUAUUGUUUGAACCGACUCACCGCUGUAUACUUCUGUGGAUUUAGGCAGCUCCAGUUAGCUACUCACAGGAAGAUCAUUUUUGCAUCUACUAGAAGCUGCAGCAUGGACAUGAUAUAUUUGCAAGAUAUGGUGAGCACACUAUUUAAUAAUCCCAAACAUCAUAUUAGUGCUGGCAGUGAUUGUCAUACUUUUGCUCAUGCCAUAAUUGUUUGGAAUGUCAGAUUGCAUUAGGAGGUGAUGAAGUAAGUGUUUCAAACAUGCAAAUUCAUGUCAUCAUCCACCAGAACUGCCCCCUCGCUACUUUCUCUACCGUAUGUACUAGUAAUUAUUAUAGUUAUACUCUACUUUAAAUUUGAUUUCAUGCUGGAACUUUCUUAGGAGUAAUAUGCAACUUGUGACCUGUUUUUGCUAGCAUUAUUGUUGUUUUGAAUGAAGAAUUGAUGGUUGCAAUUGGCAGAUUUCUGCUAACCCGUGAAUCAGUAAUUAAGUUAUGAAUGGAUGCAAAUUCUGCUAAAUACAUAGCUAUUUUUAUUCAGGAUAGAGCUUCGAGCUACGACAUGAAUAAUACUCAUGUACAUGAAUGUACAUGUUAAUACAUACAUUAGGAUAAAUAUAAUAAAGAACUGCAUGAUUGGGUAGUGUGAACUAGCCUAGCAAAAUGCUUGUGUUUCCUAUUUUGUCCUAAGAGGAGUUCUGAUUUCAGUUCUGUUUUUUAAAUCGUUUGGUGGAAAAUCUGUCAGUUUUUUUAUAAAAAGAUAUGUGGAAUGAUGUAGACACUCCCAGUCUUAUAUACGGUCCUCAUCAAGGUUGUUCAAGUUGCUUAGGAUUUUAUUCAUUCAUCCUUAUGUUUUUUUUUGUCUAGGAGCAACAUCUUUGUACCAUGAUCUAAGCUGUCAACGUAGUAUGAUCAGCCAUCUGUGGCCUUUCAAUUAUUCUAAUUAUGCAUGUGACAAGAUUGUCAUUUUUUUUAUUCAAUUCAGCGAUCUCCAAGGUUGCAUGUAAGCUUUGUCCACUAGAUCAUGGAUCCAACACAAGCCUCCAGGUGCUGUUAACCUCAUCUCCACAUAUUUAGCAACAAACUUUGUGUGAGUUAAAGAUCAAAUUGUACAGUCAAACAUAUUUACUUGUGGUUAUUAAAUUUUUAACACACCUAAAUUACCUUUACUUUCUAUUUCAACACAGAAAACUAUGGAUUUAAAUGCUAGUAAACAGCCAAUGCUUUUCUACAGACCAUUUAUGAGCAUUUUUGGUAGAAUAAAGGAGUUUUCCGAUCCAAUGGCCAUUUAAGAAUUGUGUGAAUUAGUGAUUAUUACAGCAGAAGUGCGUGGUCAUUGAGUAUGUUUAUUAAAAUUCUUUGAAGUGGUGGAAUUUAAUUACACUGCCACCACAUAUUUGUCACUGUUGUUGCUAUGGAAAGUACAAAUAUUCAUCUAUUUGACAUCAACUGUUUAUUUUCAGGCCCAUUCUUUGGUUGUCAAGGUGGUAAAUACAAGUAAAGGCUUGUUUUGAUAACCUCUCUUGCAGGAUUUAUUUUCAAUUUGUUCAAGGCUGUUGGUAUUGCACCGAGGAAAUUUAUUACCUUCUUUUUUUUUCACCUUGAAAUGUCAUAUUGAUAACCCAAGUAAUCAUGUCAUCAACUCAUAUGUGAUAUUUGGAGUGCCUUGGAGUGUAUUGCUUUGAAAGCAAUUUGAAUAUCAACAGAGAUUGUACAAUGUUGCUUUCUACUCUGCUAGUGGAGGGUAUUUGUUAAUUAAGUCCAUUGUUGAUGGAUGAUUAUUUGAUUUUUGCCCAUGAUAAUGGAUUAAACUUAGAUCAACAUGCUAUCUGCAAUAUAUUUAUCUGACUACAUAUGGAAAUUCUUGUAUACUAAACAAUGUUAUGAAGUCCAAAAUAAUUUACAGUUGAGAACUGCACAAGUCCAAGGGAACUUUAGUCUGGUCUAUUAUAGAAAAAUGGCAAAAGCAGAGGUGAUUAAAAUGAGAGGUAUGAGAGAAAAUAAAAGAGUAUUAGAAAUUUUAAGUAAACAAUGCAAUGGAAAGUAAACGGUUGAUGUAAAUCUCCGAACAAACGAAUACAAUACACAUUUGAGUUAGUUUGCUAUAUGGUUAGCAGUUUUCCUUUUUUUUUUGUAUAUAUAUUUGGAGACAUGUCGCAAAUCAGAGUAAAAAAACACAAAGUAAAAUUACCACAACCUAAUAUGCGCUUUCCAGGUGCCACUGGAUUGCGAUGCUUGCGAUAUACUCCCUCCGUUUCAAAAUGUUUGACACCGACUUUUCAGUACGUGUUUGACCAUUCGUCUUAUUCGAAAAAUUUAAGUAAUUAUUUAUUCUUUUCAUAUCAUUUGAUUCAUUGUUAAAUAUACUUUCAUGUACACAUAUAGUUUUACAUAUUUCAUAAAUUUUUUUAAUAAGACGAACGGUCAAACAUGUGCUAAAAAGUCAACGGUGUCAAACAUUUUGAAACGGAGGGAGUACAUGUUUGAGCCCAGAUAUUAUUAUUAUUCUUUCAAAAAAAAUCUUGGACAACAGUUGAUAAUGUGAUUACGAGGUUCGCUGAAUUGGCCACUAGUUUGGAUGGCGCAAACAAUAAGUAAAAUCAUCUACAUGCACCUAGCAACACCAAGGCACACUUGCCUACUUGGUUGAUCGAGAAUUGCAUAUACCAAAGGUCUAGAGUUCAACUCCCUCCACAAGCAGCACUUUUUUACCAUAUAUUUGUUCGUUGUCUCAGCAUUCAUAACAUUGUGUUACUAUAGGCGUCAGUAACAUAUAUGUAGGUGUAUAUUUGUUCGUUGUCUCAGCAUUCAUAAUAUUGUGUUACUAUAGGCGUCAGUAACAUAUAUGUAGGUGUUACUGUAUGCAGUUCAUGUGUAACAUAACUCAUAUGUGUUACCAAGAAGACUGUAACACAUAGCUUUGUGUUGCUAUUGAACUUUCUUGUAACACAUGUCAUAAAGUGUUACAAAAUUAUGUUACAAUAUGUAGGUCCUGGCGUAGUGUAAAUGCAAAGAAGUACAAUGGAGUUAUAGUAUAGGGGGUUAGGGUUUGCAAUAAACAGCAUUUAAGAAACACUUAGUUGCUCAAAGCUAAAUUUAAAACACGAUCCUAUAACUAUUUAAUAUUAUUAAACAAGGCCGUGAACCCACACGAACCUGCCUUAACCCAAGGUCUACGAUGAUUCAGACCGAACUGGCAACCCGACCCUGGGCCCCAGCUCGUCCCAAGCCAACCCAGGCCAGCCAUUCCACAUUUUAGUUAUUAAGCAGGUUUUAAGAAUUGAAAACACUAACUUGGGUACAUUGCUAGGCUUGCCCAUAACCGAGGGCGCGGCUAUUCGAAUAGGUUUUACUCUGAUCAGAGGUGUACAUCUUUACCCACAAGACACGUCUUCCUCACGUGCAACCCCGUGCCACAUACCACCACGGCAUAUGGACGGAAGACAUGACAUAGUUUCCAACCCAUCCUAGCCAUAGACAAGAGUACCGACCCAACCCCACCUACGACCGGAACCUCCGGGACAGGUAGGCAGGACUGAGCCCCUAGCAGCAGGACACCAGCCCUGUGCCAUGACAUCUCGACUACCGGGCCGCAGCUCGUGUAGCCUUCAUUUGUCCUAGAGAUGUCCAUCGACCCCUGACUUCGUCCAUCUCCAUUCGUGUACUUUUGUUUAUAACCAGACUGAGCCACAAACUAAGCCUUACCCACUAGACAUGUGGAAGUACGGUAGUGCUUUGCAACAGAGGCCCGAAGUCCGGUCCUUAUGUGGUCGAGGUGCUACUAUCAAAACCAUGCACCCCAAGCCCAGCGUAAAACCAUUUUGAGAGUUUUGAAUAGAGGGAGAGGUGUGCAUCCAAUUCCACAAUAGUCCAACCAUUCCAUAAAGUCCAAGAGAUAUGAAUGUUCCCAAAGUCUAAAGUUAUAAAAACCACCUAAUGUUGUCUUAUUAAUCAGCGAAGCAUCUACCUAAAUUCAUACCAGGGGAACCAUGAGUAGAGUGCCCACUAGUAGGGGUUUUGUUUAUUCUAGGGUGAACAAGGUAAUAAUAACAAUAGCAAUAAUAAGGUCAUAACAAAGGUAAAUAGGCAUGGCUAAAUAAAACAGUGAUAACGCGGGAAUUUAAAUAAAGUGAUAAUGCAAUAAUUUAAAUCAAAGUAAUUUCAUAAAGUGGGAUCCAAUAUGUUCAAAGAAUGAUGUGACUUGCCUUGCUCGCUUUCCCAAACGUCGGCUUCAACCUCCACGAAGAGCGGAUCUUUCGAAGCUGCAGCGUCUACACGACCAACGGAAAAGAAAAGGGCUUUUACUCUAAUAAACUCCAUAUAACAAGCAAGAACAAAGCACAAAAAUGGGUUCUUGACUUCUUAAGAAAAAAUUAGAGACUUGAACGGUCCAAUUCCGAGUUCAAAUGGCCAAGUUAUGGCCAUUUGAAGUUUAUAUGCUCUUUAAAUGAAUAUUUACGAAUUUCUUCAUUUAAAUUUUAAUUAAAAAUAAAGGUUUAUUGCGUCAGCUGAGGGGAGGGGCGCGCGGACCGGGUCCAUGGGAGUGGGGCCCACGCGGCAGCCUCUCGGUCCACGGUGGACCGGGUGCACCCGGGCUCACACCGGCCGGCGCCGUGGGCCCCACGCGUCAGCCGCACCCGAGGGCGCGGGCGGCUGACUGCCGGGCCCCACGCGGUAGCCGCUCGGCGCGCCCGAAGACGGCCACGUCGGCGCGGCCGGCGGGAGACGGCGCGCCCGCGCCCCUAUGGUCGCCGGCGGCGGCCAUAGGCACGGCGGAGCGGCGGCCGAGAGAGGGGAGGGAAAGGGGGAAACGAGGCGGCGGUCCACGGCUCACCCAAGGUCGACGGCGACGACGGAAAAGGCGACCGGAGCGGAGGAAGGCGGCGGCGCGGCUCGGGUGGACGGGGACGGCGGCGCUCCGGUGGUCGGCGAGCUCGACGAGGGGGUGGACGGGACGGCGGCGAUGCGGCGAAGCCGGAGGAGGCGACGCCGGGGCGGGAGACGGUCCCGGCGAGCGAGAAGAGGCGGCCGGAGGUCGUCGGCGACGGAGGAGAGAGAGAGCGACGGCGCGAGCUCGAUUCCGGCGAGGAGAAGGCGCGGCAAAGGGUGGAAAUGGGCGAAGGAGGUGCGGGGAGGGUUUAAAUGGGGUUGGGAGGGGCAGAGGGCGGCCGGGGAAGGAAGGAAACCGGCCGGGAGGUCCGGCCGCCAUCAAUGGCGCCGGCGAGAUUUGCGGGGGCAAAUCCGGCCGUUUGAAUGCGAGAGAGAGAGAGGGGAAAAUGGGGGGAAAGAGGGAGGGGAUCACGGGGAGUAAUUCCCCCCACUUAAAUGCACGCGGGGACGGCGGGAUGCGGCGGAUUCGGCGGCGGCGGCGGCGCUUGGCGCGGGCGGAGCGGCGGGAGGUCGGGGAUGACGGGUGGGCCCCACCCGCCAGCGAGGGUGGCGGGCGGGCCCGCCCGUCAGCGGCGCGCGCGGGGAGGGGCCGAGUGGGCCGCGGGGGAGAGGAGAGAGGGGGAGGGAGAUGGGCCGAAUUCGGCCCAAGAGAGGAAAGGGGGAUUUUUAGGGUUUUUCUUUUUAUAAAACCUUUUUAACUUUGUUUAUUUCUUAAUAAUUAUUAUUUGUGCUCUGAAAAUUCCACUAAAAUUUAUUUACACAUUUUAGGCUUUUAGGAAAUAUACAAAAAUCCUCCAAGCCUUAAUUGACUUUUAACUUUGCACAUUUUAAUUUUUGAAGGCUUUCACAAGGAUUUUAAUUAUUCUAGGCAUAAUUUAAAGGGUAUAUUUUAGGGUCAUUUUGGGACGCGACAAUUACGCUUCGUAGCGGCCCGAACCUGUAUAAUCUCGGUGCUAGUGUGCAGUUCAGUAGAGUCCAGGGCGGAUACACCAUCUCCUUGAGCGAGCCUCUUCCCCCGGCCGAACUCACAAAGGGGGGUCUCACGAUCUCCCGCUAGAGAGGAUCACUCCUCGACAGAUUCGAAGAACGGAGUAUGCAUCGGCUGCGAAGGCAUCGGCUGGAGUCUGCAUUGACUGAGAUGGAUCGGACAGAGGGUAGCCGAUACAGCCGAUAGAGGUGAUGCAGCCGAUUCUGAUGAUGAUGACUUUGAAGAUGCUUCUAGAAUUGAUCAAGGUACUUCACGAGGAUUGCCGUGAUGGAGAUAAAGCUCUCGGAUAGGCAAUUGUAUCUAUUAAUUAGGAUAUUUCAUGUAAUUUCCUUAGAGAUAUGUUUGGGCAAAAGUAUGCCGCAAAGACUUAUGGUAUCUUAGAGUUUGUUAGAGAUAAAUAUCGUGUCCGGCAAGGACAUAUCUUGUAUCUCGGGUAUAAAUAGAACCCAAACCCAUAUAAUCAAUUAACACACGUUCAAUACAAUCUCGGCGCAUCGCCACCCUUUUACUUUUGUUUCAUCUCGACGAGUUCUUGCUUUCGGGUUGAGCUGCAUUGUUUCGAUCUUCAACUAGAGGUAAACUUGUCAUGAUGGCUUGCGUUCUCGGGAUUAGUGCUUCCAUCUUUAUGAUACUCUAAUAUUGUUUAUAUAAUUCGUCGAGUUAUCACAUAUCCUAUAUAAUCUUUGACAAUAUUAUUAUCUAACCUUUAAUCGGCCAACAUCUAUCGUUGUAAGGCAGCCGAUUAGGUUUGACGGAGCUCGUGGCUCCUCACCGGGAGACCGCGCAGGCCCCCCUUUGCCAGUUCGGCCGGGGGCUUAGGGUGAGAUCUCAAGCUCUCUCUGUGUGUGGAAAGAUCGCGUACCAGGAAGAAACGUGAGACACGGACGAUGUAUACAGGUUCGGGCCGCUGGGAAGCGUAAUACCCUACUCCUGUGUUUUUUGGUGGAUCUGUGUAAGAGCAAGUUACAAAAUAUCAACCAGCCCUCUCCUCUCCCGGGAAAAUCCCCCCCCUUCUCUCUUUGUGGGCAUGGUCCUCCUUUUAUAUCUUAAGGGGAUACCACAUGUACCCUCUCCUUUCCAAACUGGACUUUUCUUCUCUUUAUGGACGGAGAUUGGUAUGGUUGCCGUCCGAAUGACACUUCGAUGGGACAGCCCACACCUACUUCCACUCCCGGCGGAGACAGGCGCAAUGUGGGAUCGUGGCUGUCUGUUGCUGACGCGACCAGUGUCAGACCGGUCACAGAUCGGUCAUUCUUGUCCUCUAUGCGUCAGUUCAGCGAUCUGCAUGAUCACCCUUCUUUUUAUAGCAUCUUGCCUGUAAUGGUUGGGAUGAAGCCUGGUAUUCAUUUAACCAGGGCUAACGUGCCAUCUCUAAGAGGUAACACGCUAGCCCCGGCUGGAGACGUGUGCCUAGAGGCUCUCGUCUUGACGGGACGGGGCGAGGCGUGCGUCAGACCACCAGUCGCCACCUAACCGUUGAUCCGACCGGUCUGUGACUGGUCACAGACCGGAUAAAAGAGCGCGCUGCAUUGCGCUGCAUGCAACGUGACACGUUUGACCAGACCGCAAUAAAUGCGGUUAGGUGAGCCCUACCGUGUUCACCCAACCUAUGUACAUAGUGCAAACCCCACAGGGGGUCGGGGCACCUCGGCCCUCGGGGUCGGGGCAGGAGCAACCCGACCCCCCCCUCGGGGAAAUCAGGAGGAGGGCGGACACCUCACCCUCGGGCCCGACGUCCCCGAAGGUGCCAGGCCACGUGGGCGAUUCCAUCUGCCUCAAGCCUCCGGGCGCAAUACUCCCGGUCCCAUAUCACCGACAGUAGCCCCCGGCGUUAUGUCAGGGCAAUCAUCCUUCUCAAGGGAAGCGGCCGGGCAUGACGCCACUCAUGAAGCCUGGUGACAGGUGGGACCGGUCUCCGUGAUUGGGCAGAAACCCAACGGUCUCAAACCACGCAUAUCGGUAACGGUGUCUUGGCCGUCAGUCAUGGGCGGUCUCUUCAAGACUGCCACAUCACUUGAGCAGCGCUCGAAUCUGGGCGUGUAGAUUUGUUUCGUCUGGAGAUAUGGUAACGUCGCUUCGGUCAGCGAGCGUAAUUAACGCACACACGAUACGAUCUAUCUCGACUGCCACAACCGCAUAUCUUCCUUAUGCGCCGCAAGCGGGCGAAUGGGAUUAGUGGAAGCGUGGGCGCGAGAAACGAGGGAGCGAGAUAGCGAGUAACGAGGGAGCGAGAUAGUGGGCACGAGAAACGAGGAGCCGGGCUCAGCGAUGGCAAGGGUAUAAAGCUAUCGAGGAAAGGACUUGCUCCCUUCCUUUCGCCACUAUUCCCCUUUCCUUCGCCGUUUGCGCCCCUAACUCUCUCUUUGCUGCGCCUCACCUUCGCCACACACACUCGUUCUCAACCCUCUCUUUCUCCGACGACAUGGCACGGGGCUCCGCUCUGCUCGACGGUAGCGUACUACCGCCUUCCCGCAUUGUGAGUGAGAGGCAGGCUGGGCUGCCGCGCCGCUUCAUGCCGGAAUCCGCCACCGGCCGGGAGAUAGUGAUGCUGGGCGAGGCGCGCCCAGCGCCAGAUUACCCGGGGCGGUCCAUCUUCUUCCUCCCCUUCGCAAUGGCCGGGUUGGUUCCUCCUUUUUCUUCUUUCUUUAUGGAUGUUCUGGAGUUCUAUGAUCUCCAGAUGGCGCACCUCACCCCCAACGCAGUGAUGACUUUGGCCAUCUUCGCGCACCUGUGCGAGAUGUUCAUUGGGGUGCGCCCAUCUCUUCGGCUGUUCCGGUGGUUCUUCACCGUGCAGUCGGUGUCGCCGCCGUCGGUGGUCGGCGGCUGCUAUUUCCUGCCGCGGGGGCCGGUGUUGAACCGCUACAUCCCCUGCGUCCUCCGCAAAAAGUGGGAUGACUGGAAGAGCGACUGGUUCUACACCCCCCUCGCCGACGAAGCGCAUCUCCGACUUCCGAGCCAGCCCCCGGUGCAGGCCUCCAGCUGGCGGGCGCCGGUAGAUCUGGUGUCACGCCCUGAAGUUCCCCUCCCUUGCUCUAAAUUCAUAAAAUAAAUCGUUCGAAGAAAUUGUUUAAUUUAACCUAGAGAGAAACCCUAAAUUAAUAAACGCAAAUAAUAAUCGGAAUCGGCAUGUGGAAUUUUUCUUGGGUUCUACAUGUCAAAAUACGCUAACAGGAUUUUUAGUGGAAUUUUCAGAGCCUUGGAAAUAAUUUUAACCAAUUAAAAUGAGCAAAGUGCAAUAUUAAAUCCCUGGGAAAAUCCUUUUUCUUUUUCUUUUUCUUUUUCCUCUCUUUUUCCUCCUUUUUGUCAAAUGGGCCGUCGGCCCAUUUCCCUUUUCCUCCCCCUCCUCUCUGCUGGGCCGGCGACAGGCCGAGGCCCAGUCCGGCGGCCCAGGCCGCCCGCCGCCUCCUCUCUCGGGGUCGCCGACAGGUGGGGCCCACCUGUCGGGCCCGUCUCCCUCCUCCCGCCGAUCCCGGCGCGCCGCCGCGCCCGCAACCGUCGCCGCGCCCACGUCUCCGCCUUCCCCGGCCCUCGUCGACCACGCCCGCGCGUGCGCCGCGUCCCCCGCGCCCACUUCCCUCUCUCUCCCGCUCGCGCCCGCGCCCGAGAUGGCCGGGAUUCGAAAAUCGGAUCCCGCCUCUCUCUCCUCCCCCACUCCCCACGUCGGCCGGCGAUUCCCGCCGCUCCCGGCCACGUCCGGCCCCCUCUCCCCUUAUUUAAGCAUCGCCGGCACCCCCUCUCUCCUUUUCCCCAUUUCGCCGACCCCUCCCGUGCUCCCCAUCGUCCCCGCGCCGUGCAACCACCCACCGCCGCUUCUUCCCGCUACUCCGGCCGCCGCUAGCCGUCGCUAGGCUCGCCGCCGUCUUGCGCCGUCGCCGCCGUUCGAUUCGCGUGGCCGAGAUCCACCCCGUCCACCCCUCCUCCGUCGAAGUUCGUCGCCGGAGCCCUCAUCCUCUUGCGCACGGGUGAGCACCACCUCCACCGCCGCCGUCGGCCAUGGUUUCCGAUCGCCGUGGUCCAUCUCCCUCUCUCUAACCCCUCCCAACCUUUUCUCUAGGUCCUCCCGGAGAUCGUUCGCCCGUCGCCGUCGUCCUCCCGUCGCUCGUCGUCGUCGUUCGCCGUCGUCUCCACUCGCGCCGGCCAACCUCGGUGAAAAACUCCCCCUCCUCCCCCUUUCCCUCUCUUCCGUGUGCGUCGCCGUCCUCCGCGCGCGCAUCGUCGUCUUCGGCCGCCGCCGCCGCUUUUCGCGCCGUCUGCCGUCGCCGUCCGUGCCGCCGGUUGCCGUCGCCGGCGACCGCGCGUGCCGCCGUCGCUCGCCAUGCUUGGCCUGCCGGCUUUGAAGCCGAGCCGAGCCAGGCCGCCUUUUCCCCCCCCCCUUGUGUCACUGCCAGUAGGGCCCGCGUGCCGGCGCCUCUCCCUCACUCUCUUGAGCCGCCGCUCGGUGGGGCCCGCUUGCCAGCCGCCCCUCUCCCUCCUUGAGUCACUGACCCGUGGGUCCCGCAUGUCGGCGCCGCCCCACCCCUUGCUGACGUCAGCCCUGGGGCAAUAUUGCGCAAUAAAUUGAUUAAGAGUUUUUCUUUAUUAGUAAAAACACAGAUAAUCUUCUAAAAAUCAUAACUAAUUCAUCCGAGCUCCGUUUAAGUCCAUUCAAGUCUCAGUAAAUUCAUAAAAAUGUGUAGAAUCCAUUAAAAAUGGUUUUGUUUCCUGUUUCAGUAGUCUUAUAGCAUGUUUUGCUUGUGUGCUUUGUUUGUCGCGUAGAUUUCGCCCGUUUCGUCGAUUCGUGGUUUCUCGAAGACGUUGCUGUGGUUCCAUCAGUGCGAGAGCAAGGCAAGUCAUACAUUGCAAUUGAUCAUAUUGUACCUAAUUUACAAAUGUCCCGCAUUUCUAUUAAAUAUUGCAUUGUUUUACAAUAUCAUGUGGGAUGGGUCCUAUUACUCAGCUAUAUGUUGUUUUCCGUAUGCCAUUGAUAGCUGGGGUAUUAAAAUGACUAGAUGUUGGUUUAGGAGAUGCUUAGUCAUGCUUAGUUCAACUAGUGCACAAAGGGGGACCACAUUAAAGCAUAGACUUGAUUAUUGGCAAUAGCUUUGGAUUAGUGCCACCGCAAUGGUGUUGGCUAAUUAAAAUACACUACAUGGUGGGCUGUGGGUGCAUGGUUUUGCUAGACGUGCCCAUGGCGAUUAAGGACCGGUUCGCGGGAUGCCCUGGAAGAAUUUAUCGUACUUACCACAAGCCAGCGUGGGCAACGGCUGGGCUUGUAGUGUAGCUUUUCUCUAGCCGACGUACCCAGGCGAGGGUGGGCGUGAUGGAGUUGGGUCGGCCGGGGUGUCCGGUUGAUCGGCUGCCGGAUUCACCGCGGCACGAAAGGGGGGCUGCCCGUUGCCUGCUGGGGACGGGGGCGAACCCUAAGGUGUGGUGCGAUCGGUUAGAGGGGGUUAUACGAAGGGUCCUGUCACGGCCUCUUUCCGGUAUGUCGUGGUGGCAUGUCGGCGCACGGGAACGUGUCGUGGGGCUGUGUCUUGUGGGUACAGUUGUACACCUCUGAUCAGAGUAAAACUAUUCGAAUAGCCGUGCCCGCGGUUAUGGGCGGUCGACCAGAUUCACCGUGAUUAGUUUCACCCUAGUUUAGCUUAAUGAACUGGUUAGUUCAGGUGGUGGUUUGGGCCUGUUGCAACGUGGUGUAACGUUGGACAGUGAUUGGUUAAUAUGGAUUAAUUACUACAACUGUUUUACUGCUUUCAACUACUGCUUUGAAAUGCCGGCUUUAUGCAAAAGAACCUUUAGCCUCCCUUGGAUAUAUCUUGCAUCAUACCUCCUCUUCCGGUGUGACUUGCUGAGUACAGUGGGUAGUACUCAGUCUUGCUCUCUUUUCCCCCACACCAGAGUUGAAGUCCUUCUCAGUUGAAGAUGUCUCGAAGAGGUUGGUUUCGUCGCUGCCGUCAAGGAUUGCCUGUGGAAUGGAGUCGCCCGCUGCAGGAGUCAAGUCUUCAGGCUUAGCUCGCUUUUAUCUUUUUCCGCUGCAUUUGUAAUCUUUUAUAUUUUUGUAAGGCGUGGAUCUGUAUGUCAACAAUUGUCGUUUGUGUACCCUGGCUGGUCCUGGACAGGGGUUUAAUACACAUUCAGCUUAGAAAUUCUGGUUCGUGAAUUUCUGGGCGCGACAUCUGGGGGAUGGCUAUGUCGCCGUCCUCGACCGCCUCGCGGGCCUGCGAUCCCAGGGGCUCACCGGGGCCAUGGUGUACGGCGACUACCUCCGUCGUCGGAUUGCGCCGCUCCAGCGGCGCGCUCGGGCCGCCUGGGAGUACAUCGGGCCCGAAGACUAUAUGCGGACCCGCCAGGGGGUCAGAUGGGAUUGGGCCCCCGAGGAUUUCAAGAUACUGAUCCAACGGGUGCUAAAUCUCAACUCCGUGGAGGCGUCCCUCAUCCCCCACGGUAUCCUCCCCCUCUGCAGCGACCCAGAUCGCGUCUCCAUCUUGACCAUUAUGACGGCGGUCGGGGCCUCAGAGGAGCAGGCUCCUAAGGGCCAUGGCGGCGCAGGUGGGAGCCGCCGGGGGGAUCAACCUACCCCCGGAGGGGGUCGUGCUUCUGGGCCCCGCGUCGGGGGCUCGGGGAGCAACCGCCCUACCGACGCCCGGGGGAAGAGGAAACUGGGAGGAACACCUCCCCCAUCUCCUCCCCGAGGGGGCGGGGCGGCACGUGCCAGCAGCAGGCGCCCGGAGGGGGCCGCGCCAACAUCGCAGCCCGAGGGGGAGCGCAAGAAGAAACGGCUGCGCAAGAUGGGGGAGACAGAACCAUCCCAGGGAAACCUAAUUUCCCCUCCAAGGUGGUCAUUUAACCGACCCCCUCGCAGGUUCGUCCCGCUCUCUUUGCGACCGUCUUUUCUUCUAUCCCAAAAGCAAGUUUUACCUUACCUAUUUUGUUUGCCUUCUGGUUUUUUCUUCUGCUUCAGCGAUGUCCCGUCGCGUCCCUCCCGCCAUCCCAAGUCCGGCCAAUCCGAGGCCGAAGAUCCGGCGGCCGCAGAGGAACAGAGGCGAGAAUCUGACCGGCGAGAGGCCGCAGAUCGCCUUCGGGAAGCUGAAGAGGCCGCCCGGGAGGCCGCUCGGGUUCGGCAGGCGGAGGAUACCGCUCGGGAGGAGGCCGCCCGGGCUCGCCAAGCUGAAGAAGCCGCUCGGGAGGAGGCCGCCCGGGCUCGUCAGGCUGAAGAAGCCACUCGGGAGGAAACCGCCCGGGCUCGCCAGGCUGAGGCGAUGGCGUCUUCCGAGGCGGUUCACAACAAGACCGCCGGCGCGUCGCUCGGGCCCACUCCCUCGGGUGACGCUCAGGCGACAACCUCCGGGGCAGCUUGCGACAAGGCCGCGGGCGCAUCGCCUGGGCCCGCUCCCUCGGGCGACGCCCAGGACCAAACGGGUCCGGGGGACAUCCCCGAGCUCAGUGCGUCUUCUGGCGGGCCGAGCCGCGUCGCAUUUUCUCCAAGGCGGCUCUUCUCCUCGUCUUCUGCCACCCCGCUGAGUGCCGAGCCCCUUCUGCAAGCCUUGGCCGCCGCAAACACCGCGGUGCUAGAUGGAUUCAGCGCCCAGGUGGAGGCCUUGCGAGCGGAACGAGCGGAGCUCGAGGCCGCAUGGGCGCGCGUCGAGGAGGGGCGGCGCUCGGUGGACGCCAUGGUGGAGGUGGGCCGUAAGGCUCACCGCCGCCACAUCUCGGAGCUUGAAGCCCGCAAGGCGGCGCUGGCGGAGAUCGCCCGAGAGGUGGAGGAGGAGCGAGAGGCCGCCCUCGUCGCCACCACUGCGAUGAUUGAGGCGCAGGACUCCCUCCGCCUUCAACACGGGAGCUGGGAGGCGGAGCUAAAGAAAAAGCUCGACGCCGCCCAGGGGGUCCUCGACGCCGCCGCUGCCCGAGAGCAGCGAGCAACAGAGGCUGAAGCGGCGUCCCGGCGGCGCGAAGAGGCCCUUGAGGCCCGUGCCAUGGCGCUGGAAGAUCAUGCCGGCGCCGUGGAGACCAGCUUGGCGGACCGCGAGGCCGCCGCCGCUAUCCGGGAGGCGACGCUGGCGGCGCACGAGGCCGCCUGCGCCGAAGAGGAGUCCGCGCUCCGGCUCCGCGAGGACGCGCUUGCUGAGCGGGAGCGAGCUCUUGAGGAGUCCGAGGCCACGACACAACGGCUGGCAGACAGCCUGUCCCUCCGCGAGGCAGCGCAGGAGGAGCAGGCGCGCCGCAAUCUGGAAUGCUUCCGCGCCGAGAGAGCCGCGCUGGAGCAGCGGGCUGCUAACCUCGAGGCGCGAGAAAAGGAGCUGGGCGCGAGGGAGCGCAACGGCGGGGCGGCUACGGGCGAAAGCGACUUAGUCGCCCGCCUCGCAGCUGCCGAACACACCGUCGCGGACAUGCAGCGCGCCCUGGACUCAUCCACCGGGGAAGCCGAGGCCCUCCGCUUGUCGGGUGAGAUAGGGCCCGGCAUGCUUUGGGAUGCAGUCUCCCGGCUGGAUCGCGCCGGUCGGGAAGCGGGCCUCUGGAAAGGCCAGACAAUUCCGCGCUCCACCAAUCUGGAAGGCCUCGCCCCGCACCUUAGGAGGAUGGCCUGGGCUGUCCAACAACUCCCCGAGGAACUCGAGAAGACCAUCAAGUCAUCCUCGAGGGACCUCGCCCAAGGAGCGGUGGAACUCGUGUUAGCGAGUUACCAGGCUAGGGACCCCGGCUUCUCCCCAUGGAUGGCGCUGGAGGAGUUCCCUCCCGGGACCGAGGACGAUGCGCGCGCACGGGUCCGGGAUGCCGCCAACCACAUCGUCCAAAGCUUCGAGGGGUCGGCCCCUCGGCUCGCGUUCGCCCCCAGCUCCGACGAGGAGGGCGACGCCAGCGGUGAGGACGACGGUGGCGACGAGGCCGGCGACCCGGGCACAUUUGAAUGAGCCCCCAGGCCCCCGCCAAUCUCCAAUUUUUUCUUUUUCUUUCUUCUUUUCGUAUAGAUCAACUUAAUCUGCAAUCAAAAAUGAUGAAAAAUUUCUAUGUUAACUUUAUUUUGCUAUGCAUAUGAGUUGAGGAUGAUUUGUGCCGUGGUCCUUUUGCAUUUUAGCUUGAUUUAAGGGCUCGUGCUCAAGUCCCGAUCCUCAAAUGGCUCGGGUCGGGGCUAGUGCCUGGGGAGAUCCACAUGUCGAGACUGGCCAGGCCGGGAACAUGGUGACCGAGGGUUAUGGGUGACCCGAUUGUGGGUUUUUGCCGAUUCCCCCCCGGAGUUCACCACGCCCUGGGGCACGGCUCGGUUCUGGGCCCCGCUUGGCGAUUUUAGCUGACCGAACCGAGCCCCCGAGGGCAAGGUUGAGCACGAGUGACCUUAUUUCAAGUUAAGAUUCUUCAGAAGGAAAAACGGCACAGACACAACCUUUAGGAAAUUGAAACUGCUUUUAUUGAAAUGCUGAAAUAAGAAAAGUAAGGUUGUGCAUGUGUGGUAGCCCCCGGCUAACCCUGCACACCCGAGGGGGGUGCGUGGUUAGCCCGAGCCCGAAACCUGACACCCGACCCCCCCCCUCAGGGGUAGAAGCGACGAAGGUGUUCGAUGUUCCACGGGUUCGGCAGCUCAGUGCCGUCGCCCGUGGCCAGCCGUACGGAGCCCGGCCGGGGGACGCCGAUCACUCGAUACGGACCCUCCCACAUUGGUGAGAGCUUGCUCAGUCCAGCACGCGUUUGGACGCGGCGUAGGACGAGGUCGUCGACGCAGAGUGAUCGGGCCCGGACGUGGCGCUGAUGGUAGCGCCGCAGGCUCUGCUGGUAGCGCGCGGCUCGGAGGGCCGCGCGCCGCCUUCGCUCUUCCAAGUAGUCGAGGUCAUCUCUACGAAGCUGAUCUUGAUCAGCCUCGCAGUACAUGGUGGCCCGAGGAGACCUCAGGGUGAGCUCGGAUGGGAGAACCGCUUCUGCGCAGUAGACGAGGAAGAAAGGCGUUUCCCCGGUCGCUCGGCUUGGUGUGGUUCGGUUUGCCCAGAGCACCGCUGGCAACUCCUCGAUCCAUGAAUCGCCGUGCUUCUUGAGAAUAUUGAAGGUCUUGGUUUUAAGGCCUUUGAGGAUUUCUGCAUUGGCGCGCUCCACUUGGCCAUUGCUUCUGGGGUGGGCAGGUGAGGCGAAGCAGAGCUUGAUGCCCAUGUCUUCGCAGUAGUCGCCGAAGAGUUCACUAGUGAAUUGGGUGCCAUUAUCCGUAAUAAUACGGUUAGGCACUCCAAAACGGGCCGUGAUGCCCUUAAUGAAUUUAAGAGCAGAGUGCUUAUCGAUCUUGACAACCGGAUAAGCCUCGGGCCACUUAGUGAACUUGUCGAUCGCAACAUACAGAUACUCAAACCCGCCCGGGGCCCGUUUGAACGGUCCCAGGAUAUCAAGCCCCCAGACAGCAAAUGGCCAUGACAGUGGUAUGAUCUGCAGGGCCUGGGCCGGCUGAUGGAUUUGCUUGGCGUGGAACUGACACGCUCUGCAUCGCCGGACCAGAUCGACUGCAUCAUUGAGAGCUGUCGGCCAAUAAAAUCCUUGACGAAAGGCCUUGCCAACCAGGGUGCGCGAGGCGGAAUGGGCUCCGCACUCGCCCUCAUGGAUGUCAGCAAGAAGCUCAACGCCUUGUUCCUGAGGAAUGCACUUCAGGAGGAUUCCGUUAGCCGCGCGCCGAUAGAGGGUCCCUUCUACCAGCACAUAGCGUUUGGAAAUGCGUUGUACGCGUUCACUCCCUUCGCGGUCCUCAGGUAGAGUCUUAUCUGUGAGGUAUGUUUGGAUCUCAGAGAUCCAAGCGAUCAAUCUAAGGGAGUUUGGAGCGCUCCCUUCGGGUCCCGAGGCCUGGACUCCGACGGGCCUCGGGGGUCGGUCAGGCGCAUCCGUCUCCCCUAAGGGGUCGGGUCGCGCCGACGGCUGGGUAAGCCUUUCUUCAAAGGCGCCCGGUGGGGUCUGGGCUCGCGAGGACGCGAGCCGUGAGAGUUCGUCGGCUAUCAUGUUAUCCCGUCUGGGCACAUGCCGAAGCUCUAUUCCGUCAAAAUGGCGCUCCAUACGCCGCACUUGGCGUACAUAGGCGUCCAUUUGCGGGUCAGAGCACCGGUACUCCUUACAGACCUGGUUAACGACCAGCUGGGAAUCGCCUAACACCAGGAGACGGCGGAUCCCCAGUCCGGCUGCCACCCUGAGUCCGGCAAGGAGUCCCUCAUACUCUGCUAUAUUAUUGGUCGCUCGAAAGUCAAGGCGGACCAGAUAUCUAAGGACGUCUCCUGUCGGGGAGGUCAACGUGACCCCCGCACCGGCACCCUGGAGGGACAGAGAACCAUCGAACUGCAUCACUCAGUAGGUGGUGUGAGGUAGCUGCGAGGGGUUCGUGCUGGCCUCGGGGAUUGAGACGGUCUCUGGAGCCGGGGUCCACUCUGCCACAAAAUCGGCGAGGGCCUGGCUCUUGAUAGCGUGGCGUGGUUCAAAGUGCAGAUCGAAUUCAGAAAGCUCGAUUGCCCAUUUUACCACCCGUCCUGUACCCUCUCGAUUAUGCAAGAUUUGACCGAGGGGGUAAGACGUAACCGCAGUGACCCUAUGUGCCUGAAAAUAAUGGCGCAGUUUCCUCGAGGCCAUCAGAAUAGCGUAAAGCAUCUUCUGGGCCUGAGGGUAUCGGGUCUUAGCGUCCCGGAGGGCCUCACUAACAAAGUAGACAGGCCACUGCACCUUUCGGUGGGGCCGAUCCUCUCUGCUAGGGGACGUAUCCCCGGGGCGUUCUUCGUUCAAGUGGCCUUUCGGGGCACACUUGUCUUCUGUGCCGAUGACCUCGGGGUCGGAAGAUGAAAGGGGCGGCCUUCCCUCAGUGGCCUCGGGGCCGUCCUGGGGGUCGGGGGCUCCUGGCAUCGUCGGACAAGCGGGCAAAGGGCCAACUCCGGUCGUCAGGGGCCUCUGGCCUCCGUUCGACUCGGGGGCCUCUUCUCCCUGCUCUUUCCCGGGUCGAGUCAGCACAGGGUUAGCCUCGGGGUCAGAGGGCGUUAAGUGCGGCCUUCCCGCAGUGGCCUUGGGGCCCUCCUGAGGGUCGGGGGCACCUAGCACCGUCUGACAAGCGGGCAGAGGGCCGACUCCGGUCGUCAGGGGCCGUAGGCCACCGUCCGACUCGGGGGCUUCUCCUCCCCGCUCGCUCCCGGGCCAAGUUAGCAUAGAAUGGGGGUGCACGAAAUGAGGAUUGUCUUCACCGCGCUCCACAACCAACGCUGCACUAACUACUUGGGGGGUCGCCGCUAAGUAAAGUAGCAGGGGCUCAUUUGGCUCCGGGGCGACUAGAACCGGGGGAGAGCUAAGAUAUGCCUUUAACUGAGUGAGGGCAUGUUCAGCUUCCUCCGUCCAAGUAAACGGCCCCGAGCGCUUGAGGAGCUUAAACAAGGGUAGCGCCUUCUCUCCCAGCCUUGAUAUGAAACGACUUAGGGCGGCCAUGCAACCGGUGACGCAUUGCACAUCCCUAAGUUUGCUGGGGGGGCGCAUCCGCUCGAUAGCUCGAAUCUUCUCGGGGUUGGCCUCAAUGCCUCGGGCAGAGACCAAGAACCCGAGAAGCUUGCCCGCAGGUACACCAAACACACACUUAUCGGGGUUCAGCUUUAUGCGGGCGGAGCGGAGGUUCUCAAAAGUUUCCGCUAGAUCUGAAAGUAAAGUUUCUUGGUUGCGCGUUUUUACAACCAAGUCAUCGACAUGAGCCUCAACAUUACGUCCUAUUUGGCUACCCAAAGAAAUUCGAGUAGUACGUUGAAAAGUAGGACCUGCAUUCUUUAACCCGAAGGGCAUUGAUGUAUAACAAUAGGUUCCUACGGGGGUAAUGAACGCAGUUUUCUCCUCAUCCUCCCUAGCCAUGCGAAUCUGAUGGUAACCAGAGUAUGCAUCUAGAAAACACAAAAGGUCGCACCCCGCAGUGGAGUCGACGAUCUGAUCUAUGCGAGGCAGGGGGUAAGGAUCCUUAGGACAUGCCUUGUUAAGGUCGGUGUAGUCGAUGCACAUCCGAAGCUUGCCGUUCGCCUUGGGAACGACCACCGGGUUCGCCAGCCACUCCGGAUGGAUGACUUCACGGAUGAAUCCGGCCUCCAGAAGUCUCGCCACCUCCUCGCGGAUGAAGGCUUGACGUUCCGGGGCCUGCCGCCGCACUUUCUGCCGGACCGGCCUUGCGCCCGGCCGCACGGCGAGACGGUGCUCAAUCACCUCCCUGGGGACCCCGGGCAUGUCCGCUGGUCUCCAUGCGAAGACGUCAGCGUUUGCCCGCAGGAAGGAGACGAGCGCGUCUUCCUAUUUGCCAUCCAGAAGACCACCGAUCCGUGUGGUCUUGGAUGGGCCGUCGCCCAAGGCAACCUCCUUGACCGGGACCUCGUCGCAUGUGGCAAUCCGCUGCCUCGGGGCGGUGGGGGCGGAGGUGCCAAGCCUCUCGUCACCACCCUCGGGCUUGGUCGCAGCAGCGAGGUGGUCCGCGCGCUGCUCCAUGCAAGCGAGCGCGACUUUAAGGUCGCCACGGACAGAGAUGGGGCCACCAGGGCCCGGCAUCUUCAUCUGGAGGUAGGCGUAGUGGACCGCCGCCAUAAACUUCACCAACGCGGGCCUCCCCAGGACCGCGUUGUAGGGCAGACUGAGGUCCGCCACAUCGAAGUUCACCCGCUCCGUGCGGAAGUUGGCUGAUCCACCAAAGGUGACCGGUAGGUCGAUGUGACCUAACGGCCAUGUGUGCCCCGGCGUCACACCAAUGAUCGGUUGAGACGGCUGGAGCACCAUCCCCGGGGCCUUGAUAGCAUCAAAGGCCGCGGGGGAAAGGAUGUUGAGAGCCGCUCCUCCAUCUAUGAGGACACGCCCCAACUUCACAUUGCAGAUGGUGGGGGAAACCACCAUCGCAAUCUGCCCUCCCCGGGCAACGCACGGUGGGUGGUCGGUCUGGUCAAAGGUGAGGGCCACCUCCGACCACCGCGCCCGACGCGUCGCCUCAUGAGUAGGGGCCGCGGCCAGAAGCUCUCGCUUCAUAGCCUUGAAGCUCCGGCGAGAAACGUGAGCACACGCUCCCCCGUCGACAGUGGCAAUGGUGGCCCCAGGUUCUUGGAAACCUAGGUCAUCAUCACCAUCAUCGACGUCAACGGCGGGGGCCUUCUGUCUGGCCUCACUUCGCCGUUUACCGGAGGGAACUGCCGCGGACUUGCCCUCACGGCGUUCCUGCCUCCUGUCCUCCUCCCACUUCCUCGUUCGCUCAGCCAAGUUUUUGACUGCGCGACAGUCCGCGAGAUCGUGGAGGGAGGUGUUGUGGACGGAGCACCACUUGCUGGCUGGGCGCUCCCUGCUGGGAGUACCAGCCUCUUUCUUUUUGUCGCUCGCAGGCCUCCCCUUUCGGGUGGCCCGCGGAGCGCCCUCGACGGCGAGGACGUGACCCUCGUCGCCGGAAUGGACCGACCUUUUCUUCCUCCUCCUGUCACGCCGCCCUGUCUGAGCGGCGGAUCCGGGGGCGGCCGAAGCUGCCACACCGGAACCGGAGGGGUUCCAGGUCCAGGCCUCCUCCUUACGAGCCACUCGGUCCGCGAGCUGAAAAAGCUCUGCGGUAGUCUGGGGCUCUUUGGAGGCAAUUUUUUCGAGCAUGCGGUUGUGCCGCACACCCCCCUGAACGCGUAGAUCACCGCGUGUGCAGGGAUGCAAGGUAUAGUAUUGCGGACUUGGCAGAAACGCUGAAUGUACGAGCGAAGGGAUUCAUCAUCCCCUCGCUGUACUGCGUGCAAGUCCGCUUCUUCACCUGGGCGUGGAUAGGUGCCUUGAAAGUUCAUGGUGAACUGCUGGCACAGAUCCUCCCAGGAGUGGACCGACGCGGGUGGCAAGUUCAUUAGCCAACCCCGCGCCUGUCCCUUCAGGGCCAUGGGAAAGAAAUUCGCCAUGACCCUGUCGUCUCCCCCAGCGGCCUCGAUCCCGGUCGUAUAGACCUGGAGAAACUCGGUGGGGUUGACGCUCCCAUCAUACUUCUCGGUGAUGGUGGGCCGGAACCUUGGGGGCCAACGGACAUUCCGAAGACUCGCCACAAAGGCUCUACAGCCAACACCACCAACCGGGGGCACGGAGGGCUGAUCCUCACGUCCAUGUCGAGGUGACACCCUGGACGAAGAGGCACCCUCCGUUGCGCGGGGAGCACGCCGAUCACUACGUCGGCGCUCAAUGUCGAGGCGGGCAUCCGGCUCUUCAUGCUGAUCCUCCCGAGUCGGAGGCGCCGACGAGGGAGUGGUAGCCGAAUGGCGUGCAGCAGCCGCCGCUCGCCGCGCCCUCCGUCUUGACGACGCGGAACCGGUAGUGGCGGCGCCGGAGGUCUUGGUGGUGGCGGACCGUCCGCCAGCACCCAGGCGUUGCUGUGCCGUCAUGACCAAGUUGGCCACGUCGUCCAGCCAUCGCUGGGCUGGAGACUCCGGGUCAGGGACGACAGGCGGGUGACGUAGGAGCGCGCCAACAGCCUGAAGCGCGCCUUGAGGCGUGCUGCCGUCGCCGUAGACGAGGAGGCGACGCUCCCCAUCUCGCCGUUCUCCUGCACCACCCGCGACUGGCGAUGCUGCGGAUUUUUCGACUCUCUCGAGCGCUUCCCCCCGCUUGGGACUUUGGCGUGGAGGAGGUGGGGGAGUACGAGCUCGACGGCGCGGGUUUGGCUCCCCGUCGUCGCCGCUCACACUCGGAGAGAGGUCGUGCGCCUUUGCUUGCUCGGCCAUUAGGCUGAACAAGGGAAACUUGGCGCACACGGAAGAGUAUGAGAGCUCAGAAAACACACGCUGAGCCCCCUACCUGGCGCGCCAGAUGACGGAGCUCGUGGCUCCUCACCGGGAGACCGCGCAGGCCCCCCUUUGCCAGUUCGGCCGGGGGCUUAGGGUGAGAUCUCAAGCUCUCUCUGUGUGUGGAAAGAUCGCGUACCAGGAAGAAACGUGAGACACGGACGAUGUAUACAGGUUCGGGCCGCUGGGAAGCGUAAUACCCUACUCCUGUGUUUUUUGGUGGAUCUGUGUAAGAGCAAGUUACAAAAUAUCAACCAGCCCUCUCCUCUCCCGGGAAAAUCCCCCCCCCCCUUCUCUCUUUGUGGGCAUGGUCCUCCUUUUAUAUCUUAAGGGGAUACCACAUGUACCCUCUCCUUUCCAAACUGGACUUUUCUUCUCUUUAUGGACGGAGAUUGGUAUGGUUGCCGUCCGAAUGACACUUCGAUGGGACAGCCCACACCUACUUCCACUCCCGGCGGAGACAGGCGCAAUGUGGGAUCGUGGCUGUCUGUUGCUGACGCGACCAGUGUCAGACCGGUCACAGAUCGGUCAUUCUUGUCCUCUAUGCGUCAGUUCAGCGAUCUGCAUGAUCACCCUUCUUUUUAUAGCAUCUUGCCUGUAAUGGUUGGGAUGAAGCCUGGUAUUCAUUUAACCAGGGCUAACGUGCCAUCUCUAAGAGGUAACACGCUAGCCCCGGCUGGAGACGUGUGCCUAGAGGCUCUCGUCUUGACGGGACGGGGCGAGGCGUGCGUCAGACCACCAGUCGCCACCUAACCGUUGAUCCGACCGGUCUGUGACUGGUCACAGACCGGAUAAAAGAGCGCGCUGCAUUGCGCUGCAUGCAACGUGACACGUUUGACCAGACCGCAAUAAAUGCGGUUAGGUGAGCCCUACCGUGUUCACCCAACCUAUGUACAUAGUGCAAACCCCACAGGGGGUCGGGGCACCUCGGCCCUCGGGGUCGGGGCAGGAGCAACCCGACCCCCCCCCCCCUCGGGGAAAUCAGGAGGAGGGCGGACACCUCACCCUCGGGCCCGACGUCCCCGAAGGUGCCAGGCCACGUGGGCGAUUCCAUCUGCCUCAAGCCUCCGGGCGCAAUACUCCCGGUCCCAUAUCACCGACAAGGUUAAAUACUAAUAUCGACUUAGAUUAUAUAGGGUAUCCACCAUCCUAUGAAAUAUCCAACGGCUUGAUUGUCUAGAUACUGUUAUUCUUUCCAUACUUAUAACUGCAUCAGUUAAGUUUGACCUUAUAAGUCGUGAUUAGAAUCUCAAUCUCUAGCCUGCUUUUGGUUGCCGAUUAGGGUAGUAUCGGGGUUUCAGCCGAUCUUACCUGAUUUAACUCCUUUAUAUUUUAUAUGCUUGAUUGAUAUGUUAAAUCCGCCCUUUAUAUUAAGAUCUUGUUGCAUUUAGGUAUAUUAAACUUCCUGUUUGAUAUAUUUUGCUUGCUUUAAUAUCUUAAUAUAGAAUGGUAUCGGAGUUUUAGCCGAUACAUGCUAGAUCUAUCUGAUCGGCUAUGCUAUGAAUGCUUAUAAUCUCCUUGUUAAUAUAUAUUUUGAUCUAAGUGAUUUAUACUAUCUCGGCAUGGCGACCGAUAUAUCCUAAUCACUUGAUUUAAGUAUAUAUCGACAGAAGCAUUAUAUACCAUUAAUAUUUACAGCCGAUCGAAUAGAUUUAGUUCUUUCUUUCCUAUUUAUGACUGCCGAUCGAUUCAAAUAUGUCAUCGGCUCAAAGAUAAAUGAUAUGUCAUCGGCGACUGGCCGAUUGGCUAUCAUUUAUGGAUUUAACCGCUAUUUUUUUGUCUUUAUUUCUUGUUGAUUGCAGGAUCAAAUCAACUGGCACGCUCACGAACCUAAAGGCAAGAUUUUGGACCUGCACUGAAGUUAAGCAGAUCUUCCAGGCCAGUGUGUGUUUUUCGCAUCAACUUCUAUUGUUUGUAAAUAAAUAAAUAGCGUACGAAAUUCAUUUCACUGUUGCCGGCCCGGCAGAAAAUUCAUUUCACUGUUUACAAUCGUUUCUAGCUUCAGCAUUUUACAGCCUACUUACAAGCUAGCUAGCUAGCUGACUUGGCUUCCAAGCAGACACAAGCUUUAGUGCUCAUCCUCCUCCGAGAUUUCAGUUAGCUCAGAGAAGAAAUGGUAAGAAUCCACUGUUAGUGUGAACGCAAAAUAUGAUCUUGCGGCUAAACCUAAAGUCGGCAAAGAGAUAUUUUGUUUAGGGUGAUCGCUACAGUGAUCGAUCUCUCAUGAACAUCCCUGAUCGGGGGAUAACCGCCAUACCCUAGUGUCGGUUCCCCCUGUGUGCAGUGGCUAUAAAUAGAGAUCAAUACCUAAGUGUUAAACCCUAAGAGAUUUCUCUCGCUACCCGAUCAAACAACCCACUGAAACACAGGGAAGAAUCAAGACACGAUUCUCUUCGUGCUUCCAAACUAGAAGAGAAGAAAGAAGAACAAAGACAGAGAGAAUGGGAACUCCAGGAGAUCAAGGUAUGAUCCAAUCCCAUUUUAAUUUGUAGUUCCACUUUGUGCCAAACCGAUUCUAUCAAAUCCAACAAUGGUAUCAGAGCACCGGGUUGGCCUCAAAUUGGAACUCAAUAAGUGUUUAUGUUCAAAUUGUUCUUCGUGUUCAUGCCCAAAUCCCUCUGUUAAAGUUGAGUUAAGCCCAAAUCAUGCAAUCCCGAAAUAUAAGAAAUGGAAUUAGGCCUUCUAGGGUUUCGGGUUGAAGAAAUUAGAAGAAGGGGAAAGCAAAAGUUCAUGCAAAUCUCAGACAAAUCCCCAAGAACCGAAACCCUAGCUACAGUAAGAUCCCAAAUUUUUCCCCAAAUCAUGAAACCCUAACCCUAAAAUCAAGGGGAAAAAGGAGCACGGCGGGCUUACUUAAGGGCCAUGGUGGCCGGCGGCGACCACCGUGUCGCCACCGACGCCGGAAAGAGGCGAGCGCGCGCCCGAGGACUUGGUCCCCGAGCGGCCUCGCGACCCGUCGUGCUGGCCCGGCUCUUCCUCUUCGCGUGCUCGUCUCGCCGACGCCGCCUCGCUGAGGUAGCCGUCGCCGCCCCGUCUCGCCGUCGCCGCCGCGGAUCUUCCUCGCGCGAGCGACCGGCGGGUGCUUAGGGCACCGUCGAGCAACGCUCGACGGGGAUGCGCACCAGCUAUGGCGGCACGCAGCCCCGGCGAGCAAGGCUCGGCGGCGCCACCUCCACCCCGUCGUGCGCCGCUUCGCCGUCGUCAUCGUCUCGCUCACCGUCGCCGCGGGCGUGAGAGAAAGAGGGGAGGAGAGAAUGGGGCUAGGGUUUUCAGGGGGGGGGGCGGCCGCGCGCCGGUUUUGUCCCGCGCGGGAGCGAUCCCGGCCGUCCGAUGAGAUGGACGGCUCGGAUCGGCUCGUCCCGACGCGGGCUAACCAGGCCGCGCGGGAGGCGGCGAAUGCCGGCCUAGGCCCAGGUUGUUGGGCCUGGAGCCCAGGCGGAAGGCGGCGCGGCAAUGACGGGCCAGGCCGAGUGCGGCCUGGCUCGAGAACGUGGCCCAGUUCAAAAAAAAAGGUUAUGUGGGCUGCAUACUAAUGGGCCUAAUUAAAAGGAUUGGGCUGAGAUAAUAUUACAAUUAAAAUUUUCUUUUUUGAAGAAUUAUGAUUAUGAUUAUGAUAUUUGUGUUUAAACAUUGAAGAUAUUUUAUUAUGUUUUAGUUAAUGAUAAUAAGAAUAAUAAGUGAUUUUGUUAUGUGAUAAAAUUCUCUUUCAUUUAUUUAUUUAUUUUAUGAUCAUUACAUUAUAUUUAUUACUUAAAGUUAUUAUUGUUUUAUGCAUUAUGAGUUUAUUUCCGUUACAAAUAAAUAUUAUAAUUAAGUGUGACAAAUAAUUGUCAUUCUGGCCAAAGCUGAUUGACUUUUAUUUGAUCACAAAAUUUUAUUAAUUCAAUUCAAAUCUGGCUAAAGCUGUUUUGAUUGAAUUAAUAAAAGGAGUUUUAAACAAAUUAAUAAAGUGUGGUUUGUAUUUAUUAUUCUGGCCAAAGCUGAUUAAUAAAUACUUAUUCACAAAAUUUUAUUGUUCAUUUCCUUCUCUGGCCAAAGCUGUUUUGGAUUUGAUCAAUAAAAGAAGGUACUCAUCUUAUGCCUCACAAAUUUCCGGAAUAAUGGGCAAUAUUGAACAACUUAAUGGAAGUAAUUAUGCUUCAUGGAAGGAGAAGCUGGAAAUUACUCUAGCUCUAUUGGAUAUUGAUUAUGCCCUCCAUAAUGAUCCUCCGGUUGAGCCUAGACCGGAAAAUGAGAAUUAUGAGACAUUAAAAAGGAUAUAUGAUGAAGUAAAGGCAAAAUGGGAUAUUUCAAACCGUAAAUGCCUUAUGAUUAUCAAGAGCUCCAUUAUUGACGCAAUAAGAGGAGCAGUCCCAGAUACUCAGACAGCCAGAGAAUAUCUUGCUAAAGUUGAGGAACAAUUUAAAGGCUCUUCUAAGGUUUAUGCCACCACUCUUAUUAAAAGAUUGGUCAAUGAAAGAUACGAUUUUACUGAAAAUCUGAGGGAACAUAUUAUGAAGAAAUGUCACAUGGUUUCUAAGCUUAAAUCAAUGGAAAUGGAAAUCUCUGAAGGUUUUCUUGUCCAUUUCAUUAUGUCAUCUCUGCCUCAGGAGUUUUCUCCAUUUACGAUCAAUUAUAAUGCAAUGAAGAUCAAGUGGGGCAUUGAUGAAUUAAUAGCCAUGUGUGUACAAGAAGAAGAAAGGCUUAAGGCAGAAAGAGUUGACCAUGCAAAUUUAUUUAAGCACUCCGAGAAGAAAAAGUAUAAGAAAUUUAAGAAGGAGUAUUUGAAGCCUAAGCCUAUUCAAUUUAAAGAAAAAGGGCAAUCUUCGAAUCAAUCCCAGCAGAAUAAAUCUGGAGGAAAUCCCUAUACAGAAGAAAAGGGAAAAGAAAAGGAUGGGUGCUACUUUUGUGGAAAGAGUGGACACCGCCAAAAGGACUGUAUUGGAUUUAUGAGAUGGCUCAGUAAGAAAGGUACUGAUGUUAUUUCUUUUGUUGAUGAAUCCCUAAAUAUUGAUUAUGCCACCAAUUCUUGGUGGAUUGACUCAGGAGCGACAAUUCAUGUUGCAAAUUCCUUGCAGGGAUUCGCUAUGAGGAGGACCCUAAGAAGAGGGCAAAGAAGAAUUAGAGUUGCUAAUGGAGUUGAAACUGAAGUUGAGGCCAUUGGAGACUUCACUCUCACACUUCAUACUGGCUUCAAACUUCAGCUGCAUGAUGUUCUUUAUGUACCCUCUAUGAAAAGGAACUUAGUUUCAGUUUCACGUUUAGAUAACGGUGGUUACUAUUGUACUUUUGGAAACAAUAGAUGUAUAAUUAUGCAUGAUAAUAAAGAUGUUGGUCUCGCCGUUUGACGGGAACAACUUUAUCAAAUCUCUGUGUGCGAUGCCACCUAUAAUGUUGACUCCUCCUCAAAUGCAAAUGUCAAUACCAAACGAAAACAUAACGAUAAUGAGACUUCUUCGAAAUUAUGGUAGUAUCGUUUGGGCCAUAUUUCAAGGGGGGGAAUUGAGCGUCUCAUUAAAGAAAACAUCCUUUAUCCUUUGGACUUCUCAGAUGCAGAUGUUGAUCACUGCAUUGAUUGCAUCAAAGGAAAAUAUUCCAAGCAAAUCAAGAAAGGUGCAAAUCGAAGUAUGGGAGUUUUGGAAAUCAUCCACACAGACAUCUGUGGUCCAUUUAAUGAAAAGUCAGUCGAUGGAUUUGAUUCAUUCAUUACAUUCACCGACGACUACUCUCGUUAUGGAUAUAUCUAUCCAAUCAAAGAAAGAUCUGAGGCAUUAGACAAAUUUAAAAUUUUCAAAGCAGAAGUUGAGAAUCAACAUGAUUGAAAGAUCAAAAUUGUAAGGUCUGACCGUGGUGGUGAAUACUAUGGUAGACAUACUACUUAUGGUCAAAUUCCUGGACCUUUUGCGAGGUUCUUACAGGAAAAUGGCAUUAAGGCCCAGUACUCAGCACCAGGCGAACCCCAGCAAAAUGGAGUAGCUGAAAGGCGUAAUCGCACUCUUAUGGAUAUGGUACGAAGUAUGUUAAGUCACUCCACUCUGCCGGUAAAGUUAUGGAUGGAAGCUCUUAAAACAGCUACACACAUUCUUAACAGGGUUCCUAGUAAAUCAGUCCCUAAGACACCUUUUGAAUUAUGGACUGGGAAGAAACCAACCCUAAAUUAUUUUCAUGUGUGGGGUUGUCCUGCUGAAGCACGAGUUUUCAAUCCAAAUAUGGGAAAAUUAGACAUCAAAAUAAUCAGUUGUCAUUUUAUCGGUUAUCCUGAUAAGUCAAAGGCAUAUAGAUUCUACUGCCCAAAUCAGUUUACAAAGUUCAUUGAGACAAGACACGCUGUGUUCUUGGAAAAUGACAUAAUCAAGGGGAGUAUGACACCCAGAGAAGUUGUUCUGGAAGAGAAACGAAAUUAUAUUCCAAUGCCUAUAAUUGAAGAACCCGUUUUCUCAACACAUACUCAUGUUGCACCUUCAAUAGAAAGAAAUAAUGAUGCAACACCUGCUGAAACUCCUGCAACUACUUCUAGUAGUGUAUCAAAUGAUGAGAAUAAUGAGGAUGCUCAGCAGCCCCAGAUUGUGAUAGAUGAGCAAAAUAACGAACCCGUCAGAAGAUCACAACGAGUUAGAAAGUCAGCGAUUCCAAGUGACUAUGUCACUUACAUAAAUGAAGAGGUGAAUAAACCUAUGGGUGAAGAGGUGAAUGAGCCUAUACUAGAUAAUGAUCCCAUCUCAUUUAAAGAAGCAAUGAAGAGUAAACAUUCGUCUGAAUGGCUAAAAGCUAUGAAAGAUGAAAUGAAAUCCAUGAGUACUAAUAAAGUCUGGGACUUAGUAGAAAUUCCCGAAGGAGCCAAAACAGUUGGCUGCAAAUGGGUCUAUAAGACUAAACGUGACCCCAAGGGAAAUAUCGAAAGGUUCAAAGCAAGGCUUGUAGCAAAAGGAUUUACGCAAAGAGAAGGGAUUGAUUAUAAUGAAACAUUUUCUCCAGUAUCUACUAAGGAUUCAUUCAGAAUUAUUAUGGCACUAGUUGCUCAUUAUGAUUUGGAACUACACCAAAUGGAUGUUAAGACGGCAUUCCUGAACGGUGAUUUGUAUGAAGAUGUAUACAUGGCACAACCAGAAGGUUUUGUUAUGAAAGGAAAAGAACAUAUGGGAUGUCAUCUAAAGAAAUCGAUUUAUGGACUAAAGCAAGCAUCAAGGCAGUGGUAUCUAAAGUUUGACCAAAUCAUAAGACAAUUUGGUUUUAAAGAAAAUAAAAAGGAUGACUGUAUAUACACUAAGUUUAAGGAGAGUAAGUUCAUCUUCCUAAUAUUAUAUGUCGAUGACAUACUCUUAGCCAGUAAUGAUAAAAAUAUGCUACUGGAAACAAAGAAAUUUCUGGCCUCUAAGUUUGAAAUGAAAGAUCUCGGUGAAGCCAAUUAUGUGUUGGGUAUAGAGAUUUACCGAGGCAGAUCAAAUGGUGUUUUGGGGCUAUCUCAGAAAGCAUAUAUAGAAAAGGUACUGAAAAAGUAUAAUAUGCAUAAUUGUUCAGCCUCGCCUGCUCCUAUAAUGAAGGGUGAUAAGUAUGGAAAAUUCCAAUGUCCUAAGAAUGAGUAUGAAGCUGCGCAGAUGAAGUCAAUAUCAUAUGCUUCAGCUGUCGGAAGCAUAAUGUAUGCACAAGUGUGCACUCGCCCUGAUUUAGCUUUUGUUACCGGGAUGCUUGGCAGAUAUCAAUCUAAUCCAGGUCUAGAACACUGGAAAUUAGCUAAGAAGACCUUGCGUUAUCUUCAAGGCACUAAAGACCUCAUGCUCACAUAUAGAAAGUCUGAAAACCUUGAAGUUGUUGGUUAUUCGGACUCCGAUCUUGCAGGGUGUGUUGAUGAUAAGAAAUCCACGUCAGGUUAUAUAUUCACCCUUGCAAGGGGAGCUAUAUCGUGGAAAAGCUCCAAACAAAGAGUUACUACAUCGUCGACAAUGCAGGCUGAGUAUGUGGCAUGUUAUGAAGCUACUGGACAGGCAAUAUGGCUGAAAAACUUUAUCCCGGGAUUAAGAGUGGUCGACAGCAUAUCAAAACCACUCAAAUUAUACUGCGAUAACAAACCAGCAGUAUACUAUGCGAGUAGCAACAAAUCAAGUGCUUCUGCCAAAUACAUUGAUAUCAAGUACCAUGUUGUGAAAGAAAUGAUCCAGGAUCAGACAAUAAGCAUUGAGUAUAUGAACACUAAGUUGAUGUUAGCGGAUCCACUUACAAAAGGCCUACCACCUGUUGUAUUUAAAGAACAUGUUGCCGGCAUAGGUUUGGUAGAAAAGCCUUCGAUCCUGGAAUAAGAAGGAACCUAUAUGACACUGACUCCCCAUAAAACUAAGGCGGACUCAUUUUGAAAUUAAAUAGGAACCAUAGUCACUUGGUUCAGUAGUACUUAAUUGGCUACUGUAAUCUAGUGUCUUGAUGUACUGUUUUGUUGAAAAGUGAGUCCAUAAGUUUGUAUAAGCCUAAUGUAAUAAGUUCAAAGAGCUCGUAAGAUUAAAGAAGUUUAUUUUAAAAUAUAAUGGUAUGCUAUAGUCACUGGAUUCUUUGAUGCUUUAUAUUGGUCACUAUAAUCUUUUGUCUUGGUAUACUAUUUUAUUGAAAGAUGGACUUAUAAGUUUAGCCUCACGAUCAAGGGGGAGAAUGUUAGUGUGAACGCAAAAUAUGAUCUUGCGGCUAAACCUAAAGUCGGCAAAGAGAUAUUUUGUUUAGGGCGAUCGCUAUAGUGAUCGAUCUCUCAUGAACAUCCCUGAUCGGGGGAUAACCGCCAUACCCUAGUGUCGGUUCCCCCUGUGUGCAGUGGCUAUAAAUAGAGAUCAAUACCUAAGUGUUAAACCCUAAGAGAUUUCUCUCGCUACCCGAUCAAACAACCCACUGAAACACAGGGAAGAAUCAAGACACGAUUCUCUUCGUGCUUCCAAACUAGAAGAGAAGAAAGAAGAACAAAGACAGAGAGAAUGGGAACUCCAGGAGAUCAAGGUAUGAUCCAAUCCCAUUUUAAUUUAUAGUUCCACUUUGUGCCAAAUCGAUUCUAUCAAAUCCAACAUCCACCAGAUGUGGCAUAGGUUCAUCAUCGCAGAAGAAUGGCCUAGAAGGCAAUCGCAGACCAUCAACAUCACCUUCAAGCAUCUCUAUGACCUCACUCAUCGUCGGCCGAUCAUAGGAAUUCAUCUGAAUGCAAUGCAGCCCAACAAUACACAACUUCUUUUCCAGCUCAUGCAUAUUAAAGGCACUAGUAACCACCUCACCCAACUCUUGUUGAGCCAGCUGAUUAUACACCCAUGAUGGAUAAUACGCUUGGCUUGAGCUCGACAUAUCCUGCUUAGAGUUCCUUCGCCCUCCAACCAUCUCCAACAGAAGCAUUCCAAAGCUAUACACGUCAGAUUUGCUAGAUAUGACACCAAAGCUCCAAGAUAUCAUCUCAGGAGCAAUAUAACCUAUUGUUCCUCGUGCAGCACUAACAGGCACAAAACUAUUAUCCUGUGGGUACAGUUUGGCAAGGCCAAAAUCAGCAACUUUUGGAAUGAACUUGCUGUCAAGAAGGAUGUUGUGCGGCUUGAUAUCAAAAUGUAGAAUUUGCAUCUCACACCCUCGGUGCAAAUAGUUUAUUCCUCUAGCAAUUCCCAGUGCAAUCUCAUUGAGCUUUUCCCAAGAGAAACUCUUCUCAGGCGAGAAGAUGUACUUCUCCAGAGAUCCAUUGGGCAUGUACUCGUACACAAGUGCUCUCCUUGUUUCCUCGGCACAAAAGCCCACCAACGACACAACAUUAACAUGAUGGAUACUACCAAUGGUGGAGACCUCGUUGAUGAAUUCUUCUCCGUCACAACUAUAGUUGGCCAGUAUCUUGACAGCAACAUGGAUAUUGCCUGGGAGUAGAACACCCUUGUACACAGAACCAUAGCCUCCUUGGCCGAGCUUCUCCGAUCCCUGAAGUGACCUGUAAUUGCAGUGAUAUCGGUGUAGGCAUACCUCGUUGGUCCAAGCAUCAGUUGCAUACGAAGAAACUUGUCGACUGCGUCAAUUGUUAUCCUCUUCUUCCAGCACUUGUGUGCCAGGAAUGUCAUUACUACCAGCGGCGCCCCCCCCCCCCCCCCAACCUGAAUAUUACUGCAUAAAAGGGAAGUUUUAUACUUUACUAUUGGAUAGUAGAGGAGAGGAAUACUGCGAAUAUUAGACACAUUGUAUUGAGCCUCAGAGGACCGGUAUAUAUAGGAGUUUACAAUUACAGAUUGAUGUAGGGAGAAUGUGCUUGAACUUUGAAAGGCGCAACGAUGCAGCAGCUAGCUGGGGUAAUAUGGAGUGUGUAACUAUAUAAAUGCUCACAAAUUAAUUGUUGUGGGGGACACUAACUUGAAUAGAGAUGAGAUUUGCUCCGGUCCAACAAAAAGUACCUCGAGAUAGCGGUACUUCACGGCACCAAAUUGUUUCCGAUCGUUAGAUCUAACAAUGCCCGUCAUGCCCAGCUAGAUCCAACGAUCGAAAACGUUUUGGUACCGUGAAGUACCGGUACCUCGAGUUACUUUUUGUUGGACCGGAGCAAAUCUCAUUUGUGAAUGCCGCUAGCUGUAACAGUUUUAAAGAAGAGAAUAAUGACUUUAAACCAUGUGAAGCUGAGUUUCGAAAUUCAUUCAUCUAAAAAAAAAGUAAAGCUGAGUAACGAAAUUAUUAUGGCAAUGACAAACAAAAAGAUGACAUUUUAAUAUGAAUUGCCAACUAGGCGUUGGAGUCAACUAAUAUACACAAAAAGAUGUAAAGUUUAGCACAGCGUGCAGAGAAGAGCAUCUUCCAAACUCCAAGGAAAUACCAAUAAGACAAUUCUCACAGUGCAGGAAACUUGAGGAUAAAAAGCUAGGCAAUCUAAAACUAGAAUGUAGCAAUAAGGAUCAUCUGUUUAAGUACAUAUAUACACGAUUUCUUUACCAGCAAUCCACUUGAGAAGCCACAUGGCGAUUAUUGUUAGUAGAACGAACAAUUUGACAGCUGCAGGUAAUCUAGCUACACGGAUUACGCAUGCCAUGUAACGAAUGUCGAACGUCGCAGUGUCUGCCAUAGUGUACUUGAUGCCUGCACUAGACGCUGGUUCUUCUCGGAAAUGUCUACAAAGACCAUGCAAAACGAAUUUAAGACGAUCGAGGUCACUAGUGGGAUCAAUGCAAGAAAAUCAAUGAAACCACAGGAUAUAUCGCAAGCUCACCGAAAUGUCUCUGCCCUGCACUCCUUGAAAGAGUACGCAGCAUCAAUCGUGUAAGGAAACCGAACAGCGAAUCCACCUCUCAUUAUUUUGACGACAUCCUCGCAGCUUGGAUUCUCUUCUAGCACUCUUGUGUCGUUGCCGUGCAAAGGAGUAAUGGCCAGGUGCCCACACGAAGGCUCAAGAUUAUCAAUAUAACAAGAGUAUAUGCUGCCAAUUAGCACGUAAACGAAGGAACGGCUGGUAUUAUUCAGGCAAGCGACAGGCCUGUACUUCUCAUUGUUGUUUAUUUCCUGCGAACAAUUCACAAAGGCUGACCACCUACUUGAAGCAGGCUCCAGCUCGAUAUGGAUGGUGUGGCAACCAGUAUUCAGGGUUGUAGUUGGAUAAGGUGGAACAAUCCUCUGAGGAAGUGUGUUAGGUGAAUCCGAGAUGUUGGCAUCGACAACCCAGAAGGUAGAAUCACUGUAGUUGAUGCCCGUCACAGAGUACGUUCCCUCGUAGAUCUGAAUCGUAGCCUUGUCAUCGGUGCAAGUCAGCUCGUAGGAUGUAAAACCGCAUCCAGAUGGGUCACCUCGCCGGCGGAAAGGAGACGACACGUUGCUAAGACGGCCGCAGGUGAACGGAAGGCAGUCAUGCCGAUGAUGCUGAUGCCGCCCACCUGCAUCUGGGACGACAACUGCAAGCACAAACAAUACAGAGAUGACUCGCAGGGCGGUUGAGCGAUGGAACGAACCAGGAAUAAUGAUCGCCAUGCUGGAGGCAGAAGGAGAUGAAUGAGAGUGGCUAGAGAUGAACUUAUUUUAAGACGACAUGAGAGAGGCUAGAGAUGAACUUAUUUGGACAGAGUGAGGUAGGAGUAAUACUAAAGCAAUAUAUUCACUGUGGGCUCCUCGAUAGUUAACCGUCGAUGAACAACUUUCUUGUAAACUUUUUUCUCUCCAUCUUAAUUAUAUUGGAUGACCUCCUUCAGUCAUCCCGACAAAAUAUUCACCGUGGGCCUACACGACUGUGAUGCUGUUGACUUGGAGGCACUUAUUAACGUAGACAGGUUACAUCCAGACCAUCACCAGUCACUCAGCUACCCCAGGCAAGCCUUAUCGACUAUCGUAUAACAGAGCAAUUUGUAUGGAUACAUCAUACAUAUGGUACUCUACCAAGUUAGCUUCACGAGUUGAUUCCAGUUACAACAAAAGAGAGUUCCAAUGACAACAAAAGAUAAAUGAGUUUCAUGUAGUUACACGUCUACUGGUUUAUUGGAUAUGCAGUACACGUCUACUGGUUUACAUGUAGUUACACGUCUAGCAGAAAUAUAUACACGUUGUAGAAUCUACGAACGGUCUCCGAAGGUCACAUACUCACAUACCUUUCUAAGCAAUACAACACGGCAGAAGUUUCAGUGGCAGUUGGAAUUCCUGCUCACAGACGCAGCAAUCGUGACAAACACAGGAUAAAUCCUCACUGGAGAUCAUAGCAAUAGGUGAUCCUUUUUCUAUAGCCACGGCCUUCUCUUCAUCUGCCUUCCUCGCCAUUACACUCCAUGGACUUGCCAAAACUUCUCUUCACAGUACUCAUACUCUCUCUUCUCAACUACGAAUCCUCUUCCGCCACAGCAUGGGAUGAUGAAGAUUUCUUCAAGACUUGCUCAUCACACAGGUGCAGCAAGCAUGGACCAGAGAUCAGGUUCCCUUUCCGGCUCUCGACACAACCUCCAUCAUGCGGCGCACCCGGCAUGCACUUGUCAUGCUCUGGACAGGACACCAUCCUCAAUCACCCAGUUCUUGGUCCCUGCAAAGUAACCGAGAUAAGUUACAGUUAUGCUACCAUGAACGUCAUCCCACCUGUAGAUUCCUCACCUCACUGCCCACUUCAGAAGCUCAUGUCGAAAAACCAAUCAACUUCUGUGUACAAACCUCAAGGUCCUCAAUCGCAGGGAGCUACCCUUGUAGUUUGUUCAAGAGAUCCCAUACCUGCAAAUCAAUACGACAUAGUUGGCCCAAUAUCUUGCCUCGGCCAUAAUAACCAGUUCUGGUAUUUGGCAGAUCCCUAUACAUACAUGUCUGUUCUUCCCUUGGACUGCACAGUUAUUUCUAAAGGCAUCCCAAUGCCCUAUAGUUAUGAUAAAAAAGGGAGAAUAAACUGGGACACCUCAAACUUCAAGGAAACAGCAAAUAGAGUCAUCAACGAUGGUGAGACAGUAUUCAUGUGGUACUCUAGUAACAUUACUAGUAUUUGCCAACGAUGUGAAUAUGAAGGCCGACCCUGUGGUUUCAGUUCACAAAGUGGUCAAGCAUUCUGUCGGCGUCAUGGUAUUUUUUCUCUCUCUUUUUGAAGCACAAACCCCAUAUCAUUAUGGUGACUUGUUUCAUUUUCGAAUAGCAUUCAAUAUUUUUUUUCCAAUUCUCAGUACGUUAGUUAUCCAAUCUUCUAUAUUCUAAUACAGUGAUUUCAAGCUCGAUGCAAUAUUUUCACCUUGCAAUCAAACAGUUUAGCAAAAGUGAAGGUGUACUGUGAAUCACUUGAUUGCUAGCUUGGAUGAACAUUUUAGCUCUAGGUUCACAUCCGUAAUGUUCUAACAGAAGCCCCUGCAAAGAGAUGACAGUGUCUAAAAUAAUUAAAUAAUAAUUUUCCCUUUUUCUUUCGCUUCAAACCAAAGUAACUGUUCAAAAUAGUGCUUUGUUGUACACAGAUUACGGUGCACUAAUGAAAAUUCACAAACUGUACAACGUUACAUAGAAGUAUUAACAUUCAUAAAUGUUUAUCUAUACUAAUAUAAAAGAUGGUAGUGGUGGUGGUGAGUCUGCCACCACCACCAGCCAACUACCAUGCGGGACCCACGAAAUGUGAGAUAAAACUUUGAUUGUUUCGUAACCCCCACAUGCCAUAGACCCCGUCGAAAGGAAAAUAUGACAAUAGAAUAUUAUGGAAUUUUUCAUCUUUGCGAAAUGGCAGCAAAAUUAGCACAAUAAUAAUAUACUAGACAAUUAGAAAAAACCCGUUGCAAUGCACGGACAUUAUGCUAGUAUGAUAUAACACUGUUCUCUGUAUUUCAGCAAAAACAAAAAAAAGAAAAGAAAAACAUAUGUACAAUCCAUUUGAUGGACCUGAAUUUAUGUGACAACUCCAAUAACUUAUAAGACAAGUUGAAAGUUAAUAUUACUACAGUAGGAAACAAUAAUGUACCAGUAUCAUAUAGACUAUGACUCUAUGAGCAGAGAGAUUAUAUGGUGCCAACAGAGUAGAGAUCUCACUUGAUAAUGCAGUGAUAAGGGGUAUGUGGUUUCAACCCCGAGGUCCCGUGUUCAAUCCCCAGUAUGCUCACAAUUUCUUCUUAAAAAUUUUUUGGAGGGACGUCUCUCCCUCCAAAUCUCCUUUUUUUUUUGGGUGCUAACAGAGUAGAAUCCAGAACAUGCUUUGCAGACUGCAGUGAUCUGUGAGAUCAUUAUAUUAGAUAUUCCAUCCUUCUAAAUAAUUUAAACUAAAGCAUUUCUCUUUUUAUGGUUGGUUAAGAUAAGAAUCCUCCCUCCCAUCCUAUUCCCUUUUAUGACUACUAGCUAAAUGCCCGUGCUUUGCUGCGGAUAAAAGGAAAAAUAUAACAAUAUUUUAUAACAUAAAUAAAUCAUAUUUUCCAUGAAAUAUGUUAUCCACAUUUCCCCUAUAGGAAAAUGUGGGCUAUCCACAUUAAUUUUAUAUGUGGCUAUCCAUUUAGAUUUAGUUGUUAUGUAAUAUUAAAAAGUUCAAAGGGUAAUAUGUAAAACUUGUAAUAGGAGUAGGUGGGUGGAAAAUUCACUGCCACCACCAUUGGAAUCUUUUUAAAGGAGUAUAGAUACCCAUGCAAGUUUUAAAAUUCUAUACAGCAAGCCAUAUAAAAAUCUGGAAUCAGUUUUACUUUUAUUUUAAAAAAACAUCCUUUUUAUAUACAAAUCAAGGGAAUACUAAUUCUCUUUCUUUCUACAUGCAGGACCGCGGGUCACUCUUGUUGCAGGUAAGGAAAUAACUCAAUCUUUUGUCCAUUCUGCAUGAAAUUUCAAUUAAAUGCCACCCAAUUUAUGAACUUUCAACAAAGAGAGUGUAUAUAUUUUCUAAUCCAAAUAAGAAAUGCCAUGAUUAUCUUGACAAUAAAGGCACAUCUGGAAAAUAAAUUACAGAAUUAUGUCAUCUCCAAAUGCAGCUAACUAACUUUCUUAUUUUUCAAUCAGCUACAUCAUCUGUAGCCACAUUUGUAAUUCUUUCAUUAGUUGUGGCCACUGCAUUCUACAUCUCCUUAAAGUCAAGGUACAACAAAGAGAUACAUUUGAAAGUUGAAAUGUUUCUCAAGACAUAUGGCACAUCCAAGCCCAUGAGGUACACUUUCUCCGAUGUUAAGAAAAUAACAAGACGGUUCAAGAAUAAAUUAGGCCAUGGUGGAUUUGGAAGUGUCUACAAAGGUGAGCUACCAAAUGGAGUUCCUGUGGCAGUCAAGAUGCUAGAGAACUCCUUAGGAGAGGGAGAAGAGUUCAUCAAUGAAGUUGCGACCAUUGGGAGAAUUCACCAUGCAAACAUCGUCCGUCUCCUAGGAUUUUGCUCUGAAGGAACACGACGGGCUUUAAUAUAUGAAUUCAUGCCCAAUGAAUCGUUGGAGAAAUAUAUAUUCUCAAAUGGUUCUAAUAUUUCAAGAGAAUUCCUAGUACCAAAGAAAAUGCUAGAUAUUGCUUUAGGCAUCGCCCGAGGAAUGGAGUACUUGCACCAAGGGUGCAAUCAGCGCAUUCUCCAUUUUGACAUCAAGCCUCACAACAUAUUGUUGGACUACAGCUUCAGUCCAAAGAUCUCAGACUUUGGGCUUGCAAAGUUGUGCGCAAGAGAUCAAAGCAUUGUCACAUUAACUGCAGCAAGGGGCACGAUGGGUUAUAUUGCACCAGAACUAUAUUCUCGGAGUUUUGGAGCAAUAUCAUACAAGUCGGAUGUCUACAGUUUCGGCAUGCUGGUGUUAGAAAUGGUGAGUGGGAGGAGGAACACAGACCCAACCGUUGAGAACCAAAAUGAGUUCUACUUUCCUGAGUGGAUAUAUGAGAGAGUAAUCAAUGGGCAGGAACUGGUGCUUAACAUGGAGACAACACAAGGGGAGAAAGAAACGGUUAGACAGCUAGCCAUUGUAGCGUUAUGGUGCAUUCAGUGGAACCCAACAAACCGGCCCUCGAUGACAAAGGUAGUAAACAUGUUAACGGGGAGGUUGCAGAAACUACAGGUGCCGCCUAAGCCCUUCAUUUCGUCUGAAAAUCAUCUUGCGACUUAGAUCAUGGAAACACAAUUCCAUGGUUUAGAGAUAUGUUUGAUCGAUCCGUAGCUUGUAUGUAUGGUGUAAGAUUAUUCAACUAUAUUGUGCUAUCAGACAUAUGGUAUAUGUAUUCAUGCAAUUCUAAUAUCCCGUGGAUUUGAUUUGCAGUGUGAUAGUUAAAAGAUGAUAACUUGAUUACCUUAUUCUGUCAUUGCUACCAGUGCACUAAUCCUCCUCGCUGAGCACACAUUUUUCGUACCCAUCUCAUCCCCACACUGCCAAUCUACUAACUGUCCUUGUUCUUACCCAUCCCAUCCCCACAAAGGAUCCUGCAGCGCAGGCAACUGAUUAUCUCAUCUCAUGUUCACUCCUGGUAUUGCAUAAUUUAGAACAGAAAAAGAAAAAAAAAAAGCAGCACGACAAAGGGAAAAGGGGUUACCAUUUAGCAAGGCACGAGCAUCCGCAGGAGGUCUCGGAGAGUGUAGAAUGCGGGAGGGGAUUAGAGAAUAUGAUUAAACGUGGUAUCGGGCUUGUUAGAGAUUCCACCGGUCGCUAGCUGCCGCCUGCGGCGCCAUUGAGGAAUAACCGAAGCAAUUUCCAUCUGCGGAAUGAGCGGAGGCGACUCGCAAAAUGGCAGACUGCCGCAGCAAGAUUAACCGAAACUCGGCGCGCGGGGCGUGGGAAUGUGGGAUGGCCGGAGGACGGCGGCCGGAUGGGUGGGGCUGGGCGGCGGCGGAAGGCGUAGGGAGAACUAGUGUGCUUUAUCACAGGUUGGGCCCGUCCGUCUAAUUCCCGUGGCCCAUGAAGACGAGCUUCCUGGGCCGCAUCCUUCAUGAUCUUCCGAGCCCAACAGGCUCCUCACAAUCUCGUUAGAAAUAAGUUCACUGUAGGUACCUCAACUUAACAGCGACAUUUUUUAAGGUCCCUUAACCACAAAACCAGAAAUCUUCACCCCUAAACUAUACAAAACCGUCUAAUUUAGGUCCCAAGGCAGUAUAGAUGGCUAGUUUCGCUGACGUGGCAUCCUAGUCAGCAAAAAUAAUAAAAUAAAUAUGUGGGGCCCAUAUGUCAGUGAGAGAAAAUAAUGUGGGCCCUACAUCUCUUUUUUCUUUUCUUUUUCUCUUCUCUUCUCAACUUCUCACGCGCAGGCGGGUGUGCGGGCGCGGCCGCCGGCGCUGCGGGCUCUGCGGUGCACGGGGAAGAAGCGGGAGAGGGGGAGAGGAGGCGGCCGGCACCAGAGAAGGGGAGAGAGGCGGCCGGCGCGAGGCCCGCGCCGAGGUGGAGGGCAUGGGCGCCCCGGCGCUCCCCGCGCGCCACCGCCUGCGCGUGGAGGGGAACCGGUGGCAGCGGGACUGGAAGUUGUCGGAGGCCGCCGCGCGCCUAGGCCGGCGCCGUCUACGUGCUCAACUGCUGGGCUGGCCGCAACUUCCCUCUCCUCAUCCGCGUAAGGGCAUCAUCCCACGCUCUGUAGUAUUUCAUGAAUUGAAUUGCGGAUGAUAUACAUCGAUGUGGCUGUCAUGGUUGCGUUCUUAUGAUUUGCCAUCACGCACGAAGUUAUUGAUUGCUUGAAAUUACAAAAAGCGACAACAAUUCUAUCAAUCUAGCUGUGUUGUUCAUUCAUCCGCCGACUCCGCUCUCCGCCGCCGCCGCUCCGGCUGCUUGCCGCCGACAGCCCCACGUCGUCGUCGUCCAUCCCGCUCGACCCUUCCCUACUAAUCCUCAUGCUCGCCGUCGAGCCCUCUCCCGGCGCUCCCAUCGGCGCACGCAUCCACCCCGGCCGCUCUCCUCCGCAUCCUCCGCCGGUGUCGCACCGAGGAGGUGCGCCGCGCCGUGGAGGCGGCUUGGCUGGCGACAGCGAGGUUGCCGCUUGCCCGCUCACCUGCCGCGGCUCCGGAUGGGGAGAGGCGGGCGCCGGCCACUGCUCCCGCCGUCGCGGGCGGUCGCGCCGUCCACCUCCUCUCCCCAUCUCCCGCUUCUUCCCCGCCGCUCUGCCGUCGGCCGCCAUCUGCCCGCAUGCGCGUGAGAACUGACGGUCUGUUUGGUUUUGAGGCAGUUUUUAGGAGGGACCGGGAGUUUAGAGGGAUGAGGCUAUUAACUGUUUUGUUUGGUUGAGGGACAUGAGAAAUUUGGUAGGAUGGAGAUGGGGGAUUGAGGAAUGAACUCCCUCCUUUUCAAUACCUGGGUAGGGGUAGGUAAUUGGGAGGGAAUUCCUCCUUUACUUCGCCUAAACAAAUCUCAGCCAUCCGUUUUCAUUAAUGAUUUAAUCUCCAACUAAACUCCUUAUCAAUUUCCACCACCUCUACCAAACAAGAGACUGGGAUGAAAAAUCAAAUUCACAUCUUAAUCUCACCAUCAAUUCCCUCGUGUAAACUCCCAAUCCCCUUCCCUCAAGUUGCCAAACAAGCCAUGAGAAGAGAAGAGAAAGGAAAAGAAAAAAGAGAUGUGGGGCUCACAUCAUUUUCUCCCCCUGACAUGUGGGCCCCCACAUAUUUAUUUUAUUAUUUUUGCUGACUAGGAUGCCACGUCAUCAAAACCAGCCAUCUAUACUGUCUUGGGACCCAAAUUAGACGGUUUUGUAUAGUUUAGGGGUGAAGAUUUCUGGUUUUCCGGUUAAGGGACCUCAAAAAAUCUCGCUGUUAAGUUGAGGGAUCUCCGGUGAACUUAUUCCAUCUCGUUACAUCCCAAUGCGUUAGUUAACAAACAGGGAUUGGAGGGGGUAAUCCUAAUGGGCGGGUGAUCGCUCCCUCCCCUCCCCAGCGAUCACCCGCCCCUCCCCCUUACUACUUUACCUCCCCUUCUUCUCUUAAUACUACACCAUAAAAAUUAAAAUUCAAAUUCAAAUUUGAAACGGGCACGUAAACUUUUUACUUAUAAACUUUGGGUCUAUAAACUAAUAUUUGAAUUCAAAUUCAAAUUCAAAUUUGAAAUGGGUAUGUAAACUUUUGACCUAUAAACUUUGGGUCUAUAAACUAAUAUUUGAAUUUAAAUUCAAACUUUAGCUAUAUAAAAUUUAGAUGUAUAGAAAUACUAUAUAUAGAAAAUAUUUAUAUUUGAAUUCAAAUUCAAAUUUGAAUCGGAUAUAAUUCAAAUUCAAAUUUGAAUCGGGUAUGUAAACUUUUGACUAAUAAACUUUAGAUCUAUAAACUUUAGGUGUAUAAACUUUAGAUGUAUAGAAAUACUAUAUAUGAAAAAUAUUUGAAUUCAAAUUCAAAUUUGAAUAUGAUAUUUGAAUUCAAAUUUAAAUUUGAAUCGAAUAUAUAAACUUUAGAUCUAUAAACUUUAGGUCUAUAAACUUUAGGUGUAUAAACUUUAAAUGUAUAGAAAUACUAUAUAUAAAAAAAUAUUUGAAUUCAAAUUCAAAUUUGAAUCAGAUAUAUAAACUUUUGGUCUCUAAACUUUAGAUGUGUAAACUUGAGGUGUAUAAACUUUAGGUGCAUAAAUUUACUAAAAUAGAAAAGUAAUGCGUUGCCAAAAAGGGAAACCAGGUGGAGGGAGGGGGGUGGGAACCGAUCGCCCUGAGCGAGCGAGGGCGAUCGCUCGCCCAGUAGCAUUUCCUGGAGGGGACCUGUUUGGGAGCUUCUCACAGAAUUUAGCUCCUCCAAUGGUUCAGAUUGUCAUCCAAAUUUUGAAAAUUUGUAGUUGUAAAAACUGGUUACCAACCAGCAGGUUUUCAUAAUCUUAAGCUCCCCAAAUAUGAUUUAAAUCCACGUCUAUCAUGGUGUGAAAUUGUUCCCCCUUAAUUCCCUCAAAUCAUCUUCAAUCUUUUCCAAACCGAAUAAGGCCUAAGAAGAAUCUGGAGCUAUGUCCUGGUGGGCUUCCUUUGCUGUUGAGGUGGGCUAUUAAUCUUCCUAAGGCAAACCAAAUUGUGUAGAGAAUGUUGACACCGAAUCGUGACUUCAUACAUUGAGCACAUUAUGUGCAACUCGCAGCAGCACCCAGAAAAUGUACCGCCGUAGGGACAAUAGAACACCCCGUUUGGUACAUACCACCAAACGAACACCCAGGAGGGACCCCCAUCAAGAUGAAUGCAUGCUGGCUUAUCCUAGGCUCGGUAGGCUAGCUAGAACAUCCUCUAAAGCCGUAGAGACAAUAGACAUUGAGCGAUUAGGGGAUUGUAUGAGAAUAGUAGUUGGGACAGAUAACAAGAAGGUAGAAGAUGUAGAAUAUAGAGAGUUCGUAUAAUAGAUUGAUUUUGAUGAUUGAUCGAUUAUUUUUUCAAUCGACAAUGGCCUCCUACAUUUUACAGGAGGGAUGGACUUACUUCCUAGGGUUUUUUCCACGUUCAUUUAGGUGUAAAAACCAAUUAAUACUAAAAUCUCAGGCCUUGGCAAGAAAACCCGAGAAUCGGACUCGGAGUCGAACUCUACCGAUCUGAGCGGCUAGAUACCUCCGGUCAGACCGCCCCCCUGCGGUCUGACUGACCCUAUGGCACCAGUCAAACCGGCCUCGCGUAGCAUGCCCAGAUUCUUUCCAAAAUUGACUGUAUUUUCCUAUUUUUACUUUAGGUGCUAAAUUUAGGUAUUGAGAGAGUUUGUUGCAAAGGAAGAUAUAGACCAUACAAUUAUUGUGUGGUAUUAAUAAAGCUUAACAUAGGUCUUAAAAAAAACUAUAUAAGAUCAAUGUUCUGAUAUAGUAACAGCUAUCUAGCUUUCUUGCACCUAUUUCCAUUAAUAGAAAUGUAAACCUUACAGACAAGAAAGAGAAAAAAAAAACAAAGCAGAGCUAAUCUCAGUUCUUGGCCUCACUUUUCUUCUUCUUCUUUUUUACUUUGACCAGCUAUCUAGAUUGUGUCAGGUGCCAUCCCACCCUUCACAAGAGCUAGGCACCGUAAGUCUUACAGGCACAAAACACGUGCAGGAUAGGACCAAGCAAUGUUUCCUCAUAGACCUACAGAUUUCCUACACAGCCCCAAGCACCGUUCUCAGAAAAACAGACAAAGACAUCCCAGGAUCACCACACAGCAAAAUAGCAAAUGAACACUUCGAUUAUAACCUAGUUACUAGCGAAUUCAAUUGCGCCAUCGUCCUCCGAGAUGGCAGUCAGCUCUGAGGAAUGAAGGUAUGAAUCCAUCACAUUAGGCAUAAAAUCCCCAUCACAAAAGAAUGGCCUAGGAGGCACUUGCAGCGCAUUGACAUCCCCUUCGAGCAUCUCUAUGGUCUCGCUCAUUGUCGGCCGAUCGUGUGAUUUCAUCUGAAUACACCAUAAUCCAACAAGGCACAGCUUCUUCUGCAGCUCAUGCAUGUCAGCAGCACCUGAUGUCUCACCAACUUGUUCACCUGUUAGCUGCCCAUACACCCAUGAUGGGUAGUAUGACUGACUUGCAUUUGGAUUUGUAUUUGGAUCAGCGUUUCUUCUUCCUCCAGCCAUCUCAAGUAGCAGCAUUCCAAAGCUAUAAACAUCACACUUGCUAGAUAUGACGCCAAAGCUUCGCGACACCAUCUCUGGAGCUAUAUAACCCACUGUUCCUCGUAAUGCCCUGUCUGAUACAAAACUUUUGUUCCUCGGGUACAAUUUAGCGAGGCCAAAAUCUGCGACCUUUGGAACAAAGUUAUCAUCAAGAAGGAUGUUGUGCGGCUUAAUGUCAAAGUGCAAAAUCUGCAUAUCACACCCUUGGUGCAGGUAGUUGAUCCCCCUAGCAAUGCCUAUAGCAAUCUCAUUAAGCUUGUCCCACGAGAAACUUCUCUCGGAUGAAAAGAUGUACUUAUCUAGAGAUCCUUGAGGCAUGUAUUCGUAAACAAGGGCCCUUCUCAAUUCUUCGGAGCAGAACCCCACUAGACGCACAACGUUAACAUGGUGGAUCCUACCAAUUGUAGAUACCUCACUGAUGAACUCUUCCCCAUCGUAGGUGGAGGCGCCAUUCAACAUCUUCACGGCAACAUGGACAUCCCCGGAGAGUAGCACACCUUUAUAUACAGAUCCAUAGCCUCCUUGCCCUAGCUUAUCUCUGAAAUGGCUUGUAACUGCAGUGAGAUCUGUGUACGCGUACCUCGUCGGACCCAGAACCUGCUGCAUCUGUAGGAACUUCUCAACUGCAUCAAUUGCUAACCUUGUUUUCCAAUACUUGUGGGCAAGGAAGGUCAAUAUCGCUAGCGGCACCAACACGAACCUGCAUAGCACUGCAUAAUACAUACAACGUACUGGAGUAAGUAGUAACCGAGAGAGGCUGAAACAAUUAAUUAGGAAAAAGGAGCUACUACAUCCAUCCCUAAAAGGGUGGUUUGCUAAAAAGACACUCUUUUAGGGAUGGAUGUAAUGGUUCGGACUAUAUAACACUCUCAUUGGAUAUUCCUGUAUAUGUGGUUCUAUAAACUCUGGCAUACCAGCUAUGCACUUGACAAUCCACAUGCCAAAUGCUAUUAGGAUGCCUGAUGGAUAUCCAAUCAAGCAGAACCAGAAAUGGAGGUCAAUAAUAGAGAUGACAAUAAGCCGAUCACUGAUGGCAGUGCCUGUACUAGACCUUGGUUCUAUUCCAUUGCGCAAUUCGCUGCAGGUAGAGAAAAAGGAAUCAAAGAGGGGAGCCAGGGAGUACACAAUACAUAUACGAGUAUAAGACAUAUCUAAUGGAUCCCAAAUCAACUCACCUUAUCGAAUCCAUUAGGCACUCGUUGAUACUCCCGGCCCCAUAUAUGCGCGGAAAUCUAAUGGCGAAUCCUUCCCUCAUGAACUUUUUGACAUCUUCAUAGCUCGCAUUCCUAGGCACUGUCGUGCUCCAAUCACCCAGAAGAGUCAUGGCCAGGUAUCCACAAGAAGGCUCCAGGCUUUCGAUGUAACCAGGGUUGUCUGAAUCACUUGAUAAUAACACAUAGAUAAAAGAAUAGUUGGAGCUUGCGCAAGUGACAGGCCUGUAUAUACCAUUGUCCUUCACCUCCCGUGAGCAUCUAACAAAGUAAGCAUGAUUAUAUGCACCAGGAGCCAACUCGAUCUCAAUCCUGUGGCCUGAGACUUUGCGCUUGUACUGAUCAAGAAGAUGAUUCCACUGCGGAAGAGGGCAAGUGCUACCGGCUAUGUUGGCGUCGACGACCCAAAAGCGUCUGUAGUCGUAGUUGAUUUCAUUCACAUGGUAUGUUGCAUUGUCAAUGAGAAUUGUAGCAUUGGUAUCACUGCAGACCAGCUCGUAAGAUUUGCUGCCGCACCCAGGUGGAUCAGCUGCCCGACGGAAUGGAGCCGAUACACCCUUAAGAUGGCCGCAAGAGAAAGAAGGACACUUGUGAUGCCUUCCUUCAACAUGAUCCAGUACAAGACUCACAACCACAAAUAAGAUACCAGUAGCUAAAGCUUGCACGGCAUGAGCAUAUGCUCCAGGAAUCGCCAUGGCAGAUAGACUCUUGGGAGGGAUGAACAAGAUUUUGCCACAUUAAGUAGGGCGAUUACUCUACAAGAUUGUGAUGUUUUUUUUUUCAGGAAUACGCAAGGAGCGCAUCUUUGUAUUAAGAGGAGAUUGUGAUGCUGUUGACUCGAGAUUGAGAUGUUGUUGACUUGGAAGUUUUGAUUCACAAAACUACAAUACUUUAGCACUCAAUUCCUGCCCAAUUUUUUCGUACCCUCAGUAAUAAUAGGCUGCAGAUAACUGGAACAGCGCCAUAUGUAAGUUCCAUCCACUGGUGGAAUCACCCUCUGCAGUCACUUAGCUAUCAAGAGUUCAUGGCAAAUCUUAUCGUGAUUCAGCACAUGCUGCCUUUCCAUGUCACCUCAGUAGAUUUGAUCUUAGCACAAAAUGUAUAAGUUCCAUUUGGCAUUUACAAGUCUUCUGGAAUAAGAAAGGAAAAACGAGGACAUCCACAGGCCAAAAAUGAAAAGAAUAUUGUAAACAGUCUAAACCACAGAAUUUUUCUAACCAGCAAAACACGGCAGAAGUAUCAUUGGCUGCUGAAUUUCCUUCUCUACCACUCCUGAGUGGAUAUAUGAGAGUAACCAAUGGGCAGGAUCUGGUAUUUACCAUGGAGACAUCAGAAGGGGGCACUAUGGUGCAUUCAGUGGAACCCAAAAAAUCGACCCUCAAUGACAAAGGUGGUAAACAUGUUAACAGGGAGGUUGCAGAAUCUAUAGGUACCCCCCCCCCCCCCCCCAAAAGCGUUUUAUUUCGUAUCAAAAUCAUCUUGUGAUAUAGAUCAUGGAGAAGGCAUACCCAUGGGUUGGUACAUGUGUGAGAUAUAUAUGCUGAAUCCACGUAUUCUUACUGAGAUAUCCUAGCAUGUAAGUAUAGUGCUUAAUCAUUCAAAAUAUUGGGAACUCGAACCAGACAUAUGAUCACUAUGUAUUCAUGCAAUUCUAAUAGUCAGCAAUAUAUCCAGUGCAAUAUACUACCUAAUUCUGCAAUUCCUACCAGUCCAGUAAUAGUCCUCGCUGAACACCGAGAUGUUGCUGCUGCAUUUUCUAACCCAUCCCACAUCCACAAGAGUAUUCUGCAGAACAUGAAACUAAUAGUGACAUGUUUGCUCCUGGUACUGCAUAAUACCCAGGCAGGAGGCUCCCCACGGUCUAGAAUGUGGGAGGCGGAGGUGUUGUGAUGGACCGAGAGGAGAUGAUAAAUGUGGCGUCGGGCUUGGUAGAGAUUAGACAAAUCGGUGCCGUCAGCGGCGCCACCAUUGAUGAUCUGAGGACACACGGCUGCAACAACAGACGACGAUGAGGGCGACGGCGAGGCAUGGUCGCAAAGCUACCGGGAGGAAGCGGUUUACUCAUCUGCCAACGGAGAGGACGAGCGGCGGCGGAGGCGUAGGCAGGCCGCAGCCGCCGGAAUGCCGGAUUAACCGGAGCGCGCCGGCGGGGAUGCGGCGGAGGGAGGGGAAGGGGAAGGGAAAUCACGUUCCGGGCCGAUACCGUUCUUCUGGGCCGACAGCUUCAGCCCUAAAAUGUUUCAGCCUACUAAAGCUGCAAGGCCAGAAGGAGACGCCGCGGGGACAGGCCUGCAAUGCAUACAUGCAAGGCCUUCUCCCAUAGUGGGCUGCAUUGCAGUUUAUGUGGGCCUUACUGAUCUCCUCUUACAAAAGGAUUCGGCCCACCCACAAGCUUAAUCAGGCACGACCCGAUCAUUACCGUGGGCCUUCAUCCAGCCACUAUCAUCCAAACGCAGCGAUGAUAGACACCAUAUCUAAUUUUACGAUUUUGCUAUACAUCUCACGGGUGAUUUUUUUUGACUGAUAUUUCAUGUUUUUCUAUCCAUAGGAUCCCUCGCUAGGAUUUGUGCAAUAAUUGGUGGAGGCUGCAUACGUGGAUAAUACCAUGCGUCGGAUGGUAGGCCUGGUUCUUUUCACUUUACAAAUUUUUGAAACUAUAAAAUAAAAAAUAAAAUACAAAAUUAUAGUCCUAUAUAACUAAAAUUACAUGUGCAUAUUAGGUUGAUAUGACAUGUAAGCACACUGUAAUUUUGAUAAAAAAUAUUGUGUAAGUAGAUAUGUAUUGAUUAUUUUCUUUAAAAUAUAAAAUUAUAGUCAUAUAUAACUAAAAUUACAUUUGUAAAUUUAGUUGAUAUGACAUGUAAGUACACUGUAAUUUUGAUAAUUCUUUAAAAUAUAAAAUUAUAAUCCUAUAUAACUAAAAUUAUAUUUGUAAAUUUAGUUGAUAUGACAUGUAAGUGCACUGUAAUUUUAAUAAAGAUGUUGUGUAAGUAGAUAUGUAUUUAUUAUUUUCUUUAAAAUAUAAAAUUACAGUCCUAUAUAACUAAAAUUAUAUUUGUAAAUUUAGUUGAUAUGAUAUGUAAGUGCACUGUAAUUUUGAUAAAAAUAUUGUGUAAGUAGAUAUGUAUUAGUUAUUCUCUUUUGUAGUCAAUUGGAUGUAAAUCUAAGGGUAGAAAAAAUUUGGGUGAUUUUUGGUUAGAAAUCACCUGACAAAUGGAUAAACAGUUCCAGAAAAAUUUUAUUUUUUAUUUUUGCACAGAAAUGCGUAAAUAGAUCGAAAGGAAGUAACAUCACAUCUCAAGUUCUGAUACACUGAUACACUGUGUGUUUGGUUUAUUGAUUAGUGGAGGAGGCUUGCAGCUCUGUACCUGUGCCGCUGCGCGUGCUAUGCUUUCCUCCUGUGGUCAGAGUCGUCAGACAAACAUAAACAGGGGGUGUACAGUGAAUUUGUUAGUCAUACAUGAAUAUAUUGGAUAUUUGGAUUACAGCUCCCAGCGAUAACAACAGGCGCUACUAGGCUGUCCAAAUCGUGGCAUUUCAUUUCAGCAAAAACAGGUCCAUAUAUCUCUAGGUCUCGGAGACUUGAUCAUCACUAUCGGAAUGAGCUCUGGCGUGCUCAUGCAGCACGCACACCACAGAAAUGCACCGGCCAACAACACAUUUGGCCAAUGGCCACACAUAACGAUGGCAUCCCAAUCACAAAGUUAUGAUAAACGAAAGCUUCCCCCUAGUUCACGGCAAAGAAAUUACCCGGUCAGUCAAAGGCAAUCAGCUGUCUCCUGCCGCUAUCCACACUAACCUCUGGAGUCAACACCUCCAGCUCCAGGGCUGUGUUGAUCCGAAUGUCACAGCAAAGCAGAGAACAAAUUAGGAAUGGAUUAAGUAGCACCUUUUUUCAGCUAUCAUUCAGUAGCACUUUCUAUAACAUAUAGCUUCUUUCGUUUGUAAACAAACAAAUAAGUGUACAAGAAAUAUAUCACUAGUUCUAAGAAAAAGAAAUAUAUCACUGUUUACAAUUAUUUCUAGCUUCAGCAUUUUACAAGCAAGCUACUAGCUGAUUUGGCAUCAAAACAUGCACAAGUUUCACUCAUCCUCCUCUAAGAUUUCACUUAGCUCGGAGGAGAAUUGGUGAGAAUUCACCGCAAGUGACACGGGUUCAUCAUCACAGAAGAAUGGUCUUGGAGGCAUCUGCAGGCCAACAACGCCACCUUCAAGCAUCUCUAUGACCUCGCUCAUCGUCGGCCGAUCGUGAGAUUUCAUCUGGAUGCAAUGCAGCCCGAUUAUGCACAGCUUCCUCUCAAGCUCAUGCAUGUUAGCAACAGUACCAGCAGGUAUCUCACCAACACCUACUUGCUGCUCAGUUAGUUGGUCAUACACCCAAGAUGGGAAGUAGGUCUGAUUUGAGUUCUCUGCAUACAUGUCUGAGUUUCUUCUUCCUCCAGCCAUCUCCAGUAGCAACAUUCCAAAGCUAUAGACAUCGGAUUUGCUCGAUAUGAUUCCGAAGCUUCGAGAUAUCAUUUCAGGAGCAAUAUAACCUAUUGUUCCCCGUAAAGCACUGAGCGGCACAAAACUUUGGUCCCUGGGGCACAAUUUGGCAAGGCCGAAAUCAGCAACCUUUGGAACAAAGUUGACAUCAAGAAGGAUAUUGUGUGGCUUGAUGUCAAAGUGGAGUAUCUGCAUAUCGCAACCCUGAUGAAGGUAGUUGAUCCCCCUAGCAAUGCCCAAAGCAAUUUCAUUGAGCUUAUCCCAUGAGAAACUUCUUUCAGAUGAGAAAAUGUACUUGUCCAACGAUCCCCGUGGCAUGUACUCAUAGACAAGCGCCCUCCUUAUUUCCUCUGAACAAAAACCAACAAGAUGAACUACAUUGAUGUGGUGGAUCCUACCGAUGGUGGAGACCUCACUGAUAAACUCUUCGCCAUUGCAGUUAGAGUUUCCUAGCACCUUCACAGCCACGUGAGCAUUGCCUGGAAGGAGAACACCUUUGUAUACAGAGCCAUAACCUCCUUGGCCGAGCUUCUCCCUGAAGUGACCUGUGAUUGCAAUGAGGUCAGUGUAGGCAUACCUUGUUGGACCAUUCAUUAAUUGCAUCCGGAGGAACUUCUCUACUGCAUCAGUUGUUAUCCUUAUCUUCCAGUAAUUGCGUGCUAAGAAGGUUAAUAUCACCAGGGGCACCAAAAUGAACCUGCAAAAUACUGCAUAAAAAAUAACUUUAUAUUUAACACAUACUGUACUAUACAUUGCUCUAGGGAGAAUGUGCUUAUUAAAGUUUAAAAGUUUCCACGAUGCAAGUGAAUUUAGCAAUGUGGCCAGCGCACUGUGAGAUGCGUACAGAAAUUUUCUAAAUAUUUGACGCCGUUGACUUUUUUAAAUAUGUUUGACCGUUCGUCUUAUUUAAAAAUUUUAAGUAAUUAUUAAUUAUUUUCCUAUCAUUUGAUUCAUUAUUAAAUAUACUUAUAUGUAUACAUAUAGUUUUACAUAUUUCACAAAAGUUUUUGAAUAAGACGAACGGUUAAACAUGUGCUAAAAAAUCAACGGUAUUAAAUAUUUAGAAACGGAGGGAGUAACAAUGAGGAUUAUUUGUUCUUAAGUAUACAUGGUUCUUUACCAGCAAUCCACUUCAAAGUCCACAUGGCCAGUGGUAUUACACCCACGAUCAGUUGGACAACUGGAUGAGGAAGCAGGCAACCCCAGAAAUGAUAGUCAAAUAUCACAGUGUAGAAAAUCCUGAAAGACGUUGGUCGUUCCUCUUGGACGAUAUUUCUGCAGAGACAAUAUAAUGUAAAGCGUAAAAAAAACAAUAUAAUGUAAAAUGAACUUAAGAUGCCCCCGAGCAGUUUCUGAGCAGAUAAGCAAGAGAAAUCCAUGCAUAUAUAAAAAAUCGACUAAAAGAGAAAUAAUGAAACCACAUGCAGGAUGUCGCAAACUCACUGGAAUGACUGUGCUAUGCACUGUUUGAUUUUGGAGGAGUAGACAUAAAAACGACUUGUGUAUGGAAACCGAAUGGCAAAUCCACCUCUCAUUAGUUUGACAACAUCGGCGUAGCUUGCAUUCUCUAGCACCAGUGGGCGGUCGCCGGCACCCAGAGGAGUCAUGGCCAGGUACCCACAGGAAGGCUCGAGACUCCCAAUAGAAUCAGAGUUCAUGCCAGUUAGCACGUAGACGAAGGAGCUGUUGGUGCUCAUGCAAGCAACAGGCCUGUACUUGCCAUUGCUCUUCAGUAUUUCCUGCGAACAUGUCACAAAAGUAGCUGUAGUGCUCUGAUAAGGUGGCAUCAGUUCAGCUUGGAUGCUGCGGCGGCGGGAGUCUUCUCCAUGCCGCUCGUAUAACAUUUGGUCGUAGUAACCGAAAUCGCGAUUCCAGCGAGGAAGAGGGCAAUUGUUACGUGAAUCCGAGAUGUUGGCGUCGAUGACCCAGAAGGUAGAAUCCUUGUACUUGAUGUCCAUCACAAGGUAUGUCCCGUUGUCGAUCUGAAUCGUAGCCGGCUUGUCGUCGGUGCAGGUCAGCUCGUAGGACGCAACGCCGCACUCCGGCGGGUCACCUCGCCGGCGGAACGGGGGCGACACGUCGCUGAGAUGGCCGCAUGAGAACGGAGCGCAGCCAUGCCGAUGAUGCCGUCCAGCUGCAUGUGGGACAAGAACUGCAAACACAAACUGGACAGAAACGAAGACUUGCAGCGCAGUUGGGUGACAGAACGAACCAGGGAUCGCCAUGGGAUGGAUGAAUCACACGCAUAGCAAUUAAUUAGCUAGUACUACUGUACUAGCAAGUAGUAAAGCAAUAUAUUCACCUUGGGCCUACAUGACUGUGAUAGUGUGAUGCUGUUGCAUUGGGUUGUGCACUUGUGCUUGUGUGGUUAGCAUGUGGCUUUGGUUGUGUAUUUUGAUGCUGUUAGAUAGAUCUCCCUUCCCUUGAACCCAACGGUACAAGGGGGCCUUGACCCGCGCCCUGAUCGGGGGUGCUUAGCCCAAUGGCUGGUGGGCCCCGUCACCCUGCGCCAUAUAAACAGGGGUGGAGGCCGGGGUGCCACAUGACACGAGGUUCGUUGCUGCCGCCAACUCCACCCAUAAACCCUAACCGAUCGAGGGUGGGCGCAGCCAGUGACGGGAAGUCUCACCGCCGCGCCACGCCUCAUCGUCGCCUAUGACUGCCGCUGCCGCAAUCACUGUCGCCGUCUCGACCACCAUCGCCGCCGUCCACGUCAAGCCCGCAACGACAACGACGAUGUCCGGCACCUCUUCCUCCACGAACACCUCAACCGGUCGGUAUCUCAACCUCUCUCUUUCCAUCUAUAUUGAUGUUCAUCCACCCAAAUAAAUCCACCCGACUAGAUCUAAAUCUAGGUGAUCCUAGAGAGAACCCGAACCCUAACAGAUGCACCUCCAAUAUCGACAAUUUCUAUCGAGUUUUUCUUGUAAAUUUAUUUCUUCUUAAUAUACUUGGAUGGCCUCUUUCAACCUUCCCGGCAAAUUCACACCUGUGAUUACCCACCACCGGCCAGUCACUCUGCUACUCCAAGCCAUGCCAAAUUCACCCGUUGAUUUCAGUACCAACACGCUAAAAGCGAGUUUCUUUUAAUUUUUUUUUACAGAAAUGCAUAAAAAGAUCGAAAGGUGACAUCUCAAGUCACCAACAUACUGAUGCACUGUUCGUUUGGUUCAUUGAAGUGAAGGCUUGCAGCUGUGCACCUGUUCGUGCUAUGCUUUCAGCUUUCGUGCGGUCAGACAAACAUGACAAGGGUGUGUACAGUGUACUGGUCAGUCAGACAUGAACAAUUGCUAGUACUCCCAGCGGUAACAACAGGCACUACCAGUCUACUAGGCUGUCCGAAUCGCGGCAUUUCCUCAUCUCGGAGAGACGAAGGCUUGACCAUCACUAUCGGAAUGAGCUCUGACGUGCUCAUGCGCAGCACACACCACAGAAAUUACAACAGCCAAACAACACAUGUGGCCAAUUUUCACACAUAACGAGAUAACAUCCCAAUCACAACUUUAUGAUAAACGAAAGCUUCCAUCCAGUUCACGGCAAAGAGAUUACUCAUCAUAAAUAAAUAGUGUACAAUAAAAUAUAUCACUGUUUACAAAUAUUAUUUCUAGCUUCAGCAUUUUACCACCUACCUACAAGCUACUGUAGCUACUAGCUUAGCUGAUUUGGCAUCAAAACAUGCACAAGUUCACUCGUCCUCCUCUAAGAUUUCAGUUAGCCCAGAGGAGAAUUGGUAAGAAUCCAUCAUAGGUGACAUGGAUUCAUCAUCACAGAAGAAUGUUCUUGGAGGCAUCUGCAGGCCAACAACGCCACCUUCAAGCAUCUCUAUGACCUCGCUCAUUGUCGGCCGAUCGUGAGACUUCAUCUGGAUGCAAUGUAGCCCUAUGAUGUACAGCUUCCACUCCAAUUCAUGCAUGUCAGCGGCAGUAGCAUCAGAUAUCUCACCAGCACUCACCUGUUGCUCGGUUAGCCGGUCAUACACCCACGACGGGUAGUAGGCCUGACUUGAGUUCUCUGCAUGCAUGUCUAAGUUCCUUCUUCCUCCAGUAUCUCCAGCAGCAGCAUUCCAAAGCUAUAGACAUCGGAUUUGCUCGAUAUAACGCCAAAGCUUCCAGAUAUCAUUUCAGGAGCAAUAUAACCUAUUGUUCCCCUUAAGGCGCCGAGCGGCACAAAACUAUUGUCCCUUGGGUACAGUUUGGCGAGGCCGAAAUCAGCAACCUUUGGAACAAAGUUGUCAUCAAGAAGGAUGUUAUGUGGCUUGAUGUCAUAGUGCAGUAUCUGCAUAUCGCAUUCUCCAUUAUGAACAUGACUCAAACUUUCAUAAAGAUAAAAACAAACAAGUCCACAUGGCGGACUCUUACCAUAUCUCUAAUUCAAACUGACAUUAAAUAUUCUAAUUAAUAGAUACAAUUUCCUUAAAUGAGCUCAAUCUCUAAACGGCAAUGUCAGUUAUUCCAAUCUAGGCCCAUGUCGAGCCCAAGUCAAGUUGUAUCGGCUGCUUGCCAUAUCGGCUUAAUCAUAUUCCGACUCUGUUUCCAGCCGAUGCGCAGUCCGUUUCUGGCAAGAUCCAAUCUUCAAUUUUGCCUCGAUAUCCAACUCCAAAUCUGAGUCUAUCUUGCCAAAUUUCACUGUUAACACCUAGCUACUGGCUAAUUUAGCUAUUCCAUCGCCCUCUUCUGAAAUUGCAGUAAGCUUGGAGGAGUGAAAGUAAGAAUCCAUGACUUGUGGAGGUGGCAUGCCAUUGCCAAUGCCAUCCCCAUCGCAGAAAAAUGGUCUCGGGGGCACUUGCAGCGCAUCCACACCCCCUUCGAGCAUCUCUAUUGCCUCACUCAUCGUCGGUCGAUCGUGUGAUUUCAUCUGAAUGCACCACAGCCCAACAAGGCAUAGCUUCCUCUCCAGCUCAUGCAUGUUAGCAACAUUUGAUAUCUCAUCAAAUUGUUGAUCUGCUAUUAGCUGGUCAUAAACCCAUGAUGGGUAGUACGCCUUACUUUUACUUGAAUCUGCAUUUGGGUCCACGUUUCUUCUUCCUCCAGCCAUCUCAAGUAGUAGCAUUCCAAAGCUAUAAACAUCUGAUUUGCUGGAUAUGACACCAAAACUCCGGGAUACCAUCUCAGGAGCCAUAUAACCCACUGUUCCCCGUAAAGCCCUGUCCGGCACAAAACUCUUGUCCCUCGGGUACAGUUUAGCGAGGCCGAAAUCAGCAACUUUCGGAACAAAGUUAUCAUCAAGAAGGAUGUUGUGUGGCUUGAUAUCAAAGUGUAGAAUCUACAUAUCACACCCUUGGUGCAAGUAGUUGAUCCCCCUAGCAAUGCCUAGAGCAAUCUCAUUGAUCUUGUCCCAUGAGAAACUUCUCUCAGACAAGUAAAUAUACUUGUCUAGAGAUCCUCUAGGCAUGUGUUCAUAAACUAGGGCCCUUCUCAUUUCCUCGGAGCAAAACCCCACAAGACGCACGACAUUAACAUGGUGAAUCAUGCCUAUGGUGGCAACUUCACUGAUGAAUUCUUCUCCAUUACAGUUGGAGUUGCCAUUCAGCAUCUUGACAGCCACAUGGAGAUCACCCGGGAGCAGCACACCCUUGUAUACAGAGCCAUAACCUCCUUGGCCAAGCUUCUCUCUGAAAUGGCCUGUGAUUGCAGUGAUAUCAGUGUAGGCAUACCUUGUCGGUCCGAGCAUUUGUUGCAUUCGGAGAAACUUCUCAACUGCAUCAAUUGUAACCCUUGUUUUCCAGUACUUGUGUGCAAGGAAAACCAAUACAGCCAAGGGCGUCAACAGAAACCUGCAUGUUGCUGUGUAGACAAGUUUGAUCAACUGGAACCAAUAAACUGCAAUUUAAGCCUAUAUAAUUCUGAUCGACGACUUACCUGCAAUCAUCUUCCAGAUCUGCAAGGCAUAUGCUAUUACAUAUAACAUUAUACCCAAAGGCAUACGGUAACGUGAUGGAAUUUGAUGAACGGGUAUGCAGAGCAGGAAAUUUGUAUCCGCCGAAAGAAUGGUACCAAACCAAUUGGUUUUGCCUGUACUAGUCGAUGCGCUGUAUGGAAGAACAAAAACGUCUGAUAUGAUAUCAAGAGCAGAUAUGCAUCGAUAUUUAUGUGAAAAAUAAAGGUGUACAGACGUCAAGAUCAGUAACUUACGGAAUCGAAUCCAUUGGGCAUUGCUUAAAGCUUCCAGUACGAUAUCUGAAAGGAAAUUGGACUCUGAAUCCUUUCCUCAUAGAUUUUACUACGUCUGCAUAGCUUAAGCUUAAGCUUUCAUUUACUGGUGCUACACUGUCCCGACCACCCAAAGGAGUCAUGGCUAGGUACCCACAAGAAGGCUCAAGGCUCUGAAUAAGAGCAGAUUUUUGGCCAGUUAACACAUAAACGAAGGAUCUGCUGGUGCUCAGGCAAGCGACAGGCAUGUACAUAAUCCAGCUACUAUUCUUUAUUUCCUGCGAACAAUUGACAAAGCUAGCUAUCCUAGUCCAUAGAACCUGGAACCUGGGCUCUCGAAGGGAAUUCCAUCGAGGAAGAGGGCAACUGCUAGGUGAAUCCGAGAUGUCAGCAUCAACGAUCAAGAAGGUAGAAUCAGUGUAGUUGAUGCCCGUCACAUAGUAUGUUCCGUUGUCAAUCUGAAUUGUAGCCUUGUCAUCGGCACAAUUGAGCUCGUACGACAGAACUCCGCACUCAGAUGGGUCACCUCGCCGGCGGAAAGGAGACGACACGCUGCUAAGAUUACCACAGGUGAACGGAGGGCAGCCAUGCCGAUGAUGCCGCCCACCUGCAUCUGGGACAAGAACUGCAAGCAAACACAGGACAGAAAUUACCCGCAGGAUAGCAGUAGUAGAGCAAUGAAACACACCAUGAAUCGCCAUGCCAGGUGGGCUUGUGCAGAGCCGGAUCUAGAUGGCCAAAUGACAUGAACAAUAAUACAAAGAAAUUUUUUUUUAGCUACCUGUCCUUGACUGUGAUGCUGUUGACUUGGAAACACUCGACAGAAGCGGAAGAGUCCAAGCGCAGCAUUCAGUUCCAGCAUUAGUCAGUCAUGCAUGGUUAUUUAUUGCUGAAAAAGACUGGACUAGUAGAAAUACGGCUGUGUUUAGUUCAGUGCAAAGUUUGGAUUUUGGUUGAAAUUAGAGAUGAUGUGACUGAAAAGUUGUGUGUGUAUGAUAGGUUGAUGUGAUGGAAAAGGACCGAAGUUUGGAUCCAAACUUUGGAUCUAAACACAGCCGUAUAAUCAUAUAGACUCACAAAGUCAACAAAUACAGCCACUGGAAGUUCCACCAACAGCUGCAAUUACCCGUCAACAAACCUUUAAAAAAGAUUAUCACCAGUCACUCCACUACCACCACAGAGCUUCACCAUGUCAACUUCACGAGUUGAUUUCAACAUCACCAAAAGAAAAAAAAACAAGUCGGAAUAAAAUCAGUUGUGGAAAAUCAAGGGCAUGCGGGAGCCAAAAAUGAUAAGGAAUACCUUUCGAAGAAAUAGAACAUGGCAAAAGUUUCAUUGGCACUGCUCAGAGCCUCAGACAUCAUGACAAGCACAGCAUCAAUUCACACCGAUAAAACAAGUGACCAUUUCUAAAGCACAGCCUUCUCAUUCACCUCCAUCUCAUCUCCAUUACACUGCAUGGACUUCACCAACCUUCUUAUCACGGUGCUCCUCCUACUCGCUCCUCUGAAAUACAAAUCUGAUGUUGCCACAGCAAGUGAUGAUGAAGACUUCUUCAAGACUUGUUCAUCACAUCGGUGCAGCAAGCAUGGACCAGAGAUCAGGUACCCGUUCCGGCUUUCGACACAACCUCCAUCAUGCGGCGCACCUGGGAUGCAAUUAUCAUGCUCUGGACAAGACACCAUCCUGGAUCACCCUGUUCUUGGUUCCUGCAAAGUGACAAUGAUAUAUUACAGGCAUGUUAUCAUGAACGCCAUCCCACUUGUAGAUUCCUCACCUCAUUGCCUACUUCACAAGUUUAUAUCAGUAAAUCAAUCAACUGCUGUGUACAGACCUCACACUUUAAAAGCUGCAAGUCUAGUAGGUUGUUCAAGAGAUUCCAUAGACACAAACCAAUAUAAUAGUAUAGUUGGCCCAACCUCUUGCCUCAGCCUCGCUAACAACGCAAGCCAGUUCUGGUAUUUGGCAUAUCCCUAUGAAUAUAUGUCUAUUCUUCCAUUGGGCUGCACAAUUGUUUCCAAAGACAUCCCAAUGCCCUACAGUUACGACAAAAAUGGUCCAAACUUUGACAUCUCAAUCUUCACCGAAACAGCAAAAAGAGUCAUCAGCACUGGUGAGACUGUAUUCACUUGGUACUCAAGUAACGUUACUAGUAUUUGCCAACAAUGUGAACAUGAAGGUCGGCGUUGUGGCUUUAGCUCUCAAAGGGAUCAAGCAUUCUGCCAGCAUCAUAGUAUGUCUCUUUCUCAAGUAUAAAUUCAGUUUCACUAUGAUGACUUGUUUUAGUUUGGAAUUCUCACUUCUCCAUCUAUUACAUCUCUUAUUUCUCGAGUAUUCAGUUUUCAAACUACCCAGGAUAUUUUUCACAAAUAGUCAAACUAUCCAGCAAACUGUGAAUCAGCCAAAGGCUAGCUUGGACGAACAUUUUGGUUCUAGGUUCACAACUGCAAUUUUUCUCAAAGAAAAUUUCAUCAAGAGACGAUAAUGUCUGAUCAUUAUGAAAAUCAAUUUUUUUUUGUAAAAUUCUCAUAGAAAAGGUUAUAAGCAAUUGCAGCACAUUUUAGCAUAUAGCAAUGAUCUAAAGAGCAAGCUUUAUUUGUAUUACUCUAGACAUUGGUAUUAACUUAGAACAUUAAAUUAGAUUCAUAUGGUUCAAAUUUACUAGUUUGGAAUACUGUAAUAGCUAAUUGAACAUUAAAGUUAGAUGCAAAUGGCACCAAUUUACUAGUUUGGAUUACUGUGGGAGGUACUACGGCGAGAGUAGUAUCUCAAUUAGACCUUUUGAUGCUAGAGAUGCACUUGAUAGUGCAGUGGCAAGGGGUGUAUGGUUUUAACCCCGAGGUCCCGUGUUCAAUCCCUAACACGUUCACAAUUUCUUCUUAAAAAAGUUUGGAGGGACGUCUCUCCCUCCAAAUCUCCUUUUUUUUAGACCUUUUGGUGCUAACACCAUAGUCCUGAUUGUUAGAAAGUUGCACCCAUCGAGUAAUCAAGAAUGUACCAGCAUAAUUUACAGCAUUAACAAGUUCCCACAGUUUUAACAGGGUAGAAACCAGAACAUAUCCAUCUUACACAACGUUGAUACGAAAGUUGUGCACAUGCAUAUUUCCAGCGAUGCUCUGUAAGAUUAUUGAAUUAGGUAGUUUCUUCCUCCUAGGCACUAUAGAUAAAAAUGUUUUACUUCUAUGGUUAAGACAAGAAGCCUCCUUAUCCUAUUUCUAUAUGACAAUGCCAAAUAAACAAGCCAUCUAACAAUCAGGAAUUAAUUGUUUCUAGGAAAAAUUAUAGGUGUUUCUCUCGAUUUAUUUCAUCCAUAAAUCAUGUCAUAACUAAUAACCUUUCUUCCUAUGUCCAGGUCCGCGUGUCACAAUCAUUGCAGGUAAGCAACUAAUUUUUUUUCUUCAUUCUUCCUGAACUGCUCAUUCUGUAGAAUCAUUGCCUUUUCUCCAAGUGCAACUAGCUGAAUUUCUCUCUUUUUUUACUCAGUAACAUCAUCUGUAGGCACAUUUAUAGUUCUUUCAUUAAUUGUGGCCACUGCACUCUACAUCUCCUUGAAGUCAAGGUACAAUGAAGAGAUACAUUUGAAAGUCGAAAUGUUUCUGAAGACAUAUGGCACAUCAAAACCCACAAGGUACACAUUCUCCGAAGUUAAGAAGAUAGCAAGGCGGUUCAAGGACAAAUUGGGCCAUGGUGCAUUUGGAACUGUAUAUAAAGGUGAGCUACUGAAUGGAGUUCCUGUGGCUGUUAAGAUGCUAGAAAACUCUGUAGGAGAGGGACAAGAGUUCAUCAAUGAAGUCGCAACCAUUGGGCGAAUUCACCAUGCAAACAUUGUCCGCCUCCUAGGCUUUUGCUCUGAAGGAACACGGCAGGCUUUAAUAUAUGAAUUCAUGCCCAAUGAAUCAUUGGAGAAAUAUAUAUUCCCACAUGGUUCUAAUAUUUCAAGAGAACUUCUAGUACCAGACAAAAUGCUAGAUAUUGCAUUAGGCAUCGCCCGAGGAAUGGAGUACCUGCACCAAGGGUGCAAUCAGCGCAUUCUCCAUUUUGACAUCAAGCCUCACAACAUACUGUUGGACUACAGCUUCAAUCCAAAGAUUUCAGACUUUGGGCUUGCCAAGCUAUGUGCAAGAGAUCAAAGCAUUGUCACAUUGACUGCAGCAAGAGGCACAAUGGGCUAUAUUGCACCAGAACUAUAUUCUCGGAAUUUUGGAGCAAUUUCAUAUAAGUCGGAUGUCUACAGCUUUGGCAUGCUGGUGUUAGAAAUGGUGAGUGGGAGGAGGAACACAGAACCAACCGUUGAGAACCAAAAUGAGUUCUACUUUCCUGAGUGGAUAUAUGAGAGAGUUAUGAAUGGGCAGGACCUGGUGCUUACCAUGGAGACAACACAAGGCGAGAAAGAAAUGGUGAGACAGCUAGCUAUUGUAGCGUUAUGGUGCAUUCAGUGGAACCCAAAAAACCGGCCCUCAAUGACAAAGGUGGUAAACAUGUUGACGGGGAGGUUGCAGAAUCUGCAGGUGCCCCCUAAGCCCUUUACAUCGUCUCAAAAUCAACUUGUGAUUUAGAUCAUGAGACCGCAUCGCCAUGGUUUGGACUUUGGAGACCAGCAAAGCAAUGGAGCUUGGCCAGCAUUUCCUAUAAAAAGGCAUCACCAUGGUUUGGUGCCUGAGUGAGAGAUAUGCUUAAUCCACAUAUCAGAAAAUAGUUCUUAGUGAGCUGAAGCAUGCACAUAUAGUGUUUGAUUAUUAAACUAAACUGGGCAACCAGAUAUAUGAUAUAUCACCAUGUACUCUUGUAAUUUGCAACAUAUCUCAAUGGAUUUAAUUUGCAAUAUAAUAAUAGUUGGAAGAUGACAACUAAAUUACCUUAUUCCAUCGUUGAUGCUAGUCCACUAAUCAUCCUUGCUGAACACCAACAAUAAGGUCAUAUUUACUCCCAGUGCUGCAUUUUCUUUUCAAGAUAAAAAAAGAAGUGCUGCAUCAUCCAGAAGAGGAAAAAAAAUAAAAAUAACAAAGGAAGGAAGCUAAGCAAAGGGAUUAUUACCAAGGCAGCGAGGCUCUGGAUGGACAUGGACUAAUAAUGUGGGAGACGGAGGUGGUGUGAGCGACUUGAGAAGACGAAACAUGUGGCAUCAGGCUUGGUGGAUUCGACCGGAUCUUUGCCGGCCGUCAGCGCCACCAUUGAAGACACGGUAGCAACAACAGAUGGCGCCAUGGCGGUACGGGCGACGGCGAGGCUUGGUCACGCACUCUCGCAUAUGCCGGGAGGAAACGGCAGCUUACCCAUCUGUCUACGGAGGCGAGAAGCGGCGGCGGAGGCGGCUCGCGGAACGGCAUACCGCCGCAUUAACCGGAGCUCUCGCCGGGAAUAGUGGUGAGGGACGGAGGAAGAAGAAGGGGAUUUUUUUUUUUUUGUUGGAGAGAGGGAGAAGGGGAUGAUUGCUCGGCCACAGGCCGGUUAGGAUGGCCCACCUAAUCCCCCGCGGCCCAUGAACGGUGGAUUGAUCUGACGGUUCACAUGUAGCCCAAUUCACGAGCAAAUAUAAUGCGGAAUAAGUUCACCAGAGGUCCCUCAACUUAACAGCGUGAUUUUUUUGAGGUCCCUUAACCACAAAACCAGAAAUGUCUACCCCUAAACUUACUCAAACCGUUCACCAGAGGUCCCUCGGCGGUAUUUUUGCCCGGUUUUGCUGACGUGGCAUCCUAGUCAGCAAAAAAAUUUAAAAAAAGUACGUAGAGCCCACAUGUCAGCUGCACAUCUUUUUUUCUUCUCUUUUCUUCUCCUUCUCUUCUCUUUUCUUCUCUCCCCUCUCUUCUCCUUCAGGCUGGCGGCGGACGCAGCUGCGAUGGCCGUGCUCGGCCGCCACCACCGCCGUACCCCCGCGGGUGGCCGACGAUGCUAGGAGAGGCACCACCGGCGGGAGAAGGGGAAGAGGCAGAGGAAGAGAUUGUUUCUUGGUCGCCGGCCGCCUCCCCCUCCCUCCCAAACUCGCUGGCCGCCGCGCUCGCUCGCCGCUGCUCUGCCGCGCGCUCGCGCUCCGCUACUCUGUCCGCGGCCUGCUCGCGCUCCACUGCUCGACCCGCCGCUGCGCUCGCACCUUCCGCUGCUCCGUUGCCACGCUCGCCCUCGUUGCGCCGCCCGCAUCCGUGCUCGCCGCUCCGCCGCCGCGCUCCGCUGCCUCCGCUCAGCCGCCGGACGACCGCACCGCGUAGCCUCGCCCAUGGCGACGACGACGGUAGAGAGCCGAUGACGACGGCGGCCACGGCGCGCGGCUCCUCCGUCCGCAGCCUGAAGGAGAAGAGAAGAGAGAGAAAAGAAAAGAAAAGAGAAGAGGAGAGAAGAAGAAAAAAAGAUGUGCAGCUGACAUGUGGGCCCCACGUGUUUUUUAAAAUUUUUUUUGCUGACUAAGAUGCCACGUCAGCAAAACCGGGCAAAAAUAUUGCCAAGGGACCUCCGGUGAACGGUUUGAGUGAGUUUAGGGGUACACAUUUCUGGUUUUGUGGUUAAGGGACCUCAAAAAAUCUCGCUGUUAAGUUGAGGGAACUCCGGUGAACUUAUUCCAAUAUAAUGCUCCAACUUAUAUUCACUGGAGCCAGCAGCCAGUACUCCCUCCGUUUCAUAUUAGAGAUUUGCUUCAGUCCAGCAAAAAAAACCUUGAGAUACCGGUGUCUCGCAGUACUAAAUCGUUUUUAUCUUAGAUAUAGUUGGCAGGAUGGGCAUUGUUACCUCCUUUCACUUUUUUCCGAAUUUUUUUUGAAAAUAAUAUUAUUUUAAUGGAAAAUCGCAAAAUUAUAGGUCGGCUAGACGAAAUCGCAAGUUUAGCGCCCUGUCGAACUGGGGCAGUUCGAUAGGUACCCCUGUCGAACUGGGGCAGUUCGACAGGGUACUGUCGAACUGGGGCAGUUCGACAGGGUACUGUCGAACUGGGGCAGUUCGACAGGGUACUGUCGAACUGGGGCAUGCUAGUUGUCCAAGAAAAAAAAUAAAAAAGUACUUGCUACAGUGCCCGAUAGGGACGUAUCGAACAGGGGGAGUUCGAUAGGGCGCGUGGCAUGGACGUAUCGAACAGCGGAAGUUCGAUAGGCAGUGUCGCUACAGUGCCGCUACAGUGUGCGCUACAGUGUGCUACAGUGUUUUUCCUUUUUUUUAAGUUAUUUUAUUACCUGUCGAACUGGGGCAGUUCGACAGGUACCCUUUCGAACUGGGGCAGUUCGACAGGUACCCUUUCGAACUGGGGCAGUUCGACAGGUACCCUUUCGAACUGCCUCCGUUCGACAGGGUGCUAAACUUGCGAUUUCGUCUAACUGACCUAUAAUUUUGCGAUUUUCCAUUAAAAUAAUAUUAUUUCCAAAAAAAACUCCUUUUUUCCUAGUCAAGUUUGACUAAGAUUAUAAAAACAAUUAGGAACAUCUAAAAUACCAAACUAGUUUCAUAAAAUUUAACAUUGAAUAUAUUUUGAUAAUAUGUUUGUUUUGUGUUGAAAAUAGUACUCCCUCCGUCCCAAAAUAUAAGCAUUUUUAGCAUAGUGUCAAGUCAAACAUUUUUAACUUUAACUAUUAAUAGGAAAAAAUAAAAAAAAAGAUCUAUCAAGUAAAAUUGAUGUUACUAGAUUUAUUAUUAAACAAACUAUCGUAAUAUGCAACUCUUUUUAUUUAAAACAUUUUACUUUUAUAGAUAUUGUUGGUCAAAAUAGUAUCUCGAAGACCGUGUCGAAAUCCAAAAAUGCUUAUAUUUUGGGACGGAGGGAGUAAUAUAUUUUUCUAUAAACUUGGUCAAACUUGAUUAAGAAAAAAAAAUCAAACGACUUAUAAUAUAAAACGAAGGGAGUACAAAACACUUGCUUAUUUAUAGUAGUAUUUCAUACAAAAAAAAUAAAUUUAUGCAUUAGUAUCUAUCAAUUGUUGGAUCCAUGAAUAUGGAAUAAUAACAACCAUUAUUUAUGAACGCUAAUUGCUAGCUAGAUACAUCAUUUUCAUCACAGCCUAACUACUGGCUAAUUCAGCUAUUCCAUCGUCCUCUUCUGAAAUUGCAGAAAGAUCGGAGGAGUGAAAGUAAGAAUCCAUGACUUGUGGAGGUGGCAUGCCAUCCCCAUCGCAGAAAAAUGGUCUCAGAGGCACUUGCAGCGCAUCCACACCCCCUUCGAGCAUCUCUAUUGCCUCACUCAUCGUCGGCCGAUCGUGUGAUUUCAUCUGAAUGCACCACAGCCCAACAAGGCACAACUUCCUCUCUAGCUCAUGCAUGUUGGCAAAGUUGGAUAUCUCAUCAACUUGUUGAUCUGCUAUUAGCUUAUCAUAAACCCAUGAUGGGUAGUAUGCCUUACUUGCACUGGAAUCUGCAUUUGGAUCUGCAUUCCUUCGUCCUCCGACCAUCUCAAGCAGCAACAUUCCAAAACUGUAAACAUCAGACUUGCCAGAUAUGAUGCCAAAGCUCCGGGAAACCAUCUCAGGAGCCAUAUAACCCACUGUUCCUCGUAAAGCCCUAUCUGACACAAAGCUCUUGUCCCUUGGGUACAGUUUAGCGAGGCCGAAAUCAGCAACUUUUGGAACAAAGUUAUCAUCAAGAAGGAUGUUGUGUGGCUUGAUGUCAAAGUGUAGAAUCUGCAUAUCACACCCUUGGUGCAGGUAGUUGAUCCCCCUAGCAAUGCCUAGAGCAAUCUCAUUGAGCUUGUCCCAUGAGAAUCUUCUCUCAGAUGAGAAGAUGUGUUUGUCUAGAGAUCCCCUAGGCAUGUACUCGUAAACCAAGGCCCUUCUCAUUUCCUCGGAGCAGAACCCCACCAAACGCACAACAUUAACAUGGUGAAUCCUACCAAUGGUGGCAACUUCACUGAUGAAUUCUUCGCCGUUGCAAUUAGAGUAGCCAUUCAGUAUCUUGAUAGCCACAUGGAGAUCACCCGGGAGCAGCACACCCUUGUAUACAGAACCGUAGCCUCCUUGGCCCAACUUUUCUCUGAAAUGCCCUGUGAUUGCGAUAAUGUCGGUGUAGGCAUACCUUGUCGGACCGAGCAUUUGUUGCAUUCGGAGAAAUUUCUCGACUGCAUCAAUUGUUAUCAUUCUUUUCAAGUACUUUUGUGCAAGGAAAAUCAAUACAACCAAGGGUGCCAACAGAUACCUGCAUGGUGCUGCGUACACAAGUUCGAUCGGUUGGAAUCAAGAAAUUGUAACAUGCGUAUAUAACUAGAUGAAACACUAGAAACAAUUGAGAUGAUGUGGGUUUAUAAGAAAAGAUAGAAAUAACAUUAACUAUUAAUGGGAUAAAUUAUAUAGGGUAGGGACGUAGGGUCCUGGUCGAUGACUUACGUACGUGCAAGCAUCGUCCAGAACAUCAAGGCAUACAAUAUUAUGCCCAAGAGUAUAUUGUAUGGCGAUGGAAUUUUAGCAGUUGCGCAAUCCAUGAAAUUUUCAGUCACCGAAAGACUAAACCAAUCUGAAAGUUUGCCUAUACCAGUCGAUUUGCUGCAUGCAAGAACAAAGACGGAUAGAUUCAGGCAUAUAUAAAUGGAGGGGAGGUCGGAGGAAUGUGCAAUCAGAUAUUAUGUCAAGAUCAGGAACUCACGGAAUCGACUCCAUUAGGCAAUCCUUGAAGCUUCGAUUUCUAUGGUGUCUGAAAGGAAAUUGGACGCGGAAUCCUUUCCUCAUGAAUUUUACUACGUCUUCAUAACUUAAGCUAUCAACUGCUGGUGCUACACGACCCAUACCAUCCAAAGGAGUCAUGGCUAGGUAACCACAGGAAGGCUCGAGGUUUUCAAUGUAACAGGACAAUCUGCCAGUCAAGACAUAAACGAAGGAGCUGCUGGUGCCCAUGCAAGCAACAGGACUGUACAUAACAUUGUUGUUUAUUUCCUUGGAACAGUUGACAAAGAAAGACCACCAACGUGAAGCAGGGUCCAAUUCGACUUGGAUGUUGUAUGGCGAUGAUUCUUCGUCGUCACUACUAACAUCAUCAUAGUAAUAAGGAAUGCGUUUCCAGCGAGGAAGAGGGCAAUUGUUACGUGAAUCCGAGAUGUUGGCGUCGACAACCCAGAAGGUGGAAUCACUGUAGUCGAUGCCUGUCACAAAGUAUGUUCCGUUGUCGAUCUGAAUUGUAGCCUUGUCAUCGGUGCAAGUCAGCUCAUACGAUGCAACACCGCACUCGUAGCCUCGCCGGUGGAAAGGAGACGCGACUUUGCUAAGAUGGCCGCAGGUGAACGGAGGGCAUGCAGGUAUUCCAUGAAUUAAAGGCCAUUCUAUAUCCGGAUCUGGGACGACAAAUCGAAGCACACACAGGACAGAGAAAACUUGCAGGGCAGUCGAGCGACGGAAGAACGGACCAGGAAUCACCAUGGUGUGGUGUAGCAGCUAGCUUAGCUAGUUCGCCCAAGCAGAGCAUGCAGGAGCUAGGUAGUGACACGGAUGAUAUUACAAGUGUCUAUCUCCGCGCGGUGCGUGCACUGUAUGUAAGCAGUGUAACUAGAGUUUUCCAAGCAAAUAAAUUUAGCUAAAAAGCAACACUUCAUGUCCUUGACUGUGAUGCUGUUGACUUGGAAGUCUUUGAUGACACGAAGCAGAUUAGUCUAAGGCGUAGCAUUCAGUUCCACAAGAGUCUACCGUGCUGCAUCGGUCACCGUUUAUUGAUGUUGCCGAAAAAGAUUGGUCAAAGUGCACACAUUACCAGUCGCCCGCUAUCACGAGCCUUAUCAUUAGGGGAACAGUGCUUCACGGGUUAAUUUCAAAAGCCCCCAAAGCUAACAUAGUGUAUUCUUCUAAAACUAUCUUAACAGGACGCGACUACACCGAGAGUGCUAGCUAUAUGGUGCUAAAGAGAGACACCUUUCUUUCCAAAAAAAAAAAGCUACUUAUACACUCAAUAUCUAUGUAUUUUUUUCCUUCUUAGAGAAGUUUCUCUUAAAUUACUUAUCUGAUUUAUAAUCCGAUUACGCCGUUGUGUUUAUUGCAAUUAAAUCUUUACAACAAGAUCUCACAUGAUUAUAUUUUGAUGAAAAAUCACAAAUUACUUUUAUGAUAUGUCUAAAUUACGUUUACAUUUCACUAAGUUACUUCUUAAACUAUAAAAGUAAAUUCAGUAAGUCUAAAAGUAAUUUAUAUAUAUUAUAGAAGUAACUUAGAACAAACGAAGAUAACUUUGGCAUGUUAUUUGAAGUAAAUCCGUUGUAUAGAUAAAAACAUGACUCUAUCUAAAAAUUAAAUUAAUCAGCACAAAUUAUGGAAUUUACUAAAAAGUCAUAUUUUAUCCCUACAACGAAUUUACUUCUAAUGUCGUGACAAAGUUACUUACGUUUUGUUUUAAGUUACUUUUAGAAUAUAUGUAAAUUACUUUUAGACUUUAUUGAAUUUACUUUUAUGUCUAAGAAGUAAUUUAGUCCAAUCUUGUCACGUCCUGAUAAAUUCAUCCCGAAAUAAAAAUCAUCUUCUAAAAGGAAUAAUAGAAUUAAUUAAAAUUCGAAAAGAAAUUGGCAAACCUUAAAAUACGUACAAGAAAAAUUCAAAUGUGACCCGGAGAAUUUUUGUUAAAUUCUCCUUGGUCUAAAAGGAGCCCUCAAAUUUUAGUGGAAUUUUCAGAGCACAAAUAAUAAUUGAGAAGAAAUAAACAAAGUUGAAAAGGUUUAUAAAAAGAAAAACCCUAAAAGAAGUCUUCUUUCCCCCCCUUUCCCUUCUUGGGCCGGCUCGGCCCACUUCUCUCCCUCCCUCUUUCUCCUCUCCCCCGCGGCCCAUCGGCCUCCCCCGCGCGAGCGCCGCUGACAGGCGGGCCCGCCCGCCACCCUCGCUGACGGGUGGGACCCACCUGUCAUCGCCUACCUCCCGCCGCGCCGCCGCCGCGCCCGUGCCCUAGCGCCGCCGCCGCCGCGGAUUCCGCCGCAUCCCGCCUUCCCCGCGCGCCUUAAUGAGGGGGGAAUCAUUCCCCGCGAUUCCCUCUCCCGUUUCCCCCGCUUUUCCCUCUCUCUCUCCCUCGGAUUCGUUCGAAUCGCGCCCGCAAUCCUCGCCGACGUCAUCAAUGGAGCCCGAGAACUCCGCGGCCGGUUUCCUUUCUCUCCGGCCGCCUUCUCUCCCUUCCGACGCUAUAAAAUCGUCCCUCGUGCUUCGCUCUUCCGUUUCCGCCACUCGCCGCUCGCUCUCGCCGUCGGUUUCGUGCCCGCGCCGUGCUCCUCUCUCUCCGCCGUCGCCGCCGAGCUCCGUUUCGCCGCCGUCGUCGCUCCGGUCCUCCUCCCGACUCGGCGCCACCUCCAUCGGCUUCGCCGAGUGAUUGCCGACCCCGUCCGCCGCUCCGCUUCGCCCGCCGACCGCCGGAGCACCGUCGUCAUCGUCAUCCCGAACCGCGCCGCCGCUUUCCUCCGCUCCGGCCGCCGUUCUCGUCGUCGUCGUUGUCCCGGGGUGAGCCGAAGACCGCCGUUCGCUUUCCCCCUUCUCUCCGCUCUCUCGGGCGCCGCUCCGCCGCGCCGAUGGUCGCCGGCGGUGACCAUCGGGGCGCGGGCGCGUCCCCCUCCCGUCGGCCGUGCCGGCGAGGCCGCCUUCGGGCGCGCCCUCGCGGCUGCCAAGUGGGCCCGGCCGUCAGCCGCCCGCGCCCGGUCCACCGUGGACCGAGCGGCUGACGCGUGGGCCCCCACUCCCGUGGACCCGGUCCGCGCGCCCUCCCUCGGCUGACGCAAUAAAUGGGAUUUUUAAUUAAAAUUUAAAUGAAGAAAUUCGCAAAUAUCCAUUUAAAGAGCAUAUAAACUUCAAAUGGCCAUAACUUGGCCAUUUGAACUCGGAAUUGGACCGUUCAAGUCUCUAAUUUUUCCUUAAGAAGUCAAGAACCCAUUUUUGUGCUUUGUUCCUGCUUGUUGUAUGGAGUUUAUUAGAGUAAAAGCCUUUUCUUUUCCGUUGGUCGUGUAGACGCUGCAGCUUCGGAAGAUCCGCUCUUCGUGGAAGUUGAAGCCGACGUUUGGGAAAGCGAGCAAGGCAAGUCACAUCACCCUUGAGCAUAUUGAAUCCCAGUUUAUAAAAUUAUUUUGAUUUAAAUUAUUGUAUUAUCGCUUUGUUUAAAUUCCCGCGUUACCACUGUUUUAUUUAGCCAUGCCUAUUUACCUUUGUUAUGACAUUAUUAUUGCUAUUGUUAUUAUUACCUUGUUCACCCUAGGAAAAUAAAAACCCCAACUAGUGGGUACUCUAUUCAUGGUUCCACUAGUAUAAAUUUAGGUAGAUGCUUCGCUGAAUAAUUAGGCAACAUUAGGUGGUUUUAUAACUUUAGACUUUGGGAAUUCUCAUAUCAUUUGGACACUAUGGAAUUGUUGGAUUAUGGUGGAAUUGGACAUACACCUCUCUUCCUCUUUCAAAACCCCUAAAACCUGUUUUCGGUGGGGUUUGGGUGCAUGCCAGUUGUGGGAAGUAGCACCCCGGCCACUAUAAGGAUUAAGCUCGGGCCUCUGUUGCAAAGCACUACCGUACUAACCACAUGUCUAAUGGGUAAGGCUUAACUCGGUGCUCAGUCUAGUCCUGAACAAAAGGACACGGAUAGAGAUGGAUGAAGUCGUUGCGACGAUGGAUAUCUCUGAGGCAAAUGAAGGCUACGCGAGCUGCGGCUCGGUAAUCGAGAUGUCUAGGCAAAUGAAGACUACACGGGUCGGUGCCCGUUAGUCGAGAUGCCAUGGCACUGGACUAGUACGCGGGUGGUCUCACCCCUAUGUGUGUGGCGCACCCGGUCUAGAUCUUGUUGCUAGGGGCUCAACCCUGGCCUGCCUGUCCCGGGAUACCGGCCGUAGGCAGGGUUGGGUCGGUACUUUUGUUCACGGCUAGGAUGGGUGAAGGGUUAUGUCACAUCUUUACGACGGGUUCCAAGGCCAUGGAAUGCGGAGUAAAGAUGUGUCUUGUGGGUAAAGAUGUACACCUCUGAUCAGAGUAAAUCUAUUCGAAUAGCCGAGCCCUCGGAUAUGGGCAAGCCUAGCAAUGUACCCAAGUCAGUGUUUUAAUUCUUAAAAUUUGCUCAACAACUAAAAUAUGGAAUGGUUGGCCUGGGUUGGCUUGGGACGAGCUGGAACCCAGGUCGGGUUGCCAGUUCGGUCCAAACUAUCGUAGGCCUUGGGUUAAGGCAGGUUCGUGAGGGUUCACGGCCUUGUUUAAUAAUACUGUGUAGCUCUAGGAUCGUCUUUACAAAAUGGCUUUGGGCAACUAAGUGACUUUUAAAUGCUGUUUACUGCAAAACCUAACCCCUAUUAUUAUCCCCUUGUACCCCCCCCUUGCAUUAAUCAUGCAUCUGCCGGUGUGGCUUGCUGAGUACUGUGGUUGUACUCAUUCUUGCUCAAUCCUUCCCCUCUUCAGUAAGAGAAGCUUUGGAGAAGAUGUCUUAGGUGGAGUCCUGGCUUAUACCCCAGUUGAGCGCCUGUGAAGAUGGAGCCGUAGGCCCGCUAGUCCGCUGCUGUUUAUUUUUGAUUGUCAGGCCUUAAGUGCCUUUGUAAUAAUGUAAAUAUUAUCGAUAUAAUAAAGAUGUGUCUUUUAUAUCAUGUUUGUGUGGUGUACCCCGGCUUUUCCUGGGACGGGGAUUAAUACACUAGCGUUCGGGAAAAGGCAAUUUUCCCGGUCGCGACAAAUCUAAAAGUAACUUAUAUAUAUAUAUGAUAAAAGUAACUUAUGUAUAUAAUAAAAGUAAUUUACAAAUAUAAUUUUUUUUUCAUCGUAAGUGAAGAUUUAAUUGUAACGAACAUAAUAGCGUAAUCGGAUUGUAGAUCAGAUAAGUAAUUUGAGAGGAAACUUUAUUUGAACAAGAAAAAGGCACCCACGUGAACUUUAUUUGAAAGGAAAAAGACAUCCCCGUGGAUGGACAUCAUGACGACGUGCACAGUUAGACGGCUCUCAGAUGCGUCGUGCUAUAGAGCUAAACCGAGAACGCUCUCGAAAUAGAUUUCGCGAUCUUAAUAGUAUACUUCCUCCGUUUCAUAAUAUAAGCCAUUUUAACAUUGUCCAUAUUCAUAUAGAUAUUAAUAAAUCUAAAUAUAUAUAUGAAUGUAAACAAUGCUAGAAAGUUUUACAUUAUUAAAUGGAAGGAAUAAUAAAUGAUGUAUACUGCUUAUGCACGUUCCUAUAAAAAGGCAUCGCCAUGCAUGGUUUGGUGCCUGAGCGAGAGAAAUGGUUAAUCCACAUAUAGUAAAUUAGUUGUCAGUGAGCUGAAGCAUGCACAUAUAGUGUUUGAUUAUUAAACUAAACUGGGCAACUGGGUUUGUGAUAUAUCAACAUGUACUCAUGUAAUUCUGGUAGCUAGCAACAUAUCUCAAAUUCUCAAUGUAUUUAAUUUGCAAUAUAAUAAUAGCUGGAAGAUGACAACUAAAUUACCUUAUUCCAUCGUUGCUGCUACUCCACUAAUCAUCCUUGCUGAAGACCACGAUAAGGUGUGGUAUUA
rnacentral:lncRNA from 1 species